GAAAUGGAAAUCUUAUCAGUGCUCAAAAGAUUCUUAUUGAGAUGAUUGAGAAGGGUCUUAAACCAAACUUUUCUGUUUAUAAGAGGGUUUUGGAACAUCUUGACAAGUCAGGUAGGGAAGAUUUGGCUGGAGAUUUAAGAAGCAGGUUCUCUAGUUUGAGUUUCCAGUCAAGUACUGAAACUGGAUGAUUCUGGUUUGAGAUUUUUUUCUGAUUCUUUUUAUUUUCUUUUUCAUUUUUGUUCAUUUCGCUCUUCCAAGCGGUGUAGAAUUAGACCACAAGAGAAUUUUCAAUGAAAGUGGUGCCAAUGUACAAUGGUCAUACUUUAAAUGGACAAUAAAUGACACUUAAAAAGAGUAUUUAUUGCCAAAGUGUUUAUUUACAAACUAUUAUUAAUGGUAUUAUUUUUACUUGUGGAUUCUAUUGUGUUUCAGGUCAACUGCUUGUAGUGAGAUACAGAUAGGCGUACACGUACUUUUUCAUUAUUUACUUGUUAUUCUGUUGCUCUGGGUUAGUUUGCUACUUUGCUUUGAAAUAUUAUGGAGAUUCUUUUGUAUCUUGCAUUUACAAUUUAUAUGUUUCUUGACCAUACUUCUGAUUGCCUCAAAUCGGUCUUUAAAUAAUUAGUGAUACUAUUGGAAUUAGAGAUCGCUCUAUUAUCACCAUUAUUUCUUUCUAAAUUUUACUUAUUUUGAAUGGACUCAUUAUAGUAUGUGAAGUACCCAUGUUGGACAUGCAUAAGCAAGGGUUGUGGGAGGUACACACCCAAUAGGUGUAUCAAAAUAUGGAUAACUGAAGAACAAAUUUCUAGUUCAUUGUAGCUAAUAUUAGACACAUAUUGGCUGUUUGAUGUUAGUUACACAUUUUCGGUUUAACCUCUGCAUAGAAUGAGAAACAAAUGGAAAUUACAUUAUUUAGUUAUAUACUGGUAUCCUAAAAUACAGUGACUAACCAAAUCUGCCAUGUAAGCAUUCACCAAUACCCCCUUCUUGCACUUGAGUCCAUGUGAUGACAAAUACCAUGACUUUGCUUGCUACCCAUAAUUUUUGCUACAGUCAUAAUGUUUUCAUGUUAAUAAAAAAAAAAAGGAAAAGGAAAAAGAAAAAGAAAAAAGGCAUGAUGAAUUCUAUAUUGUUCACUCAUUAUUUCAAUUGAAAAUUUCUAAGUGUUUAGCAGGCUUGCACAUAGCUCAGUUGGGAUUUUUGUGCUCAUAUGUUAAUGUCAUUGGUCUUCUAUUUGAUAGUCUGAAGGAUGUGUCCAUUUCUGAGCUCUGGUUCAUUAUGCAGUCCUAAACUCCUGGGAUCAGGGAACUGUAAAACUGGAACAAUAAAAAGGAAAAAAAAAAAAAAAACCAGAUAUGCCAUGGGCACUAGCUUCCUUUUCUAGUCUUCUACAUGACACUGAGGCAGUGCCACCAAUUGCCAAGGAGAGCAAGGCCAGGUUAUGAUAGUUGAAUGAAGUCUGUAACUAUUCAUUAAAUUUGUUUGCUGGUAGGAAUUUAUGAUUUUUUUGCUUAUUCUGUGUAUAAUGGUAUCUUAUCUAUCAUUCUAUUUCAUUCAUGGAUCCAAUUAUAUUUUUUAUAAUAUUUUGAUGCUUUUCGUGUUGUCUAGGAACAAAAUCUUUUACUUUUGCUUUCACCAAUAUGUUUUAUCUUUUGGUAUCUCUUACCCCUUGUUAUGACAAUUUAUACUCUGAUGUGUGCAGACUAUUUAAAUUUUUUUUUUGGCAUCAAGUUUCACUUGUAUCAGAAUAUAACUGCGACUAAACUAUCCUUUUCAAUCCCAUAGACGUUUGGGAAAUUAUCAUAGAAGUUAAUAAUUGGUUUGUGAAAUUCCCCAAUCGGUCAAAAUUGAUACUUGGUGAAAACAAACGAUUGAAAUUGAUAUUGGUCAGAUUGUUGUGUAAAUAUGCAUCAUGAUUUGCCUACGAUGAUCUAUGUCUUCAUUUUUUUUUUUUGAUAGGUACCAUAUCAUCAUAUUUUACUCCAUGUUUGUAGCUGCAUGAAUCAAACCAAUAUUUUACUCCAUCAUACUCUCUAAUCUGUGUGAGCCAAACUUUCCUUGAUGGCAUCUACAGUCUUUGGGAUGGGAAUUUAGAGAAAGAAUAUAGAACUUCGAAUAACUCUUGAUUUGAAAUCCCUGCAUUCCAAUAUUUGUUGGUUCAUCAAGGAUUCUGCAUGGAGUUAUUACUAUGUUUUCCUUUUAUUUUUUUGAAAUGCACAAUUUCCCAAACAUGAAAGUAAGAUCAUGAUUUGGUUGUUCUCAAAGUGAUGCUAAGUAUUAGUUUGGUCUGGUCAAUUCAACUGAAAUGUGAGAACCAUGAGAACCGUGUCCCUGUGCCCAAAAUAGGUUUUGUGAUUGUUAAGCUGCACUUCUAAGCUGACAAGACAAGGAUCAAUGUAGAAACAAAUAAUCUAAUUGUUUAGGUGAACCCCAUAAUGGAAGGAAGAUCUCAUUUAACUUAUACUGGUUUACCUCCAUAUGUUUAUCUCAUAGUUCAAACUUUAAUAGUUUAGAAUUCUGGGUACUUGCUUCUUUUCUUUACCAUUCUAUCAAUCAUAAACUAUUGAUUUAUUCAGAUCUUGUUAUAGGCUUAUGUUGUCCGGACACCAAGGAGGUCUGCCAGGUUAUGUCUGGAAUGAGGCAGUGCCCAUUGUGUUUACCAGGUAAGUGUUAACGGUAAGUUUUUUUGUUCCUAAUGCAACUAUAGUAAUACAGUAUGGUUGAUUUCAUGGAGUUGGUUUGCACAUUUUCUGGUUGCUAAACCAAGGUCUUCGAUUGCUAAAUGUAUGCAAUUUAGAGCAGCAGUUUGGUAUUUUCGGGUUUGCUAUAACUACAAUAAUUAUGUCCUGUAAAAUUUUAAAAAAUCGAAGAUAUAUUUGCAUAUUAUGUUUUUCUGGAUCCUUCCCCUUUUUUGGCAAUCUCUUGGCAGCCAUUGUAUACGUACUGUGUACUAUGGUGUGCUCCUUUUGGCACUUUUAAUGCAUUUCUUGUUUACCUAUCAAAAACAUAUUAUAUCUUUCUCGAAGCAAUUCCAAGCAUUUGUGCAUCUAGUAGAAGCUAAAACCGUCACAAAACAAAAAUUCCUUGAGGAAAUUUUCAAAUAUACAAAAAAAACUGCUUACAUUUUCGAGACACAGAAACAUUCUCUCCUCCACAGUGUAAACCUGAAUUAUAAUCUUCUGGGAAGGAAAUGUUCCAGGUUUCCAACCACACAAUCCAGACCACAAAUCAGUCCGCCGGAAGCUUACUUAUCAUACCUCUGGCAAUAAAGUCUGAGUUUCUACUAGAGUCUUGGUAAAUGCCAUUAUACAUACCGCGUACACUCAGAAAUCAUACAUACUAAUAUGGUUGUUGGCACCAUACAUACUGAUAUGGUUGUUGGACAAUAGUGCCUUGGCUAUGCAAAACCAAUUGUUCUUCUCUUUAAACCUAUUUGUACAUGUCUGUACACUGGUGCAUGAAUCACCUUCUUGAUGGUGUCUGUUUGCUUUCUUGAAUCCAAAGUUGUGCCCAAGCCAAGCCAAUGGGCUACAAUAACAACCAACUCUUCUGUGUGGUUCUCCCUUGUUUCUACCUUCAUCGCCAACAUGGUGUCUUGGGUCUGCAUGGUAUAAUCCUUCAUCAGUCCAAAUUACAGAUAACGUGUCAAAAAUAAUCCUCUGCCAUGAUAGCUCAUGAUCAUGCAAUAGAGUCAAUUCAAUGUCUGUAAGGAUGAUUUCUAAAAUAAGAGCAUUUUCUAUUUCACAGGUUAAAUAGAGGAGUCAUACCUGGGUUCCCUGGGUUCCCUGGGUUCCCUUUGAUUCCGCAUCAGCUCAGCUGACUGCAAUGGUGUAAUCUGAAAGUGCACAAUGGUUGACACAUCAUUUAAUUUGUUUACAAGAAACAAAAACAACCAAAGCAGUAGUUUGGAAACUGUGGACAUAGGAAACAAUUUCUUAAUGAUCUUUGGAUAGAAAAAGAAAAAAAAAAAACAAGAAAAAACCAUUCAAAUGCUACAGGAAACAGUCUCAUCUAUUGUGUCAAAUGCUAAAGAUGACAGAAAUCAUUUUGGUUUCUUGUAUUUCCAAACAGCCCCUAAGAAAAUGGAUUUAAAAUAAGGGCAAGAAUUAAGAAAUCACCUUCCUAGGUCUUGGACUUGGAGGCUUAUGAAUGCUAGGAGCACUAGAUAAGGCUGGCUUUGGAUAUCUUCGCUGACCUGCAUUAGUUUGAUCUUUUCCCUGUACAUAGAUAGUAGCACACAUAUUCACCACCGAGAUCUUGACAGUGUGUUCGUUGUUAUAAACACAUCAUAAAAUUUCAUGGCAUCAAAACAGAAUCAUAAUGAUUCACAAUUUGAAAAUUGCAGUUACAAUAACAGAGAUGUUAGAAAUUCCAAUAUAUAGAUAUAGAAGAUUCUGUGUGAUAUCAUAAUGCACCCAUCAGGUAUAUGCAGAGCAUAUAAACCAUGAGAUUUGCAUUCUGAUAUCGUGCAGAACUAAUAAUUUGAAACCAAUUUUAGGAAUGCUUCUAGCGAUAUGUACCAUCAACAUUAGCAAAUAUAGGCAUACAUUACAUAAACAUAUCUGUAGUGGAAGAAUGGGGUUAGGCAUAACCUCUUUUUGGUGUCCUCUAUCGUAGCUCCUGUGCAAAAACUCAAUUCCCCUGUUUUGAUUUGAUUUAUUCCGGGCAGGAAGGGUUGUAGACCUGCAUAUUUUCCCAAAUGUUGAAAACUUAGUUUCAGUAUCCAAAUCCUUAAAAAGUUAAAUGCAGGAGCUGCCACUCAUUUCUGAUGAAGAAAAAGGAAUAUCACAAAUUAUAUAGAAAAUGGUUCUCCUCUAUAAUAUGCAUUACAUGGCUUUUGGCCUUAGCUUCUCAGAUUGUCCUCCCUUUGGCGUCAUGUUGCAGCCAGUCAAAUCUAAAGACUUCCUAGCAACUCCACCCCUGACAGACCUGUUCUCUGUAGCCACAUUUCUCAUGCCAUCUUUAAUGGUGAUCUCCUUUGGUGUGCUCUGCCAAAAAGAAAAAAAGAAAAAGAAAGGUGUGGACAAGUUAUGAAGGAAAAACGCAGCAGAAGAUAUCAGAAAUUCAAAAUGCUCAUGAAGCAGAGAGAUUACCUGAACAGCCGAACGGCUCAGUGUAUUAACUGGCAACCUUGAUGUUAACUUCUCUGGCAAGACUUUUGGGUUUAAACUUAUCAUUGUUUGAACAGAUCUAAUAGUGGAAGGAGAUGGCACUGGCUUAUCCCUUGCAAUGGAUGAGUGCAAAACUGUGGCUCCGGUGGGUACUUUAGUAGGUGGUGGUCUAUGUGAAGAAACAGAGUUUGGUCUCAUGUUUCCUGCAGGCUUAGGAGUAGUUUUUCUGCUCGCUUGGAGUUUGCCACCUGCAUUUCCAGCAACUUUCUUCUGAGAAGAUGGCUUUAGCUUCUCGGACAGUUUCUGCACAUUGUUCCUAGUUCUGCAGUCCAACUUUGCUCUAUUUCUAGCUGAAGCCAUAGUGCCCUGAAUUGGAAUACCAUGUUAAAACUGUAAAUAAUGGCAUGAACAGAAGUGUAACAGCUAUUGCUGCUACUGAAUUAGAUCAACUGGAGACAAGAAAUUUAUAUUCUUCUUCAAAGAGACAUUCCUCUCGCCUAUUGUGGCUCAUAACCCUAUACUUCUGUGGGGUAUUGGCAUGUUGUUUAUUGCCAUUUUGACUCAAAAAUUAAGAUAUCUUCAGCUAAAUCAACCAACUCUUGACUUCCUACUGAGGAGGCAUAUGGUUAGGGCUAGAUGUUAAAAUUAUAAGAGAAGCUCUGCAGAAAGAGACUAAUAUUUCUUUCCAUGGGAAUGGGAAUGGAAAUGAGAUGUAGAUUAGGAACCGAAUGUUUACCUUAGGCUUCAAAACAGGUGCAUGAUCUUCCCGCUUACUGGAACUGAGAUUGACCGUGCCCAUGUCAGAAACAAGGCCGUUUUGCUGGGCAGCUUCUGAGCUACUAUCGCUCUGUGGAACAGGCUCUGGGGAGGCCACUUCUGGAGAAUGUGCCAGAUCAAGAGCAGAAUAGGAGACAUCAGCUUUGUAUCCCACACUGGCUUCGCCAUUAGAGCUUGAACUAUAACUUCUUUGUUGCUCAGCAACUUCUGAUUUAUUCUCAAUGCUGUCUCCAGACAAGUUCGGAAAGGUGGUUUCAGUAUCUGAGAAUUGAAUUUGAGUAACAACACUAGUUUGCUCUUCCUCUUUUGACCCAGUAUCAUUGAUACUGUCUUCAGCACUUGUGGUAGCAGUCAGGUCAUCUUGAUAAGGUUCAGGGUGGUGGGUGGUUUCUUGCUUCUGUGCCUCAGCUUCUGCUGCCUUAAGAGCCCUAAUCCUUCUGUAAUAUUCCUCAAAGUAUGCCUUCUUUUGAGCAACUAGACCAGGGGCCUUGAACUUCUCCAGCUCCUCUUGACAUCUAUUGUGAGAGAAAACCGACCAUUUCUCCCAUGCAAGUGGCUCAGCAGCAUAUCUUCCAAACGAUAUGGAGCCAUGAUUCAGAAUUUCAGAGAUGGAAAUACCCUGCUCAUAAAGUCCGGACAAUAAACUGCAUAUCAGAUACAGAGGUUGGAGAAACAAGUUCUUCCCAAAUUCUGAUACUUUCCAAUCUCUCAAUCCACUGAUCUAAUUCACUCAAAGAUGAAAUAAUUUACAAUAUAAUACCUGAGGGUCUUCGUGUUCAGAUGGCAGAUCAGAGCAGCCCCAGUUGUCACAGUAAGCUUGAUGAUGAUCAGUGUAAGUUGCCAUUGCAUGUGGGAUUACUACACAGAUUUCAUCUCCUGGAAAACCCACCCUGCAAGGAUAAAACUGGUUUAUGUUUAUCACGUUUCAGACAAAACAGCAAACCCGAGACCUCCAAUUAACCAAAGCUCUAACACCAUGUUGAAUUACAAAUUUUACUAUAAAUUAUCGGGAUUCUAGCCCACAAUGUGUAUUAUGUUCUAAUAAUCAUGUAUGCAACAUGAUCAAUAUUUCUACCUUUUCACCUAGAUGAUUGUCCAUUUGAGGCUAAAAGGAUUGUAUUUCCACUCUUCUAAAAUAAUCCAUUUUCAGAAAAUAUUUUCUGCAGUAGUUCUUGAACAUGGAGUUGUGAAACAUGUUUUCUGUGUCAUUUUCAUUUUUCUGUUUUCAAAAAUAGAAAACUGUUCGUACUUCUGAUAUUGAACUAGCCCCAAAGGCGCUCGAGAUGGGCUUGGUAAGGGUCUAAUCUCAUCGAUUGAAUCAGGGUUUGGCCCAAACUUUGGUCAAUGGGCUAGAGUCAAGCUGACCUUAGCUUCAAAUCUAUGUCACCUACCAGUAAUAAUAAAUCCAACAACUAAUAAAAAAGACUUGCAUGAAAAUUGACGAUGAAAUAAAUGCACUGUUCUGUCAUCUUGACUUCUUUAUUCACUGUUUGGCAGCCAAGAAAAUGAAUGGGAAGGAAAAGAAAAAUGUGAAAUCACAGGCAGCUUGGGGUUGAAAUGGUUUGUACAAAAUUGCAAACAUUCCUAUCCUUCCACCAUUUGAUUGUGUUCCUACACCAACUUGAAAUUUUUUUAGCAACUGUUUGGCUGUCAAGAAAAGGGAUGAAAGGAAAAAAUUGUAAAUUAUUACAGCUGAUGAGGAUCAAAAUGGGUUCCGAGUGAACUUUUAAACUUUUAAUUAUACAACCAUUUUGAUUUCGUUAUCCAUGUUUGGCUGCCAAGAAAAAGAAAUUUUAAGCAUGACAAUGUUGACAAGCAAGUUGGGAUUUGAAUGUGUUGGCCUAAACUCUAUUACCUUCUCCUUUCUACCAUUUUCCCAGAUACCAAACAGUGCAUAAUAAAACAAAACACCCAAUAAACCACUCAAGAAGGGCGAAGAUAUAAACACACAUCAGUUUCCAGGGCAGAAAGGAAAAAAUAACCCGAAAAAACAGGUACAUACCAGUUGGUUCAAGAAGAGCAAGCUAGCCCAUUCUCCCACAUUCCAGUGAGCAAACUUCUAAAACUUUCGUCUCUUUCAUUUCUUUACCAUUUUCCUGGCACCCAAACAGUUCAAUUUAAACAGAUCAUUAAAAAAAGGCCCAAAACUGAGGGAAAGGAAUAAUCUAAUUUAAGAAGAAAGCUCUCUAGUUUCUUUCAUUUUUUCUCACCCUCUCUCAUUUAUUCGCUUUCUCUUUGGUAUAAGGGUAUGUCUGUCUCAUGAUUAAUGUGGAAUUGGUUCUUUGCUUGUGACUGUAGGUACUUUACCACGUUGAUUGAAUCACUUUUUGGCUGCCAAGAAAAUAAAUUUUGGACAUUGGAUUGUUGAAAAUUUUAUUCCUUUUCCUCUUUCUACCAUUUUCCCAACAACCAAACGUGGAAAAGUCAGAGGAAAAUACCCAAGAAAUAAUUAUAAAAAAAAAAAAAAAAGCCAAGAAGAACCAGUUCCUCACUUUCUCUCUGUCUCUAAUGUAAGGGUGUGUUUGGAUUAUGAUAAAUUUUAAAAGUUGGCUGCUAAAAUUGGAAAACUUUCAAACAUUACAGCUAGUAUCUAUUUUAAUCCAAAACUCUGUUCCUUUUCUCUUUCCUCCGUUUUCCCGGAAACAAAAAUAAAGAAAGAAAGAAAAAAAAACAAACAAAAACCAACAAAUCAUUCAAAUAAAAAAUAAAAAAAAAUCUAAAAACAGGUACAUACAAGUUGAUUGAUUCAAGAGGAGCAACCUUCCCGCUUUCCUUCGCUUUCUCUAGUUUUUUGUCUCUCCGAUAUAAGGCCGUGUUUGGCUGAUUAAUGUGGGAUUGGUUUGUUCCUUUUGAAUUAGGCUGCUAACACAUCAUAGGUUGUUGCCUUUCAGAUAAGUUGUCCAAAACUUUGUUUUGUUUCCUCUUUCCACCAUUUUCCCGGCAACCAAACAGUACAAAAUCAGAGAAGCACACCCAACAAACAAUCCAAAUAAAUAGAUUAACCAAAAUAAAUAAUCUAAAAACAGGUACAUACCAGUGAUCCAAGAAGACAUCGUCAUUUUUCCCCCCUCUCUCAUUUUCUCUCACUUUCUCUCCGAUGUAGCAGCAUCUUCUAAUGAUUGAUGAGUGAUUGGCUCUUUGCUUAUGAACUUGGCUGCCAAGGAAGGAAAAGUUAAGUACCAUAGCUAGUUGAUAUUCAAAGGGGUCAUCCAACACUCUGUUUCCUUACCUCCCUCCACCAUUUUCCCGGUAACCAAACAGUACAAAAUCAAAUAAAACAAGGAGCAAAUCAUUCAAGGAAAACCCCAAAAAGCAAAAUCUACCAUUAAUUUUAGAAGGGAAAAUUCCUAACUUUCCUUCAUUUUCUCUCAUUUUCUCUCACUCUCUCUCUAAUAAAAGGGGGUCCUUGGCUGAUGAUUAACGUAGAUUUGGUUCCUUCCUAUGGAAUUUGGCUGCCAGCAACACAGCUAGUUGCUACUCAAAUGGGUUGGCCAAAAAACGGUUUCCCGGCAAACAAACAGUACACAAUCAAACAAAAACACCCAACAAACAAUCCAAAAAAAGCUUAAAAUAAACAAACUAAAAACAGGUAUAUACCAGUUGAUCGAAGAAGACAACCACCUCACUUUCCUUCCCUUUAUCUCAUUUUUCUCCCACUUUCUCCCUGAUAUAGUGGCGUCUUCCAAUUAUUAAAAUGUGAUUGAUACCUUGCUUGUGAAUCUGGCUGCCAAGAUAAAAAUAAAAAUAAAAAAUUUUAAAACCGCAGCUAGUUGCUAUCUUUUCCUCUUCCGACCAUUUUCCAGGCAACCAAACAGUAGAUAAUCAAACAAAAAUACGCAGCAAAUAAUUUAAAAAGAAAAACCCCAAAACAGGUUAUACCAAUUCAGUCAAGAAGAGCAAACUCCUAACUUUCCCUCACUUCUCCCAUUUUCUCCCACUUUCACCCUGAUGUUAGGGCGGCGCGUUUGGCUGCUGAUUGAAGCGAGUUUGGUUCGUUGCUUGUGAACUUGGACGCCGAACGCAUCACACCUAUGUUGGGACUCUAAUGGGUUGUUCCAAACUCCAAUUCUCUUUCCUUUUCCUACCACUUUCCCAGCAACCAAACAGCACAGAAUCAAACAAAAACACCCAACAAACCAUGCAAAAAAGAACCCCAAAAACAAAAAACAGGCAACAUACCAGUUGAUUCAACUAACAGCAACCUCCCCACUUCCCCUCAUUUUCUCUCAGGCUCUCUCGCUGUAAUAUAAGACCGUGUUUGGGUGGUGAGCAAUGUGGGUCUGGUUCAUUGGUUUGUGUGAGUGAGAAGAUGGUUGAGAGAAAGAGACAGGAAGCAAACUGCCCUUUGUAAUUUUGGUUAUUGUCUGAUGUGUCUCCUCUGUUACGUGUCUCAACGGCCUCUCAUGCAACCCGGUCCCACUGGUCGCCACGUGGCCCUCCCACUUGUUGAUUGGCUGCAAAUGGCUUGUUUUGAUCAUUUCUAAGCCUUUUUAAAUAUAUUUUUUAAAUAUAUUUUUUAAUUAUAUUAAAUGGUAUUUUGCAGAAAUUUUUGACCAACCCAUGUGGCCCAAUUAAUUAUGGAUGAGAAGGAAAAAAAAAAAUAAUAAUCAUGUGAAAAUGAAAAUUAAUUAGUUGCCGACACAAAAAGUGAUAUAAGGUUUAAGUCAAGUUCAUUGUAUUUUAAAAAAAGUUUUAAAAAGUUGAAAAAUAUACAUUUUCUUUCAUAAAAUAGAAAAUAUUUAAAAAUUUGAGUUAAUUCAUUAAUUAUUAUUUAAUUUAAAAACUCAAUUUUUUUUUUGGAUAUAUUUUUUAUUUUCUAUAUUCAUGAUUUUUAUGCAAAAAUAAAACAUCCAACAAAAAAUAAAUAAAUAAAUUUAUCUUCUAUUUUAAAAAAUUACUUCAAAAAAUUUUUAAAUUUAGGUAUAAUAAUAUCAAUUUUUAAACAGAUUUAUUUUCUAAUUUUUAAAAUAGAAAAUAAAAAAUAUGUUCCAACAAUUUUAUUGAAUUUCCAAGGAGGUUAAAAUCAUAAUUUUGUUAACAAAAUUACGUACACAAAUGAAUAUAAAAUAAAAUAUUUUAAUGUGAUUUGACGACCUACAUCCAUGAAAUGUACCAGCAUUCAAUAAUCCAUGAAAUGUAUCAACAUUCAAUAAUCCACUAAUAAAAAAAAAAGAAAGCGUACAAUAAAAACUUUUUAAUUACGAACCCACUUUCUGAAAAAACAAAAUCUUAAAGUAUAAAAUAGUUAAAUAUAUAAUAAAGGCAAACUCGUCAUUUAUCUCAUAAAAAAAAUCUCUAUGGGGCAUUACCACCCUUUUAACCCAUAUAAGCUCUGUGAGUUCAGCGAUGAGUUUAACUCACGUGAACUAAUUGACCUGAUAUCAUGAACAAAACGUAAUAAAACUUAUUGAGAUUUCGUAAUCCAAUAAAUUUAAAAAAAAUGUAUUUAUAAUAUUGAUUGAAAUUGCUUUAUAGAUGAUGAUUUUAGGUUGAUUGAAUUUUCCAUUUGAAAAUUUUAUUUUAAAAAUGGUUUAUAAAAGGUAAGAGUGAUUUGAUAUUUAAAACUUUUUAAUUAAAAAAAUAAAAAUGGUUUCAUUUUCCAUAUUUGAAGAAAAAUAUAGAAAACAUCCACUUUUUGAAGACUUUAUAGAUGAGUUGGAAAAAUGUGAGAUGCAAGAAAGAUUGAUAAAACCUUGUUUGAAAUGACUUCAUGUUUUCCAACUUCACUUGAAAGCUAAAAACCCCAAACAAAAAUCAUAAUUUUCAAAGAAUAAAUAGUUUAUUAAACAUGAAAUAGCUUCCACUCCAAGUCAAAAUGAAGUUUUUAAACCUCCUUAACAAGACAUUACUUUAACAAUUCUUUUAAUUAUUUUUAAAAUAUUUUUAUUAAAAAAUUAAUUUUAUAAAAUAGAUUUAAAUAAAUAAAAAUAUCAUGUGUGGAAGAUUCCAUGAUUAUUGAGGGAGGAAAAUACAAUAAUAAUAAUGAAUUGUAAGCCAUAAUAAAUCAAUUUGAGAAUUGAGGUUGUGAGGCUAAGCAUGAAGCAAGUUCCAAUGGCAACAGGUGGGACACGUGGAGGGAGCAGGUUGGUAGGGAUGGGACACAAGUAGGGUCCAUGUGAUGGAAGCAUGGGGUUGCCCCUAUAUUAUAAAGCCUCUCGAAUCCACUUUCUGUCUUCAUCCCAUCUUUUUCAGCUUUGUUACCAUGUGCUCACCACCCUCAUCUUCCAAUCAUUUCACACUACCAUAACCAAUAGCACCAAAAAUUUAAAAAUAAUAAUAAAAAAAAAAUCAGAAAAUGACUUUCCGCUUUCAACUAAAUAGAUUCUUGAGGCUUUAAGCUUAAAAAAGUGUUUUGGAAUAAAAAAUAUUAGGAGUCCGUUAAUUGCUUUUUAAAACAAUUUUUUAUUUAAAAAAAAAUAGAAACACAAUAAAAAUUAUUUUUUUUAUUUUUAUUUUAAAAAUAAAAAAUAUAGCAUUUUUAGAGAAGAUCUUUUAGUUAUUUUAUAUUAUUUUCACUUAUUUUUUAUAAUUGUUUUAAAAAAUAAUUAUAUAUAUACAUAGAAUGAUUAAAAAUAAAAUAUUAGAUAUAAAAUUUAUUUUUAAAAAUAUUAAAAAUAGAUUAAAAAUAUUUUAGGUUUCCAAACAAACUUUUAUUUUACAAAAAUCAAAGAAAAAUUGUUAUAAAAAACUAUUUUUUACAAUUAUUUUCAAAAACAGUUAUCAAAUAAGACCUAAAUAUUUGAAAAUUUUUGGGGAAAAACUUUUAAAAUUUUGAAAAAUUACUUCUAAUAUUAAAAACUUACUUAUGAUGUUUUUCUAAGAAAGUAUAAGUGAUUCUCCUAAAAACAUUUGAGAGAAAACACUUUUAUUAAAAACGCUUUGAUUAGAAAUAUUCUCAAACACGCUCUUAGACCCAAUGUACUCUUCAUUUACAUGGUAAUAAAAAAAAAAAAAAAUCCAUCCAUAUAAUGCGUUAGAAACUUCUUUCAACCGUGUAAACGUGAAUAACAUGAAAGCCCAAUAAACUCAUUCAUUGUUUGAUUUAAAACCAAUUGACUCCCAAAACUUUAAAACACUUCUAUAUAAUUAAAAAACUGUCUAUCCAUAUGCAAUGUUAGAAACUUCAUUCAAUUGUGUAGGAACGUUUCAUUUAUGUAAAUGACGUGUAAAUAAUUAAUUCUGAUGACAUAAUGAGGAUGUUAUAUUUAUAUAAUGAGGUAGUCAUGAUAUUUCAUAUUAUAUAUUGAUACUAUAAGAGUAUGUUUGACCGUGAUGGUAGAAAAUGUUUUUAAUAUUUCUCAUACUUAUAAGAUAAAAUUUUUCAAAUGUUAAAAAUAUUAAAAAUAAUUUUUAAAAUUACUAUCAAUCUUAUUAAUUAUAUAAAUGUGUUUUAAAAUCAUAAAGACCUAGAAAAUAUUUACAUAAGAAAAAGCAUAUCGUGACAAUAUACAAGUAUUUUAUAAUGGGUUGAAAUGAUUCUAUGAAAAUUUAAUUAUGUCAUUUUUGUAUUAAAAGAAAAUAAUAAAAGUAAUUUUAUAUGAGUAAGCUUACCAAACUUUCAUAGGGUAAUUAGAUUUAAUUAUAUUAAUAAUUUUCUAAGAAAAAAUAAAUUAAAUAUUUUUAAUUUGUUCUCAAAUAUAUUUUUCCUCCAUUUAUUUUUAUUUUCAACAUAGGUAGAGAAAUAUUCUAUUUUCACUAUCUUCACACUAUUUUUUAUAACGUUAAGUAUAUAUAUAUAAAAAAGCACUCUAAUUUAACUAAAUUAGAAAAUAGAAAGCCUAGCAUGUCUAGCUGUGUACGGAUGCCCCUGGCUGAGGGGUAAGUCGUCUGGUGUGAGCGGUUUGCACAGUAGAUUUCCCAAAAAAGCCAGCUGCCUUUUUUAAUGGUGGAUAUAGGUCCACGUGGCAGAUUAGGUGAACCAAAGAUGGGCCUCCCGUGAGGUCCACGUGAUCCAAGCAUGGGGUCGCAUAUAAAGCUAGUGAGGAUCCGUAAAUCUUAACAUUUUCUUUACAAAAAUUAUUAAAUAAUUCCUCUCUAGUCUCUACCUACCCAUUUAUUAAAAAAAAAAGCUAUCACCUUUUAUUUUAAAAAUAUAAAAUAUUAAUUUAAUCAUUUCUCAAUUAUUGGUUAGUGUCAUGAAAAUUAAUAAUUCAUUAAUUAUUAUUUAAAUAUAAAAAAAAGGUAAAAAAUGAUGUUUGCAUUUAUAAAUUUACCAAGGUAAUCUCGUUGGUUAGGGUGAAUACUGGUAAAUGUGAUCUUUAUAAGUGAUGCAUGAUUCUGGAUUCGAAUUCUGUCAAUAAUAAUACUCUGAAUUUAUCUGGUGUUAGUUAUUAUGAAACAAUCAACACCUCAAUUAAAAAAAAAAGAAAAAAAUUCAUACUAAAAUUUUUAUAAUUUUCAAAAAAUUAAAGAAAUUUGUAUUAUAGGUGUCUUCUUCAAAUACCCAUCAACCAUUUUGUCUUAUUAAUUUUAUUGUAAUGAUAAUUAUUUAUGUUUAAUACACUAUAAAUGAAAAUUUAAAAUUUAGACAAGAAUCAAUUAUUAUCAUUUUAGGUACAACUUAACUAAAUUGAUUGAUGUAUACGAGUGGACCGACUAUAUAUAUAUAUAUAUAUAUAUAUGUAUGUAUUAAAAUAAAUAUGGUAGUUGAAAAAAUAAAAUAAAGUUGGUAACAAUUGAAAUGCUUAAUAAUAUAAGCAUUUAUGGUAUCGUUUUCUUCUUGUUUACAUAAAGAUGAUUUAAAGUCUAAUGAAUAAGUGCUUUUACGCUACCCAUAAAACUUAAAAAGAUGAUGACUUGUCUAUAAAAGUCUUAAAAGUGGGUACCACUCUUAAAGUUGAGGAUUAAUACCUCCAAAUAUCUAUACAAAAAAAAAAAAUUAUACUUAGAUUUGCAAUGAAGAAAGAGGAAAAGACUUUUUUUUUUUUUUAUCCUAUAUGUAACCUUCAUGAUCUUUAGCAUAGAAUUACUUAAAAGAGGUGAAUAGGUAAUUGUAACGUUCUUGUUGUGUUUUACAAGAUUGUGAGAUCAUAGUUCUCAAUCAUGUGGAUAUUAUUCGUUUUGUGUUUAAGGAAUUCUCAUGAUUUUAAAAUGCGUUUAUGAGGUUAAGAGUAAAAGGAUGACUCCAAAAACUUUUUCUCUUAUUUGAUGUAAGAUUACAUAUUAAUACUUUUUAAUUCAGUCCAAAGAUUACAAAUUUUUGUUUUUUUAAGAAUUUGUGAAUAUAAAAACUACGAGGCUAGAGAUUGUAGAAUUAUAAUCUACUAAUUAUCAAAAAAAUUAUGUAUACAGAUUGACAUGGUAGUUACUAAGUUUAUGAUGGACACAACCACCUUAUAGACUCCUCGACACCUUAAGGAAAUGUGGUCCUCAACAUUUGAGAAUUUCAAACUAAAUGUUAAAAAUAAUGACUUAAAGCUUAGGUGUUUGAAUUUUUAACAGAUUUCUCUCUAAAAGCAAAUUUAUAUGAGAGAAAAUUUGAACUCAAUUUAGAUAUCUUAUUUAUUGAAAAAUAUAAUUUGGGAAAAUUAGAAAAUUCUAAAAAGAUCUAGAAAGAUUUUUUUUUAAUUUCUAUUUAUUUUUUCAAAUUAAUUUUAUUCUCAAUUUCCAUUCAAGUCUACUUUAUACCUAUACAUCUUUGUGUCCAAUUACCUUAAUCAUACUUGCCUGUUAAAUAUUGAAGUGAUUAUGUAACAACAUUCAUAAAUAAUGUAAAAAAAUACAAAAAGAUUUAGGGCUCGUUUGGUGGUGUUUUUAAAAUAGAGAACAAAAAAUAAUUUUUUAGAAUUUUUUAAAAACUAGAGUGUUUGGUAAGUUGUUUUAAAAAAAUAAAUUUUUAAAACAAAAAACAAGAAACUUGUUUAAAUGAAAUAAUUUUUAUUGUUUUUAAAAACAAUGUAUUACUUUUAUUUUAUAAAAUUAAUUUAUAUUAAUAUGAAAUCAAAUUCAAAUUAAGUCUUAUUGAAAAAUAAAAAUAAAAAUUAUAGUUACAUAUGAGUUAAAGAUAAUUUUUUUUUAAUUAUGAAACAAUUUUUUUUUAUUGUAGGGAAACAAAAAUUUCUAUAAGAUAAAAAUAAUUUUAAUAUUCAUUUUUAAUACAAGUGUACUUCAAUUAUUAUUAUUAUCAUUAUUAUUUGUUUGAUCAUGAUUUCUCAUGCCUUUUUUUUGGAAACUUUUUUUAAGUUAAAGAAUAAUAAAAAGUUUUUUAAUGUUUUAUAAAAUUAAGGAUAUUUGAUAAGUUAUUUUUAUAAAAGGAUUUUAAAAACAAAAAACAAAAAGACUUGUUUGAAUAAUUUUUUUUCUAAAAAAAAAAUGUUUUGAUUUUGUAAAAACAUUUUAAAUUCAAUUUAUAUAAUAUUAAUUAAUUAAAUUUAAUUGAAAUCUUAUUGAAAAUGAAAAUAAUUUUGUAAUUAUAAAUAAAUUAAAAUAUAUAUAGUUUUUAGUAAAACAUAAGUAGUAAUUUUAUAAUAAAAUCAUAAAUUAUAUUUUUAGGAGAAAAUACACUAUUUUAUUAUAUGUAAAAAAAAGAUAAACUUGUUAACAAAUCUAAUGCAUUAAGCCUUGUUUAAUUUGAUUUUAAUUUACCUAGCGAAAAAAAAAUUGAAAAAUAAUAAUUUUAUGUAGAAGAUAAAUGAUAGAGUAUAUGUGCCUUUUUAUUAUUUUUAAAAAUGAGUGAAAACAACUUGUACUUAUUCUCUAAAAUGUGUUCUCUAUUUUACUUUGCUUUUACAAAUCGGAAAUGGAAAACAAUAACCAAACAAUGUUAUUAAUUUUUAAAACUAUUUUCUGUUUUUAAAAAUAGAAAAUUGUUUUUAAAAAUUCCGCCAAACAAACUCUUAGAUAGUGUUUGUUUGUUUUUUUUUUUUACUUAAUUUUAAAUAUGACUUAAAACUAAAUAGUACUUCAUAAUGUUAAGUAGUUGAUCAUUUUUGUAAUAUUUUUAUUUUUAUUAAAUAUUAAAAAUAAAAAAAAUAAAUAUCAAUAUGUUACUUUUUUUAUUUAUAAAAAAUUAAAUAUUUUGAUUUUUUCUAUUCAAUAAAAAAAUUUAUAAUAAGUCAUGAAAAAAAGUAGAAAAACAAACCAUUUAAAGUUUGAAAGUAAAUUAUUUUCAGCUAAAAACUAAAAAAACAAACCCAUGAUUAAAAUAAAAUUAUCAAUAUAAAUAAUUUGGUUUUUUUUAUUUAGUGAGGAGAAAGAAAAAAAAAAAGUAUCUGUUUUCAUUCUUAUGUGGGCCCCCGUCCUAUUUGCUUUUGAUUUGGAACAGGGGUAGCUUCAAUGUAUGAUCUUGUCGGAGACUUGGAUUUUGUGUUUGUGAUUUGAAAAGAAGAAAAAGUCUUUUUCAUCCUCUGCAUGGACCCUCCUCCCAUUUGUCUAUUAGUCUCAAUUUCCUAAAUAGGCCCUUUCAAUUUAAGGUUAUUAUUAUUAUUUUUAAUUUUUUAUUAUUAUAGAAAAAAAAGGCUAUUACAUUGUGUCUGGAAAAGUAUUUUGAGAACAUAUUAUGAUAUUAUGUAAAAUAAAAGUUUAAAUAGGAAUCUAACAGUAUGUUUGAUGGUAUAAUUUAAUUUUUUUUUUUAAAAUAAAAAACCGUUUUUACAAUUUUUUUAACAUUGUUUGAUCAUUGUUAUUUGGAAACAAUUUUUAAAAACAAAUUGAAAUAGAGAACAAUUUUAAACAACAAAUAGGAAUUAUUUUCAUUAAUUUUUAAAAACAAAAAAAAAACAUGGACGCGUUUGAUCAUGUUUUUUGAAACUUGUUUUUAAAUUAAAGAAUAAAAAACAAAUUUUAAAAAUAAGUUUAAAAAAACAUGACCUUACAGGCUCUAAAAUGUUUUUAACCCAUUUUUUUUUUAUGAUUUUUAAUAUAUUUUAAAAAUAUAUCUCAUAUUUGGUUUUUUAUUUUUAAUUAUUCUCCAUAUUUAUAUAAUUAUGUUCGAAAAGAACUCUCACAAAACAAAUAAAAGCAACUUAAAAUAACUAAAAAACGUUAUUUGAAAACAUUUUAUAUGUAAUGUUUUAUUUUUAAUCAUUCUUCAUAUUUGUAUGAUUAUGUUUAAAAGCCAAUCUUACAAAACAAGGGAAAACAAUUUAAAAUAACUAAAAAAUUUUAUUUUAAAAACACUCUAUAUUUUGUUUUUAAAAAUAUAAAAUUAUUUUAUGUUUUUUAAUCCUAUUUUUCUACUUAUAUAUAUUUUUUAAAAUUUCGAAAAUGGUUAUCAAACAAGGCCAAAGUCUCAUACUUUUUCAAAUUAUAAUUCAAAAAUCAAGAUGUUUUAUUUAAACAUUUUUAAAAGAUAGUUUUUUUUUUUUCUCUUUCUUAUAUUUAAACUUGUUUUUAACAUUUAGAAAGUUAUCUCCAAUGCCCUUUAUAGAGGCCCAAUAUAAUAANGCCCAAUUUUGANNNNNNNNNNNNNNNNNNNNNNNNNNNNNNNNNNNNNNNNNNNNNNNNNNNNNNNNNNNNNNNNNNNNNNNNNNNNNNNNNNNNNNNNNNNNNNNNNNNNUUAUAGAGGCCCAAUAUAAUAAGGCCCAAUUUUGAAUAAUUGUUACCUUCUAAAUAUAAGGCUGGCCCAUAUGUUACCCCCAUUAGUCAAUUGGCUAUGACAUCCCAAUGGGCUGCAUCUUUGGGCCCAGAUCCAAACUUUCAAAUAUUGGGUUUAGUAUAUAUAAUACAAAAGAAAAUAAAAUAUAAUUAAAAUUAAUUAGAAACUGAUGUAUUUUAUAUUAUUUAAUCUUUAUAUAGAAAAAUAAAUAAGUGAAAUAAGUUUAAAAAAUAUAUAAAAAUAAUUUAUGAACUUUAAAUUUAUCUUUUUCCUUUUUUUUUUCUUCUAAUUUUUUUUUUCUAUUUUAUUUUCUUCACAUUUUCCUUCAAAAUUUCCAAAAAUCAAACAUAAUGUAAGGAAUUUGAUGAUAAAUAAAAAAUAAAAUAAAAAAAAAAAUCCUUUUAAUGAAAUUUGGGGUGAAAUGUUUUUGUAGACUGGCUCCAAGAAAAUAAAUUUAUAAAAUUCAAAAUUUUUUCCAAUAUUAAAUUAUAAGACCUUAAUAAUAAAAUUCUCUAUUAUAAGUCACUAGUAUAUAUUUAUAUUCUUUUAACCCAAAGUUACUUAAAAUCAAUCUUGACGGCAAAAAACAAACAAAUAACAUUGCUUUUUGGAACGUCUAAUAAUUAAAAAUUUAAAAGUAUGGUAUCGACGAAUAAUUUCAAAAAAGAGUUGGAUAAAGGGAAACUCGAUCGAGCACACUUGUCAAUAUAUGUUUUGGAUAUAUAACAUCUAAAAGAUCUAGUCAACUGAAUGUAACACAUGCUUAGACUAGAAAACUUUUAAGAUUGACCCCAACAACCACAUUAGGGUUGGUGUGCCUUUGUUUGUUUAGUUUUUGGUUGCCAGCUCUUAGUACAUGGUUCAAAAUCAAAAUUCUAUGAAAUCUAACAUACAUUUCUUAUUUCUCAUCACAUUAUUGAAGAAAAAGAUACAUGCAUGUGUGCAAGAGAAAAAUAUAUACAUAUAUUAUACUAAACCAAAGAAGAAAGUACUAACUCUUGCAUCAUGGUGUUGAAGAAAAGGUUAGAUGCUUAGUCUUUUUUGGCUAGUGCCUUUAGUUAGUGCCAACCCAUAGUGUUGAAGGGCUAGGAAGAUUCUUUGGCCACUUGUGGAUGUCAUUCCCUAGUUUCCAAGAAAAUUCUUGGACAUUAUACAACUUUCCUAGAAAAUUCUUUCUCAACAAUAUUUAUAUUAAAUUUAUUGUGUGUCUAUCAUGCAUCACUAUUCUCAUCUCUCUUAUUCUUUAUUUUAUAUAUACUUUAAUUUUUAUACUUUUUUGAAGAUAGUGAAAGAAUAAAAAGUGAUGUUUGAAAGUGUUACUGAUAUAAAAUUAAAAUAUUUGAUUAAAAGGAUGAGAUAAUACGUGUAUCUUUAAAUCUUUUAUCCAAAAAGUGAUUGAUAAGAUAUAAGAAAUAAAAAAACGUUGAAGGUACUUUAUAAUAUGGAAUUGUAAUCGUCAUUUAUAAUCUUAUCAUCUUAAGCAAUCAAUGAUAUUUUGUCGGAUGUUUUGUUAUUAGAAGGAAAAAGUCUUUGAUUGCCUAUAAUGGAAAACUUAUUCAUCUUUUCCAUCUUAGAUGGUCUCACCAAAGUAAGUUACAAAUUAAUUAUGUGAAAAAUAAGGUACAUUGAAUUUGGUUUAAAUAACCUUAUCAUUGAUGAAUUAUUUUGAAGGUCAAGACUCAUAAUUUAAGUGGGUUGAUGUUAAGUGAUAAUCAUGGUGGUCCACUACAAGUCAUUGUUAUGUUUUUGAGAAAUAAUUGAAUGUGAGAUGAUGUCAUAGUAAGUUGAAUUCUAUUAUGAAAUUAGUUUGACCAUGGGAUUUCCUCUAAUUUCUUUACAAGGAAAUUAUCAAUUAAAACCUAGUGAUGUUUUCGUGAGACACUACUUAUGUCUUGAAAUUAAUUCAAUUAAUGUAUUCCUCACCAUUAAUAUUAUUGUCACGUAGACUUGUAAUCAAAGUUGAAAAUAUCUACUAUAUUUAUGACAUUUUCAUCGAAACAUCCGUAAUUUAGAGGUACUACUAUCAAAAUAAGGGGAUGUCGAUAUUUCACCGAUAUUUGAGAAUUAUAUUGUGAGUGAAAACAUGUGUGAUGAUAUAUUUUAAACAAUAAUUCGAAAAAUAAUUUUCACAUAUUUUAGUGUUUUAAAUUGAAAUGAGAACACUUUACAAAAUUGAAAAUGAUAACAAUAAUGAAUUUUAAAUAAAAUUGUCAUCAAUAAAGAGAAGAAAUCAAAGAUAUAUCAAGUUUAAGGAAAAUCAAGAAAAAUGAGAAAACCUCAAAGAAAAGAAGAAUCGAUACAUAUUUUCUAAGAUCUCUUUGUAUGGUUAUAGGUGUAUUAGGUUUAUAUUGUAUUUUUUUUAUUUAAAAAAAAAAAAUUGGAUCAAGGACAAAACCUCAUUUUUUUUACAUGUAUUUCAUCAUUAAAAAAAUUAAAUUAAAUCCUAAGUUUUCAUAUUAAAACAAUAUGUGUCAUUAAAGGUUAUUUGUGUAUCAUUUUCUCAAAUUUUCUAUUUGUUUGACCAAUGGUGGAUUAAUAGGUCGAUUGAUUGGAUAAAGUGUUCGAUUGGUUCAAAAGAUUUUCAAAAUGAUAGAAGCUUUUCUCAAUUGAUUGAGAUAGAACCUCAAUUGAAUUGGUGAUCAAUUGACAAAGUUCUUAUGAUCAAAUGGUCACUUUUUGUACCUUCUGCCACCUAGGGAUAGUUUAGACUUCCAACUUCUAUUUAAAGGUUCCAAACUUUUUGUAUUAUUGAAAUAAAAGUUCUAAAUCAUUCUUAAUAUUAUUUGGGAAUUGAAAGUGUUGUUAUACAGUGUACUUGCUUUUAAACUUACAUUUCAUCUUAGUGUACCUUUUAACCUUAGUUUCCUUAUAUUUUAUUGUACCGGGAAAAAUCUUAGUGUGAAAUAUAACUUAAAAGUUUAUUUAGUGUGAGGUAUCACUUAGAGAGUUCAAAAGCAAAGCAUCUCUUAAAAAAAAUUGUAAAUGUCCAUUGAACAACAAUAAAAAUCUUAAAUUUAGAAUUUUUUUCUUUUCCUACUGUCUUUAUUUACUUGAAAUUGUUCUUGUUUUGAUUUUUUUCAUGUUCUUGUUUAUAUUAUCAUUUGGGCUCUAUAAUUGUUAAAUUUGUAAAAUAUGACAAUCAUCAUAUUCACCCUCCAUAUAAUUAGAAUCUUAUAUAUAUAUAUAUUUUCUUUCUAUUCUUAAAAGUAGAAAAAAAAUAUAUAUUGUCUGAGAACAAUUUUCCAAAUCCCAAAAUAAGUUCAAUAAAUAUUUUAUGAAAAAUAGGUUUUUAAGAACUUUAAAAAAAAGAAAGUGUUUUUUAGGACAUAUUUUAAUUAAUUUAAUGAAGUCUAAUGAUUGUUUUAUAAAAUAAUGGUAUAAAUUUGAAAAACGAUUAAAAUUAAAGUAUUAUAAACAAAAAAUGUUUGAAAAUGAAUUGAAAAUAUUUCAAUUUCUUGAACAAACUUUUAUUUUAUAUCGACAUACAUUUCCCCCUAACUAUUUGUAUUUUUUUUAAUUAAAACAAUUAUUCAAAAUAUUCUUAGCCUCUAAUUCAUAAUUAAUCGUAACAAAAAAAGAUGAAUAAAAUAGAAAACCAAACAUCAAAUUUCCUUUUACCCUCAUUGUGGUUUCAAUCAUAUGCAGCAUUAAGGAAUCACACAAAAAGAAAGAGAAGGAUAUGGUAGAUCUUGCAUUAUGGAAGAAGAAGAAAGACAACAAACUCCAUUGGAAUCUUCACUACUCCAACUUAAUUAAUUACCAAAUAGCUAUAUAUUCAAAUAAUUAUUAUUAUUAAUUAAUUAACUACAUGAAAUGUUAGAAAAAAAAAAGUGGGAUUACCCACCAAAAAUUAACAAAAAAAAGAAAAAGAAAAAAGAAACCCACUAAAAUGAGCUAUAUAUAAAAAAACCCAACUCAUUUCUCCCCUUCCAAACAGAAGAAAAAAAAAAAAAAAAACCCUAUACCCUACUAAUUCAUAUAAGUUAAAAAAAAAUUGUUUUUAUUUGUCUAUAAAUCCCAAAUUGAAUACUGAUUUUCCACUUCUUCCCACUCACUGAGUUCGAAUAUCUCAUCACUCAAGACCAGAGGCUCCUCUCUCAACUCCAUCAUCCACAUCCUGGGCGAGUCCAUCGGCCACUCGUUAAUCUCCCGAAUCUCACUCGCUGACAACCCAACCCGAGUCGGAACCGAGCUCAUACCCACCCUGGACGGCGACCUCGCCGAAACGUCCCCCGACGCUAUGCUUUUUAUAUGCAAUGCCGCCUGCGCCGACGCGAACUGCACGUCCUCGGGACUGAAGCUAGUCGGCCGAGGGAAGCUCGGCGCCAGCUCGGGGAAAUUGAGCUCCGCCCUGUGGCCCUUGAGGUGGAGCGCGGCCACGUCGUAGGCCGCCGCCGCCAUCUCGGGGGCCUCGUAGCUGCCGAGCCAAAUGCGGGUCUUCUUCCCCGGCUCGCGGAUUUCCGACACCCAUUUCCCCCAUUUCCGCUUCCGGACGCCCCGGUACGACGGUAUCGGCGCGUGAGGAUCGGCUCGAUUUUUCAUUUUGAGGCUAAGCGAUCGGAUGAAGCUGUGGGUUUGAUAAAGAAAAUCGGCAAACAAGUAGGAGUUGGCAUGAAGAAGUGAUAUAUGUAUAUAUAGAUAGCGAAUUUAUUUAAUUAAUAUUAUUAGAAUUCAUACGACUUUCCUUUGAGCUUCAUAGUCUAAGAAAAAGUUAGAAAAGAUGCAGGGUUUUCACACGUGAUUGUUUCCUUCAUUUUCUGGUCGGCCAAUCAGAGUAUGGCACGCGUUGAAUUUGUGGGAAUAUUUUAUUAGAUGUUAAUAUUUUAAUAACCGGCAAGUAAAAGUCGUCCGCAUUGGAAAAUUUCCAACACGUUAAUUAUUAGGUAGUACGAGUCAAAAUCAAUUCAACGUGGUAAGGUUUUUAGCCAUAUCUUUCGGGUUUUUUUUUUUUUUUUUUUUUCUUUUUUAAAAAACUUAUUUUAAUAUUUUAUCAUCAUGAUCCCAAUAUAACAAUGGAUAAAGAUUUUAGAGAAAAAAUAUGACCCACAUGGUAACUAUUUUUUAAAAUAAUUGUUGACAAAGGUUUUUAAAAACUUUUAUAUGAUGUUUUAUAAAAUAAAAAUUUGUUUGAAAACCUGAAAUAUUUUUAAUAUAUUUAUAAUAUUUUUAAAUAUAUUUUAGAAAUAAAUUUUAUGUCUAGUGUUUUAUUUUUAAUCAUUUUAUAUAUUUAGUAACUGUUUAUGAAAAUUGUUUUAUAAUAUUUUGUAUAACAAAAAUUUGUUUGAAACCUAUAAUAUUUUUAAUAUUUUUCAAAAUAAUUUUUAUGUCUAAUGUUUUAUUUCUAAUCAUUCUAUAUGUUAGUAUAAUUAUUUUUUUAAACAUCACUCGAAAAACAAGUUAAAAUAAUUAAAAGAUGUUCUCGGAAAACAUUCUAUUUUUUGUCAUUGAGAACAAAAAAUACCAUAUUUUCUACUCUUAAGAACAUAAAAUAGAAAAUAAUUUUUAAUUAUUAAACGUAUUUUCCUAUUUUUGUUUUGGAGGACAUAAAACUGUUUUCGAAAACAGUUAUCAAAUAGACUCAUAUUAUAUAAAAUACUAUGUUUUCAUAAAAUAACUUUUUGUUGUUAAACAUGUUAGCCCAAGGGUUCUCCUAAUCGGGUUUUGAUAAUAACAAACCAUGGUUAAGUGACUAAUUUGUUUAAUGGUUAAGAAUCUCAAGCAUAAACUCGAAAAUUUAUCAAAAGACCAAAUGGAUACAAGAUCGAGACGCUUGGAAGACUUGUGAUCAUAGAAAACUAAUGUAAGAUGAAUGUAGGAGUGCACUUAGGAUUUUCACACGUUUCAUGCAACUUAUAAAACUCGGUUUAUUAUUUAAAACUUCAAUUUCAUUAAAACUCAAGUUUUUAACUAACGUACCUUAGACAAAAUGUUUUAUAAUUGACUUUAUAAUUCACCUAAAGACCUUUCCUAAGUGUUAGAAAAGAAAGGAAUUAAAAAAAUAGGUUUUCGGGGCAAAAAAAGCUCAACCGAUCGAGGUUAUGGCCAACCGGCUCAACCGGUUGAGGAACCGGUCGACCUCGUCCGAUCGAGGGAUGCCAAAAACUUUCUCUCUCUCCCAGUGGCCUUUUCUUCUUGGUUGAGGCAAUGAUAACCUGUCAAGCAUUAAAUGCUCCAACGGCUAGUGAAUCGGUCGACCCCUAGCUUGAUCGGACGAGGUUACCUUUUGCUGUUUUUGACUCCCGAGCUUAGAAACCUAUAAAUUGAGAGUUCCACUUCAUUUAUUGACAAGAGAACACUUGCAUUCAAUAGUCUACCUACCUAUUCUUGAUAAAAAAGCUCUCAUUUCAUUCAUAAUGCAUUAAAUCACUACUUGCAUAUCCUUUAGUGCACUCUUGUGUGUCAUCCUAGCUUUAUCUUGUAUUUGAGCUAUCUUUAAGCUAGGUUGAGAGAUUAUUUCUUGUAAAAAUCUGAGUGUUAAAACCUUUAAGAGGUUUGAAUAUUGAAGAGAUUGUAUAAGAACCCAUUGGAGCCAAAAUCUAAGUGUAAGAAGAUUGGAAGCUUGGUUGAAACUUCAAAUUAGUGGAACCCUCACUCGAUUAGGAAAUUGAGGAGAGUGGACGUAAGCAAGGAAGUGUCGAACCACUAUAAACCCGAGUUUGAAUUCUCUAACUCUAUCUCUUUAUUUUGUUUAUAUUGUAUUUGAAUUUGUUGUGGUUGAAAAGAUUUUAAAAACUCAAUUCACCUCCCCAGAAUAGAUAAUUAAUUAUAAAAAUAAUUGACAAAUAGACGUCUACGCCUUCUUUGGAAAGUUAUUCAUCAAAAUAAUUUUUAUUUUUGAAAAUAAAAAAUAGUUUUUAAUUCCAAAAAUAUGUUUAACAAUUUUUUUAAAAAAAAUAAGUUACUUUUAAACCAUUAAACUUAAAAUAUAUUUAAAAGGAAGUAUUGAAAAACUUAUAUUAAAAAAAUAAUAGUUUUAAAAAUUAUUUAUAGAAAAAAAUUUGAAGUAGCAAAAAAAUUUUGCCACCUCAAAUUGUAAAAUUAUUUAAAAAUAUUGAUUUAUAAAAGUUAUUUUUAAAAUUAGUUGUACAAAUGGCAUUUCCACAAUAGGUUUGAUGUCAAUUUCAUGACAUUUAUUUUCUAUUUAUGACGUGGGGUACUGACAGGUGUCAGUAAUUUGACACAAACACAGUUGUCCUUUUGUCGUUCUACAUAUCAAAAUCAGUGACUGAAAAAAGAUUCUAAGCCGGUAGCCAUAAAAAAUUGGGAACUGUGCUACCUGAUUUUCACCAUUGUAUAUAAAGGACACAUGCUAAUUAAAUUUUACACGUGUUAGUGUUUUUUCAUUUUCAUUUUUUAAAAUUUUAUUAUUUUUAAUCUUAUUAUUAUUUUUCACCAUUUGGAAAGCAUGUUGAUCAUAAAUUCAUAUUCUGGACUGCCAUGUCACCUUUGCUAUAAUUGGAAAUAAAAAUAAAGAACAAUAAAUAAUACCAAAUUAAUUUAUUCUAUUUUGAGUGAAAUAAUCAAAUAAGUGAUAUUAAAGUCUCGUAUGAAUUUAUGAGUUGAGUGUAGAAGUUGAAUUUGAUUUUGUUUCUUUAAAUUUGUUCAAUCACAUACAGACAAUUAAUAUUUUCCCAACAAAAUAAUAAUUAUAAUUAAUAUUCAAUUAAAUUUCCAACUACUUUGUUAGCGAUGAUAAAAUCCAAAAAAAAAAAGAAAAAAAUAUUGUAUACAUAGUUGGAAUGAUUCAUAUGAGGGGUUGUGAUUCAUCACAUUAUACAUGCACAUGAGAUAGAGUAUAGUUGGAAUGGAUGAUUGUUCUACAAGGUACCAUUAAUCAUCUUGUUUGUUACUAUUUCAACUACUACUCCCAAGCUUUUUAAAAUGGUCCCAACGAUGNNNNNNNNNNNNNNNNNNNNNNNNNNNNNNNNNNNNNNNNNNNNNNNNNNNNNNNNNNNNNNNNNNNNNNNNNNNNNNNNNNNNNNNNNNNNNNNNNNNNGUUACUAUUUCAACUACUACUCCCAAGCUUUUUAAAAUGGUCCCAACGAUGUCCUCUUCAAAUUACCCUAAAUAAAUAAAUAAAUAAAAUUUUACCUUUUUUCUUGUCUUUUCAUUUUCACAAUUACCAUUUACUAGGGCAUUGUGUUGUCCUAUAUAUUUUUUUAAAAUAUAAUUUUUUUUUAUUUUUGAAUUUUUUUUCCCAAAAAGAUGCCAUCGAGGUAGCCCGUCUCGUUUGAAUCAUAUCAAUUUGUAUAAAAAAGUGAUUUCCUUGUUUCCACCCUACCUGAUUUAAAACCUUUUGAUUAUUCUUUUUAGUUCUAAAUUAUAUUAAAUAAAUAUUAUUUAUUAUUGGAUUAUGAAAGUUAAAUCAAUUUUGUUAUGCUUUGUUUAGGAUGUCGGAGGUUGAACUCUCCACUAAAUUUACUAGGAUUGAGCAACCCGAUCAACUCACAGUGGUUGAAGUGGGGCAAUGCCCCUUGAAUAAUUUUUUUUUUUUUUUUUAUGUGAUAAAUGAUGAUUUUGCUCAUAUUAUAUAUUUAACUUUAUUAUGUUUUAAAGGUUUUUUUUUAGAACGUAAUCGGUAAUCCUAUUUCUUUUUUAUUAAAAGAGUGUUGAAUGUUGAUGUAUUCCAUAAACGUAAAGAUCACAUUGAUUACUGAAUCGUAUUAAAAUAUUUUGUUAUUUUAUUUAUUUUUUUAUUUUUUAUUUUCUGCUCAUGUGUGUACAUGGUUUUGGUUAAUACUUACAAAUAAAUUACUUAGAAUUUUCAUAAUUUAUUUUAUGUUUAAUUUAUUUAUGAGGGAUAAAUUUGCAUUUUUAUAUACAUAUUGAAAAAGGAAAUGUAUAUAUAUGCAUAUGGAGUAUGGUCGGAAUGAAUGAUUGUUCUACAAGGUACCAUCAAUUAUUUUGUUUGUUACUAUUUUUUUAUAUUACUAUUUCAACGUCUACUCCCAAGCUUUUUAAAAUGGCCCCAAUGACGUCCUCUUCAAAUUAUGGAAAAAUAAAUAAAAAUCACCUUUUUCUUUUCAUUUCAUUUUUGGCAAUCACUUUCUACUAGGGUGGAUAAAAAAAGAGUUAAUUGUUCUAUAAUUGAAUAUUUCUUUUUGAAAAUAUGUCAUCGAUCAAGAUCAUCUCAUCUAAAUCUCAUCCCAAUUAUUUAAAUUAAUACACCCUAAUAUAAGUCCUUAUUAAUUCAAAUUGGAUUGGAAAGGUGAUUUCCCACAUUGGUUUCACCCUACCUAAUUUAAAGCUUUUUAAUUCUAAAAUAAUACUCAUUGUUGGACUGUAAAACCUAAAUUAGUUUUGUUACAUUUCGCUUGAGAUGUCGAAUGUCAACCUUUUGCUGAGCUCACGAGCAUCAAGCUACUCUAUGAGUUAGCGGGGUUGAAAGGGGCAACGCCCCUUGGAGAAUUUUUCUUUUAUGAUGAAUGACGAUUUUGCCAACAUUAUGUAUUUAACCUUGUUAUGUUUUUAAGAUUUUUUUUAGAGUACGAAUUGAGAAGAGUGUUUUUUAGAGCUUCAUCAUUGUACUCCACUUUUCUUUUGAUUAGUGGAUUGCUGAAUGUUGGUGUACUCUCUAAAUGUAAAAAUCACAUUGAUCGUGGAAUCACAUUUAAAAUAUCAUGUUUUUUUAAUUUUCUGCUCCCUAUUCAAUUAUCAUUCCUAAAUUUAAUAAAAUUUAAAUGUAAGAAAUCGUAAUUUAAGAUCUCUUAUGUAAACAAAGCAAAUUGAAACUCAAGUUAAUUAAGGAAUUUUUUUUAAAAAACUAACACUUAAUUAUUAAUUUAUAGUCUUUUUAGUAUACUUAUUAAUUUAGACAAACAAUAUUUUCCAUAAUUAAUGUAUCCUUUCUCAAACUAUUAUUUUUCAAGUUUUAAGCAAAAAUAAUACGUUUAAAAUAAAUUCAUUGAGGUUUUAAGCUUAAAUUUAAAAUAGUUAUCAACUAUGGUUUUAUGACAUAAAUACUCACAUAAAUGAUAUACACUAAUUUGAGAAUUUUUUUUGGAAGGAAUUUACUUUGAGGAAUUUUAUUUUUUAAAUAAAUUAUUUUUGCUCAUAACUUUUUUUUUUUUUUUUUUGCUUUUUCUUUUUUGUUUUCUUUAUUGAUGGGCAAAUUUUAAGACUCGAUGUUAGUCGCAUUUGCCAACUUCUAUUCUCAUGCUUUUCCUUUUCUUACUCAAGUUUUUACACAAUGAGAGACUACAUUUUGUUCCUAGAAAGUACUAAAAAAAGAAAAAAAACUACUAAGAAAAAUAAUUUUUUCAUAUUUAGUUAUACUAUAAAAAAAUACGAAAGAAAAUAAAAUAUAAUUAAAAUUAAUAAAAAAUUAUAUAUUUUAAAAUUAUUUAAUUUUUAUAUAGAAAAGUUAAAUAAAUAAAAUAAGUUUAAAGUAAUAUAUAAAAAAUAAUUUAUUGAAUUUAUUUAAAUUUUCAUUUAUUUUUAUAUUUUAUUUCCUUCGCAUUUUUCUUCAAACUUUUUAAGAAUCAAACAUAACAUCUCCCCGUAUAUUUCAAAUUAAUUUUUAAUUUUUUCAAGCAAAAACCACAACAACGAUGGUAAUAAUACAAAUACUCCCAUUUACAAUAAUCAAGUUUAUAACAAGCCAUUUAGAUUAAUCCCCACAAAAGAAAAAUCAGUCAUUUUUUCUUUUCUUUUAGUAACUAGUGUAAAAAUGGUCAAAACUAGACAAAAUAAGCAAAUAAAAUUAUCCAAAUAUUAUGACUUUUUUUUUAAAAAUAAUAAUAAAAAAAUACAACCAUCACAUGUGAAAAAAGAAAACAAAGCGAAACAUUACCUUUUCAUCAUCCAUUCAACAAACUUUUAGCAUUGACCAGCUGAUAAUCAAAGGCUGAGGCAGAAGCAUCCUGGUCAAGCUCACCAUCUCAAAAACAACUGGAUCCUGCUAAGCUUCAACUCUCCUUCUACCAUCCCUAGACUCUCUGUCUUCCAUACUAUGAAAGUCCAAAGGAACCUUCUCAGUUCUCUCUCUCUCUCUCUGUCUGUCUCCCUCUCUGGCUAGCUGGUUCGUGAGUUGUGGGCACCGUCCCAUAAUAAUGUACUUUUGAGUACGGCUAGUUACGUGGGUGUGGGCACCGUCCUAUAAUUUAGUUGCGUACGGUUUCCGCGUUGCUGCGAGGGUGACCUCGCACCCAACAAAUACGAAAUCUCGAGGCUUGUCGAUGUGGGAUCGAUAGAUUAUGCAUGCAUGAUAAUUGAUUUGAUAUGGAUAUCGUAUUGAUAUCGAUGUGACGUGGAGUGUUUGAAGAGAAAUGAAUGGAAUAUAACUGCUUUGGGAUCGGGGUUCUAUUUGUUGGGUUGUCAUUUUCAAAAUGGCUGCCAUGCACUUUGGGAAAGAAAAUUUUGGUGACUAGGUGAUGAGGUAAUUAAGCUGUAAGCUCUAAUAGGUCGGCCAACCUAGGAUUAAUUGAGUCUAAGUUUGAAGAAAAUAAUAAUAUCCUUAUCGCAAAAGCUGUAUUGAACAUGAAGGAAUUUAUUAUUAUUUUUCUGACUUUCAUAAGUUUGGUUUUAUAAGUCAUAAGGUUUUUGAAGAAAAUUAGUUAAAUAAAUAUAAAAGCUCUCAUCAAGCUUAAAAUAGAGCUUUUAAUUUCUCAUAAAUCAAUUCAGACUCAUUUAUUUUAUUUUAUUUAUAAUAUAUUGGAAAAUUUUAAUUAAUCUUAAUUAUAUUUGUUUUUCUUUCCUUAAUUUUCAUAGUAAAUCCAAAAUGAGAAAACCGAUUUCCUUAUAAUUUUUUUUAAUUAUAAAGAGAAAAAAUAUUAAUAAAAAUUAUUUUUCAUAUUUGUUUUACCACAAAACAUAUAAUUAAAAUUAGUUAAAAACUCAUAUAUAUUUCCCAUUAUUUGAUCUUAAACAAAAUGAGUUCGAAGAGAAUAAUUUAUUAAUUUUAAAUAUAUUUUUAUUUUCUUUUAUUUUUUCUCUAUAUUUUCUUUCCUUCAAAAUUUUCAAUAACCAAAUAUAACUUUAAUAAUCUCGGAAAACUAACAUAGCAUAAAAGAUUUGAAAAGUAAACCCUUUUGAGUUGGUCCAAUUAAUUUUAGUCUAUGAUCAUUUACAUCAACCCAAUUUUGAUUUGUUAAUUCAAUAAUUAAUUAUAUAAUUAGUCAUAUCUAUUUCAAUAUUGGAAGGUCAAUGUUUUGAAUAAGAGUUUAAUUUUUCAACUCAUUACUCCAAAAUAUUGGUGCCACGUGUUAUUUUUAGAAGUAGCUAUCGUUCCAUUGUCAUUUUUCUUUUCUUUUUUCACAAUGUUAUUAGAGCACGUUAUUGAGAGAUUAAAUACAAAUUUUAAAUUUGACUUGACACUAAGUUAAGAGGUUAGGUAAACAAAUACAUCUAGUUUAACAAUAAUCAUAUCUAUCAUAAGUUAGUGACUCAACACCCUCUACUCACAUGGCAUUUUUCAUGCAACUUGACUUAUUAAUUCAAGUAUGAUAUCAUAAUGAGAAAAUAAUCAAUAAAAAAAUAUAAUGAGUCAUCGAUCUAUUUAGUCAAAAACUCGAGCUUAAGACUUAUUAUCAAACAGUUAAAAGAGUGGAAAAAAAGGGUUUAGUAUGCAUAUUUAUAUCCUUUUUGAGGCGGUCCAAGAUUUUUUGGAAGUAAAUAUAAGAACUAUUUUCUAUAUUUAUCAUUUUAAGAAAGUAUUAACAUUAUGUUUGGUUUUGAAAAAAUAUUAAAUAAAAUAAUUUUCUCAUAAUGAAGAAAAUAAAGUUUCAAAUUACUUUUUAAAAUGCCCCAAAUCUAGAUUGGCUAUUUCAGUGAUCAAUUAUCUAUCCCAAGUCGUGAAUGAAAUUAAAAAAAAUGAAAACCACUUUGUUUGUAUAAUAUAAAGGUCUUAAUCUUCUUUCACAUAGAAAAAUAAAAGAAAUUCAAGACAAAAACCUUUCUUGCAUAAGUGUGUUAUUUCGUACUUUUCAUAGAAAGAGAGUGUAAGUGAGAGAGAAAUCUUUUGUUUUUUUUCUUCUUUUAUGAUUAUAUAGUGAUAAGUAGUUUUAACUCCUAGAUACUAUUCCUCCAUUCCUCAUUUUGUUGGAUAGGGUCGGGUUAGCCCACUUGGGCACCCAAAUCCAACACCAACAAGUUUUAUUAUGUAAAAAAAAUCAAAUAUAAUUAAAAUUUAUAUAUUUUCAAAUGAUUUAAUAUUCAUAUAAAAGAAUUAAAAUAAGAUAAAUGAGUUAGACGUAAUAUAUAAAAAUAAUUUAUUGAUUUUAAAUCUAUUUUUUAUUUUCCUUGUUUUUCUUCUUAUACUUUUACUCUAUGUUUUCUUUCCUUUAUAUUUUCUCUUAAAUUUUUCCAAAGCCAAACAUAACCUAAAAAUACCUUUUUUUUUUUUUGGUCCUAGAAAAAUAUAAUCACAUGAAUAGCUAGAAAUCACAUAAACAUGUUUGAUAUUUUCAUUGUUCAAUUAUUUUCACUUUCACUGCAUUUUGGGUAGGUGAAGGAGAAAGAGAGUGGAUAUUCAGUUUGGGCUUCUAAAUAUUAAGCCCAAAGCUAGAAUGAUUUUGGGUCACUUGGGCUGGCAUUAGCCCAAUUGGAGGUCCAAGUUGUUGUGGUGAACUUGUUCCCCUUGUGUUUAUUUCUCUAAUUUAAUUAUUUGAAAUUAAUUUUCUUUUCCCUUUCUUCUUUUGAUAUCCUUCAUUUAGAUAAACCAUGAUCAAUAUCUCAAUAAUUGUAUUGAGCCUUUCAUAGUAUUUGUAUGCCUUUUGUUUUCAACGGUAAACAUAAAAACUGCAAAAUUAAAUAAAAAUAAUAAUAAAAAAAAAUUAUAGCUUUUGCAUGAAUAAUUUUUCUUUUUUAUAUUAAGUCCAAUAUGCAUAUAAAAUUUUAUGUUUUAAAAUUCAAAUAAAACUUAUGUUUUAUUUUUUGUAUUAAAAUAAAACAUCUAAAAAAAAGACUUAACUAAAAAAAAAGCAAAAAAAAAAAAGAAAAAAAAACCUCAAAACUUAUUAGAGCUUGAUCAAAAUAUAAUAAGACUGUUAAUACUAAAUACUUUGUAAGUGUUAUUACAUAAUUGACAAAGUAUGUUGAUUGAUAAAUGAGCUUAACAACUCCUUACUCAACUGAUCAAUGAUUGAGCGAACCCUUGAUUAUCAACCAUAAUGAUUCUUUGAAGCUAACUUUUGUGCACAAUAUACCACUCUGAUGAUCAAGCUAUUAAGACUUCUUCAGCAAGGGAAUAGAGUGAAAUGGGUUUAGAAAAGUCAAUUGGUCGGGAUGAAUAAGUUUGCCUCAUAUUAAGGAUUGAACGUCUUUAUGUAAUUUGCUCUUACUAUUGUUAUCUAACCUUGGUUCAACCCAUGGUUACCUUAUCAGUGAUUCGAGUAUUGGUCAUGAUCGUCAUUGGUUAGACCAUUGUAACUUUUUAGAUGGUGCUUAAGCCUCUAUGUUUGGGUUGCCAUCGGAUGUCCAAGUUUGCCCUAGGCAAUGGUUAGCAGUAUCUACAUGCUCAAGUCACUAAUAGUUUUCAAGUCAUACUCGUUUAGGUUGUCAAGGAUAAAUGCCCUUGUGUAGUGACUUCAUUUCUACAUAAACCUUCUUGACAAUUGGCUAGAUUGAGGGUAAUGGUCUCAAGCACAUGCUUAGAUAUAAGUCUUCAAAUACUUUUAAAGGAUUUCCUUUGAGUCAACGCACUAUUUAGGUAGGAGAGUAGGGCUCAAUUAUGAUAAACCUAUGCAGGACCUGACCCAUUAAGAAGUUGUUGAUACGUUUAUUAUAUUUAAUAUAUUCAAAAUUAUUAAACAAUCUACUUCAUAAAAAAAAAAAAAUAAAUUAAAUAUUUGAACUUUAAAUUGGCAAAACCGAUGUCUUUCAUAAUAUAUCUUUAUAACCAAGGUCAAGAUAUAGUUAUAUCUUUUAAGAUUCAUUUUAACUUAAAAAAAUAAAUAAACAAAUAAAAAAAUGAAAGUAAAUUUGGAUUCAACCAAUCUCUGCUACUUUCUCUCACUUUCUUCUUUCUUUCUUUAACUUAUUACCUUUUCUACUUUCGGUUAUGACUUCCAAAGGCUAGGUACUACUUUUUCUUUUUAGAGCCUAAUUUUUCCCCAUUUUUUAUAAUUAAAAGAACUUUAUGACAUAAUUUUUUUUUUUUACAUUAUUAAUUUAAUAAAUUAGAAAUUAUUCUAAUAAAUCUACCCAAGCAUGUGAAAUUCCUUUUAUUUUGUUUCAACAUCUUGUUAAAAUGGCAACUAAUUAAAGGUGGUCAUACUAUGACAUAGUAUUGAGAUUUUUUUUUUUUUUUUUUAACUUUGAUAAUGAUAUUAUUUUAUUAGCGAUAAAUUUCAUUUCCUUGUAAUUUGAUGUCAUUUACUCAUACCAAAAUUUCAUUUCUAAUUUAAUUUCAUUUACUUGUAUUAACAUUCCAUUCCUUUGUAUUUUUAUUUAAUGGUCCAAAUAUAUAAAUUUUAAGAAUUGAGAUUAAAAUGUGGGUAUGGUUGCAAAGAGCCCUACCAUAGGAUUUCCCAAAUCUUAUAUAAUAUGAUAUUCAAUUGUGGGUUGAAGCAAAUAUUCCAUUUCUACACAGCAUUUUGGUUGACCAUGGGUGUAUCAUCAUGGGUCCACUCCUCUCUCUCUCUCUCUCUCCCUCUCUUUCUCUCUUUCUCUCUCUCUCUCUCCCCCCUCUCUCUCUCUCUCUCUCUCUCCUUUCUUCUUCUCAUUCUCCCUCUUUCUCUCUCUCUCUCUCUCUCUCUCUCUCUCAUAUGUACAUAGAUGUAUUGUAUUGUGGUAGUAGAAUUGCAUAUUGAAUUAUAAUGGGCUCUAGAACCAUAGCCCCAAGAAGACAAAACACUUAAAUAAAGAAAAAGUAGUCCACCCAAAUCAAAUUAUAACACUAAUCAACAAAUAGACAAAAACAAUUAAUGAAAACAAACCUCAUUUGAAUGAUGAUUACUCCAAUGAUUCUAUUACAUAAAAUAUAACAACUAUCAAAGAACUUACACCACACAAACUUCAUCUCAAUAUACUCACUACUUAUACAUGGAAAUUGUGGCCCCUAAACCCCCACAUUUUCACCCACCAAAACCCUUCACAAAUGAGCCAUCAAAAACCAACUCAUUUCAUGUCAAAUGGAAUGAACUUGUACAAACUUAUACAUAUACUCCCAACCCUAAAAAAUCCCAAUUAAUAUCAUAUGUUAAAAAGGUAAUGACACUAUUUUUUUGUUAAUUAUUUUAGUGUAUGGUUUUCAUGUUACCUAAGCUUUAAUCCCAGAGUGACUCAUUGACUUCAACCUCCUCCUCAUCCCAGUCACUUAUCUCCAACUCACAAGACAUGAUCAUUGACUCGUCUAAGAAUACGGUCUGAGCCAACUCGGUCCAGUUCCUCGGCGAGUCCAACGUCGAGUCAUUGAUCGCCUGAAUCUGACUCGGCGACAGACCGACCCGGACUGGUCCCAACCCAGAACCUGAUCCUGACUGGCCGGCUGACUCUGGCGCCCGGGUCAACCGCAGAGCGGCCUCCUGCGCCGCCAGUCGGAUGUGCUCGGCAGCGGAGCUCGCGGGCCGAGGAAGAUUGGGUGCCAGCUCAGGAAAAUUGAGCUUAGCCCCAUGGCCCCUAAAGUGCAAUGCGGCUGCAUCAUAGGCCAUGGCUGCCAUCUCCGGGGUCUCAAAGCUGCCUAGCCAAAUCCGGGUUUUGGUGCCCGGUUCGCGUAUUUCGGACACCCAUUUGCCCCAUCUCCUCUUCCGGACACCCCUGUAACCUGAAGAAGAAGCAACCGCACCUCCAUGGCUGUGACCUUGAUCGUCCUCCAUUGCCCGUAAAGCUAGCGUACAAAACCAUACUAUAUAUAUAGAGAGAUCGUGAGUUGAGAAGUGUCCUUCCUGGCAGCUUCAAAUGCACACAUGAGCAAAGAUUUAGUGACGACCAAUCAAAGAAGAACAAGUGCUUGAACUUCCAAAAUCAUUUUUAAGGUUUCCGGAUAUGAAAGAGAAGGGGGAAAUGGGAUUAGGGUUACUGUUAGGGACGCGGUUUAGAGCAAGGUGGCAACAGAAAUGGACCUACUGAUCCAUGGGGGGUGGGAGUAGUAAAUGGAUUAUGCUCACAUCAGUAUGCAGUGGUGUGCAGGGAUAAAUGAAUUGAAUAAUGAAGAAAUUAAUACUCUUAAGCCAUCAAGUUUGAGGGCUUUUUGUUUGAUUUCAAGGUGACCCACACCCAUAACCCAUCCUUGUUUCUAGUCAAAGAGUUCUUGGAGAAGUGGCCUUACUCUUCUCUUUGUUUCAUUACAAUUUUUGUUGUCGACGGAGUGUGAUUAAUCAUAAAAAUGACGGUGUAAUAUGUAGUUCUUAUUUUAAAAAGUUGUUAUACAUGGUAAUGACAAGCAUGUGAUGAUGUCACUUCUUGGUAUAAGAAAUCAUAAUUUGAGAAAUGAUCUCGGAAUAUAGAUAUGAACCUCAAUGGAUAGGUCUCGAUACACAUCUUUAAAUGAGUUAAAAUCUUAAAAUAAGUAUGACAUCAAAUCAUAUAAAGGGCUUCCCGUAACCUCAUUUAUGGACAUAUAACAAAUAUUUCCUCAAAAAUGUCUGCAAAAGAAAUGAAUUAAGAAAAUUAAACUUUACUAUAAAUCUCAUAUUGAGUGUAGAGUGAGAUGAUUAAGAUGGACUAAUGUUUUGAAUCCAAUAUAAAGUAUCGACUAAUUUAAUGAUAUAUUACAAGGAUUAAUUUCAUUCACAUUCUCUGAGGUUUUUGGUUAAAUAUAUUUCACCUCGUAAGUUUAAAAUUUUAUCAUGCAUCUCUCCUAUUUCAACUGAGAGAUGAGGUUGGUAAAAAUAAGAAAUAAAAAUGAUAAGGAAUGUAUUUGAUGAAAUUUCAAAUUUAUGAGAACCAGAUGUAUUUAGUUGAAAUAUCGGGGGAGGUGAAUGAAAUUAACUCUAUACUACAAAAGAUUUAUCGAUAAAAACUUCAAUUGAGAUGGACAAGCUUUUCGUGAAGAUAAAAUUCCAGUUUUGCCCUCCAAGCUGUUGGCCAAAUUAAAGUCGGAAAAGCUUGACUUGGAAAUUAAGUAAAUGAAUAAAAAAGUAAGUACAAACUUUCCAAAGGAGAAUCUUCUCAUUGGAGGGGAGAUUUAGCACACUAAGUAUGGGUUUAGGGAAGGUAAAAUCCUAGAUUUUUGAAAACCUUUUGGGUUGAUGUGACUUCAAAAUUUAGUUGCCGUCUAGGCAGGAUUAUCCACGUAAAAAAUUUAAGACUUUUUAUUGUUUAUUCAUUUUUAAGGUUUGGGUAGGUGGGAGUGGACCCUUUUGGACUUUUAGGAGACAUGCUAUGAGUAAUCUGCUUUUUGGGGAUUUCCCUCUUCUUCUUCUUUUUUUUUUUUUUUUUCUUAAGAAAAAAAUAUAGUAGGAGGAGCCAACCACCAAAAUUUGUGGUGCUAGUGAACAAGAAUAUAAUAUAAUAUAAUCUUGCUCCUAAAAAUAAACCAUUUUUAUAAUUGAAUUUCUUCCUCAUAAAGCCCUUAAAAAGCAUAUUCAUUAUAAUAUAGAUGAAUAAGACAUGUUUAAAAACAUUUUCAAAAAACAACUUUAAAAAAAUAAUAUUUUAGAAUUACUUUUAAAAAACAUUAAUUCUCUAAUAUUAUUUUAGAAUAAAAAUCUUUUUAAGAACUUCAACCUUAUUGACAUAUUUUCUUUAUUCUUAAAUAUUUUUUAUUUUUAAUGUUUUACUUUCAAUAAAUUUAAAGGAAAAAUAAAUGAAAAAAACUAAAAAACAAAUUUAAAUUCAAUAAAUCAUUUUUAUGUGUUACUUUAAACUUAUUUUACUUAUAUUAACUUUUUAAUGUAAAGAUUAAAUAAUUUAAAAAUAUAUAAAAUUUUAAUUAUAUUUUAUUUUCUUUGAUAUUUUUCAUAUACAAUCAACUAAGAGAAUUUUUUUUUUUUUUUUCAACAUCUUUUUUAGUACUUUUGAGACCAAAAAACAUCCUAUAAGUUAAAAUAAAACUAAUAUAAGGAAUGAACUUCUAACUCUCAUAUUAAGCUCUUCUUUUAUAUAUAUAUAUAUAAAUUAUAACUUUUUAAUAAAAUUAACAUUGAAACUCAAAAAAUAGUUUGUUUUCUCAAAAAUCCAAAUAGGCCCCAACAAUGGUAAAGACUUUACGACUAUCCCCUCCCAAAUUAAAGCAUCCAAAAAUCCUAAAGCCCCAAAAUCAUGAGCUUGGAAAAGACAACACUGAUGGGUCAGCCAUAAAUUUGUAGAAAAUGGAAUCAAUGUAGAAAGAAUAGAAUUUGAUACAUUUGGUUGAUGAUAUAUUUUCGAUACGAAAAAAAUACACCUAUCAAAUUAAAGCACCCAAAAAACCCAAAGCCUCAAAACUACGUAAAAAAUCGAAUAGAGGGUUAUCUGAUUGAUGAUACUUUUUUAUACUUAAAAAAAAUACAACUAUCAAAUUAAAGCAUCCAAAAAAACCCAAAGCACGCAAACCAUCCAUCCACGCAAGAAGGACAAUACCACAAGUGGGUCAGCCAUAAAUGUGUAGAAAAUGAAGAACACACCCCCCCCAUGUGGAAAUACAAUUGGGCUGAUGUGGGUGCUUGUGACUAGUGAGCAACAUCCACAACAUUCCAAAUUUCAAAAUUCUAGUCAAUUUGUAGUCCAUUCAACGCCACACUUAUCAUUCCUUUUUUUCUUUCUUACAGCUGUAUCAUGCUCACCUUCAACUUCGCUACCAUUUGAAUAAAUAUUUACUCCCAUCUUCACAACUACCAUCACCCCUUUCUCCUCAUACUCACUGUUCCUCAGUACAACUUCAUCAUCUAUACGGUUUCCGCGUUAAUCAAAACCUUUCUGUGGUAGGAAAAAUGAGAAUCUAAUCCCAUCUUGUCUCCCCUUUAGUUGUCUACUACAAUCACAUCAAAUGGGGUUUUUAGCCUAGUUACCUUGUGUUGUCCUGAAUCUCUUGGAUAAAUUGGAAGGCAAAAUCUUUGUUAGAAUGGUUUAUUGGAACUCCAGAGAUCCUACCGACAGGCUAAAACUUUUCUCUCAUACUUUUCAAGAUUCAAAUAGGAUUUUGAUUACUUCUUUGAACCACCAUAAUUUUUAGAAGUUUGAGAUACCAAGAUGAAGAUCCUACCUACCAAACCUUUCAUCUCUGUCAUUGCAAAUGUGUAAUAGAAUCUAAGCCACCAGAUGAGGGUACAAAUAAUGGGAUCAAAGUAUAAAAGAAUGGGACCAGACUUGGAACAAAACAAUGACACUAAAAUGUAUGCAUGGUAUGAUCUAAUGCGUUGUACUUUCUGAUAGGUACUGAAUCGGUACCAUAGCCGGACCGUAAAUUUUAUUAUCUAUUGAUGUGACAUUCAUCAUCUUUUCUAGUCUUGAUCUCUUCUUAUUAAGACACCAAAGAACAAUAAUAAAGAGUUGUGGUAGAAGUUGCAAUAUGAAUAGUAAAUUCCAAGUAACAUGCACGUUUUGAUAUGGUUGGUUACAGCUAAUUCCUAAUAGAUUCAUGCACUACCGCCCUACAAAGAAAGGCAAUAGGAUUUGAACUGCAAUUUAGUAUUCAUAAUCAUAUGAUAAAGAAGUCAAGUACCCAAAAAAUCUCAUUUUUUUAGUGGUUCACUCAAUGAACUACAAGAACUAGUAAUUCGCCGACACCUUUACUCCAAAAAAUAAUCAUAAUAAUAAUAGUAAUAAUGAAGAUAAUAGUUGGUGAAGCCAACAAAUUCCCAUGCUUUUGACACCAAUAAGAUAAGAGUUAGAAUCUUAGGUUUAGGACUUGAAGAAGACAUGCAUCCAACUUCAAUGGAAAGAAAGGGUCACAAUGUAAAGUUAUUGUAUUCAAGGAUGGUUGGGGUUAGAAUGAUUAAAUCAACUAGAGCAUAGAAAUGAGGAAAACAGCUGCAGCACACACAAGACAAAAUAAUGAGGUUAAUAGAGGUUGUUGUUGACUAAAAAUAACUUAAUACACAAUUAAUUCAUAAACAACAUUAUAAUACUUUUGACCUCAGUUCAGUGGCAAGUGAUUAGUUUGCAAGGGCUCACCUGCAUAAACUAAGGAUUUUGUGGACCAUGUAUGUUGGGAUGUUGGUUGUUGGAUUGGGUUAUCCGUAGCCCGACUAUGAAGAGGAUGGGAAGCUAGACUGGACUGGAUCACCCAAACCCGCCCGCUAGUCACUUAGAAAGACACACCAAUGGAGUAUUGGUGUGGAAACUCUGAUAGCUGGGUUAGAAUUAGACUUUAGAAGUGCAGCUAGGGGUUUUGAGUAAGCAUACCUUUACUUAUCAGAGAUGGGGUUUUAUUAUAUGCAUUGCCUAACCAAGAUUAAUCACCUUAUAGCUCUACAGCUAGGGUAGGGGAACAGUCCAGACGGUCCCCAUCGUGUCAGUUUUUUUGCUUAGGGGAUCUUGAAUCUAUUUGAUGAGUGUUCCCUGUUCAAGGUCGAAGGAUGCCAAUUUCAGUAGUUAGAAAGGUUGAUGUCUCUCUGCCCUGUGGAAUAAAACCAAGUAGGUCAUGAGCAGGGGCCUAGGACUUCAGUAUUGACAUUAGACUGGAUUAUGACACCUGAAGUUUGUGUGGCCUCGCCUGUCUCUCGGAUGGCAAUGUGUUGAUUCAUGAAUGGCUUUUCUUUGCAGGUGCUGAGUUACUUUCUGUCAAUUCUCCUAAAAUUUUGGGCAGAAUAGCGUACAGAAUAUAAGAAUUGGUACAGGGUCUAGUAAAUUGGAGUAGUCAGUAGCAUUCCCAAGUUUACUACUCAUCAAUUCCCAUGGGUUACUUUCUGUCAAUUCUCCUAAAAUUUUGGGCAGAAUAGCGUACAGAAUAUAAGAAUUGGUGCAGGGUCUAGUAAAUUAGUGUUUUUCAGUAGCAUUCCCAAGUUCACUACUCAUCAAUUCUCAUUAGCAUUUGCAUAGUCGUCUUAAUCGUACAUGACUGUUCCUUCUCUGAGUAAUGAAAACAACCUUCUUGCUAAUCUGGUUCUAUGGUUUCUUGAACAGAUAGAGGAAAACCUAAGAACCAGUAGUCAAAAUGAAAGUUUUCCAAUUUGGUCCAACAGCUAUAAGAGACGUUUCCCUUUUUCUUACAAUCCCUACUCUAGACCUAUUUAUACAUGUUGGCGUAUAUUCUAUUUUGGAGAGUAUUAUCUGAACUCCAGAAUUGUAGGCUGAUAUUUUUCUCUAGCUUGCCUGCACAUCACAACAAUUUGGAAAGGAACCACUUUGGACAAUUUGAAGAAAAUCCCUCCUUGGACCAAAAAUAGGCAAUGCAAUCACCCCAGGCCCAAUUUUUACCAAACUAUAAUGCAGAAAACUUAAUGCCAAGCAACAAACCUAAAGAUGUUUAGCAAGUUCAAAAUGAAAAUUGAAUGAAGGUUCGAAGUGGUGCCUGAUCCCACAUACCUAAUAGAGCAACCUUAAUUCACUGAAUCAUAAAAUCUCAAACCAUUUUUGCUUCCAGCCAAUAAGAUUAGGUAGCAUGGGGGGAAAAAAUAAAUUCUGGUUUUUAUGAAGAUCAUGCUUUAAUUCCAAGAAGCCAACAUAUGCUACCAGCAUUACACAUAUGCGGUACAUCUGAAAGUUGAACAGCAUAUGACUUGAAAGAAUUUUUCAAAUACAUGUGUAGUGUCUAAAAUAAAUAAUUACAGGGUCUCUAUGAGACAUUUAAGCGAAGGUGAUGGAGAUAAAGAUGCUAAAUUACAUAUUUUAUGUUACGCCCAAAAUAUAGGAUGCAAUACAUUUUGUUAUUUAUUGUUCAUUUUAAGGUAAUUAUGUUAUUUAUUAUUUAUUUUAUGUUAUUAUUAUUUAGUGAUAAAGUUUUAUUAAUGUUAUGAUUAUUAAAAUUAGUUUCCUAUUAGUUAUGAUUGUCUAUUUAUAUAUAGGUCCAAUGAUGUUAAAUACGUUGGACCUUUUUUUUAUUAAUAAUAUUUCUAAUUUGUUCAAAAUCUCUCUUCUGCUUUUUUUUCUCCCCCCAUAUUCUUUUUCUCUCUAUUGUUCUACAUCAAUUGGUAUCAAAGCAAGGUCAACCUUGGACAUGUUUUAGGAAUACUCCCUAUCAUGCUACAACUUCAUUAGAGGUACUUUUUUUUUUUUUUGAUAGAUAAACGCACAGAAAUAUAUUAUAAAAGGGGCAUGAAAGGCGACCCAGAGUAUACAGGGAGUAUACAAGCAUCACCUACAAAAAACCGGAAACAAAAAGGACAAACCCUUACCAACCCUCAACAAGAACCCAACCAGUCCAAAAAAUUAAACAAGGAAAGGGGGCCUUCAACUAUGGAAGAAUUAGCCCAAGAUAAGAGAUUACAAAUGAAGGAAUUUUUCAAUCUUUGAAUUGAUAGGACAUCAUUUUCAAAAACUAUCCUAUUUCUUUCCUUCCAAACCAUCCAAAAUAAGCAAAGAGGAGCUGCCCGCCAAACCUUACUACGCUUCUUAUCCUUUAAGGGAGCAAGCCAACCUAAAAGAGUGUCUCUAACCGAAAAUGGGAGGACCCAAUUGACACCAAAUAAGGAGAACAACAGAUCCCACAAAACCUUCGCCUUAGAACAGUGAAUAAGGAUGUGAUUUAUCGUCUCUUCUUCAUCACAACACAAGGGGCACCUGUUAGCUAAAUUCCAGCCCCUCCUCUUUAGUUGGUCUUGAGUGAGCACCUUCCCCCAAGAGGCUUCCCAAGCAAAAAAGCCCACCUUGGUAGGAACAAACGUACUCCAAAUAAUUCUCCAAGGAAACGGGACUGCACUGCUGUGGUCAAGAGAAUUGAAGCAGGAUUUUACAGAGAAAAUCCCAUCCUUCGACUCCUUCCACACCAUCCUAUCCUCCAAAUCAGCAUUCAGCCUCUUUCCUUGAAUGAUCAGAAGGAGUUUCUCCACCUCCUCCACCUCCCAAUCAUUGAAAGGUCUAAGGAAGCGGGGAACAAACUUCAUUAGAGGUACUAACUACAGCCAAAUCAGUUUUUGGAUGUGUUUUGCAUCAUUGGAGUUCUCCCACCAAUUUCAAAGUUCAAUUCCACCACAAAGUCUUGAGGGUAAUUUUUCUAAUACUUGGAAAUAUGUACCUUUAGUUUGGUUCUUUGGUUUAACAAGUAAUAUACUGGAAUCUUGCCUUUAUUGUCCUAUUACUUUUUGCCAAUUACCUUAUAAAAAAUAAAAAUAAAAAGUGAGCCUUUUAUUUACGCUUACUUAUUUCCUAUCUAUUUUAUAUUAUGUGCCUUUCUUUUGAGUCAUUGCAUAGUCCUUUAUUUCAGUUUAAUUCCUAUUGUUGUGAACCAAGUCUAGAAGAAAUCUGAUAUUAAUUAAAAAAGGCAUGUUUUAUCUCAGCAUUACCUAAUUUUUUUCAUAAUUUGUCCUUGUUUCCAUUUUUUCUCAACCUUUGUUUUCAUCACACAUGAAGGUCAUUGAAUUAGAACAAUCCCAUUUGGUCCUUCAAGGGAUGUACAAAACUUUACCACCACUAUGACAACCAUACAAGCUGAUCUGACAGAGGUGAAAGAUAUUACAACCAAACUUGUUAUGGACUUGGCUUAUUUGUUGAAAGAUCUUGGAAAACAUCAUGAGGGAGAAGCGAUAGAUGAAUCUACAUUGGUACAAAACUCUAGUGAAUCCUAAAGACAUAGGGAUCCUCUAACAUACACCCCUAGGAAAACUACUCAUAAAAAAAGAUCCAAUCAAUGGUAGAAUAGUAGACACGCAUGAUGAUGUUUAUAAGGAUGAAACUUUCGGUGCCCCAAUGGCUAUCAAUGGAAAUAGUAGAUAAUCUAGUUCACAAUUUGUCAAUGAUGGCCCUAGGAAUCCCUUUAGGCACCGUGAACCUCAGGAUAGAUACCAUUAUGCACAACAUUGAUCUUUACCUCCAUGGUACCAUUACAACCAUCCAAGUAAAUCCAUGAUGAGGUCGGUGAUAUCACUAGGAGGGUCAAGGCAAAGGCAAUAGAAUGUGAUGGUGGAUUAGACCUGGAUAUGUUUUUUAACUGUUUAGCCAAUCUUGAAGAUUAGUUCAAGUGGAAUGGUGUGACUGACAAUCAACAUAUUCGUUUUGCUAAGAUAAAAUUGGUAGGGUCAACAAAGUGUUAUGUGACAUUGACCAUUUAGGCCACCACCCUAUUUGGGAAGAGAUGGAGUCAAGAUUAACAGAGAAAUACUUAUCAGCCUAUCAUAGAAAUCACUUGUCAGAUCAACUAUUGAACCUUAGGCAAACUACUUCCUCUAUUAUUGAGUAUAUGGCCCAAUUUGAGGAACAAGUGCUACAUUGUGACAUUCAUGAGGAUUAUUGGGUCAUGUUGCUAGGUUUAUAAAUGGCUUGAAAGCUGAAAUUAAAUGUGAGGUUAGUUUACAUUCUCUUGAGUCCUUUUAGGGAAGCUUAUCAUGAGGCCUUAGAAACCAAAAAGUACCUUUGUUCUAUGAGGUGUGCUUCUUUCCAACCUAUUCACUCUCAUCAAUUUUGCCUUAGUACAUUCCCUAAGAAUGCUGAUGGGUCACAAUUUUUCCUUCUUUCAUCAAACAAGGACAAAACCCUAAUAUUGCUCCAACUUUUAGGGCUAACAUGAAUAAGUGUAAUUCAAACAAUUCAUCUAGUUUUCCUUCACCUGCAUCCCAAAUUGAGUGUCAUCGUUGUCAUGCAAAGGGACACAUAGACUUUAAAUGCCCACAACAUAUUAGAACAUGAGGAUGUUGCCCUAAAAUAGGAGGCCCAUGAGUAUUUCCAACUUAAUUGUGAGGAGGAACAUUUUGAGGUUUAUGAGGAUUGAAAGUUUUAUCUGUGAUGCAGUAUAUCUUCUCCAUCCCAACUAAUUGUUAUGUGUGGAAGGGUUCAAGUAUUUUCCAUAUAUUCCUUAUAAGGACAAGGCUUGUAAGUUGGUCAUUGAUGGGGGUGGCACCAUAAAUAUGGUGGUCUGACUCCACCAUUGCUAGGUUUGACCUGAAGCUAGGGUCCCACCCUUGUCCAUUCAAGGUAGCUUGGGUAGAUAAAAUUUCUCUACUUGUCAAGGAGAGGUGUCUAGUUCUACUUAAGUUAGGAACUUAUUUGGAAGACAUUUAUUGUGAUGUGUUACCCAUGGUUGUCACACAUAUCUUGUUAGGAUGUCCUUGGUUACACAAUCAUAAUCGAAGAAUUUUGGGCGAAAUAAUACCUAUGAAUCUAGCAAUGGAGGUAGGGCAAUUGUCUUAAAACCUGCUAAACCAACAUUUAACUAGUGCAAGUUUGAUAAGUCCACUCAUAGGGAUCAACCUAAGCAAAGAAUUCAAAUUUUAUUUCUUAGGCCAUUUGAGGAUGCAAGGCUUGACACUAGUUCAGGAUAUGCCCUGGUAGCUAAGGAAGGUCUUCACACUUCAUAUGAGUUUAGUUUAGAUUACCCUUCCGAAGUUACUCCUUUGCUAGAUGAAUUUAAGGAAGUCGUACUGGAGGACUUACUUGAUGAAUUGUCACCUUUGAGAGGCAUUCAACAUGUUAUAGACUAAGCUCCAGGAUUGCAAUUGCCUAAUCUUCCUUAUUAUAUGAUGAACUUUACGGAAAAAGUUGAAUUCAACUAACUAGUAGAGGGUCUCUUAGACAAGGGUUUAUUUGGCACAACCUUAAUCCUCAUACUAUUCUUGUUUACUUACGCCUAAAAGGGAUGGGCUCUUAGAGAAUGUGUGUUGAUCGUAGAGCCAUCAAUGAUAUCACAGUUUAGUAUAGGUUUCUUUUUCCUUAGCUGGAAGAUAUGUUAGAUGAGCUAGCCGAUUCCCAGUGGUUUUCAGAGAUAGCAUGUAGUGGAUACCAUCGAAUUAAGAUUAGACCUAGAGAUAACUGAAAGACAAUCUUUAAAUCUCAGAAUGGAUUGUAAAGGUUGAUAAUGCCUUUUGGGAUGUUUAACACCCCUAGCACUUUCAUCAAAGUGAUGACAUGUGUUUUAAGGUCAUUCUUGGGAAAAUUCCUUGCUGUCUAUUUCAAUGAUAAUUUGAUCUAUAGAUGAUCCAUGGAAGAUCAAUGAAAUCAAUUUAGAUAAGUCUUCCAUACCCUAAGACCUGGAAAAACUAUAUGCUAACCUUAAGAUGUACUCUUUCAUGCAACCUCGUAUGCUUCUCUUGGGUUUUAUUGUGUCUACUCAAGGGAUCUCCACCGACCCUGACAAGGUAAAGACUGCAAGAGAUUAGCCUGAACGCACAAAGUUGACUACAGUUUGUACUUUCCAUGGUUUAACUUCUUUUUAUAGGAGAUUUAUUUAAGGAUUUAGUACCAUCAUUGCUCCAAUUACUAAAUGCAUGAAAAAUUGAGACUUUCAUUAGACCCAGAAGCCCAUAAAGCUUUCAUAGCAAUUAAGCAAAGGUUUUUGAGUUAGCCUGUGAUGCCUUAAGAGUAGGUAUGGAUGGUGUCUCAAGUUAGGAUAAUCAUCUUAUAGCCUAUUUUAGUGAAAAACUCAAUAAAGCAAAACAACGAUAUUUUACCUAUGAUAAGGAAGGCACAAUCUCUUCAUCAUCAGCAUUUCUAUCUAUUAUCAAAGGAGUUUAUCCUUUACUAUAACCAUCAAGCCCUUAUGUGCCUUGGUUCCUCACAUAAGUUGAGUGAAAGACAUGUUGCAUCGGUUGAAUUCCUCCCAAACUACACUUCCGUUCUCAAACAUCAUUCUGGGAUGGAAAAUAAGGUCAUUGAUGCCCCAAGUCGUGUAACCACCAUGCUCCACUUAACGAGUACGAACGUAGUAGGGUUUGAGUGCAUUAAGGAUUAGUAUCUCACUUGUUGAAAUUUUAGAACUAUUUUUGCGGAUCACUUAGAUAGUGCUAAUAGAAAUUAUGUCAACUUCUCAUUUGGGAUGACUAUGUUUUCAAGGGAGUUAAAUUGUACAUUUUGGUUGGAAGUCUAGCCAAACAUUUUGGUUGGGAUAAAACAGUAGCUCUAGUUGAAUAUAGGUUUUAUAAGCCUUUGUUGAAAAAGGGAUGUUGCUAGGAUCAUUUCCCAAUGUUGUAACUAUCAAUCAAGUAAGGCUAAGAAACAAACACCUUGGUGUAAUCUUAGCAUGCACUUCAUCCUUAAGUUGCCAAGACGACUAGAGGUCAUGAUCCCAUUUUGGUACUUGUGGAUAGAUUCUUUGAGAUGACCCAUUUUUUUGUGUCUAAGAAUAUUGAUCCCAUGUGAUAAAAUUGUUUUUGAACUAAAUUGUGACUGGUUUACCUGGUACCAUAGUGUCUGAUAGUUAGUCUAUUUGGAAGAUGCUUUGGAAAUAUAUGGAACCACUUUGAUGUAUUCCUUUGAUUUUCAUCCUUAAACAGAUAGUCAAAAAGUUGUUAAUCAUAGUUUGGGUAACUUGCUUAGGUGCCUAGUGUGUGAGAAACCUGGUAAUUAGGAUCUUGUUCUAUCCAUGGCUGAAUUUGAUUAUAAUAACUCCGUUAAUUGGUCUAAAGCAAAAGUCUCUCUGAAGUUGUUCAUUAUCUUUCACCUCACUAACCCAUUGAUCUUGUUCCUUUGCUUAUUGAUUACUGUCCUUUUUAUUGAGUCCAGCCUUUUGCUGACCACAUUCAUGACUUACAUACUGAAAUAUGAUGAAAUAUUGCUUUGAGUGAUGUUGAUGAUAAACGUCUUGUUGAUGCACAUCAUUGGAAUAGAGAGUUCAAAGAGAGUGAUUAUGUUAUGAUUUGCAUUUGUCUUGAGUGCUACCAUAAAAAUCCCAUAAAGAAACUCCAUGCCCUCCCACUUGGCCCAUUCUCUAUCCUUCAAAGGCUGGGAUGUAAUGCAUGUUUACUUGAUUUAUAUCUAUAAGUCCAAUUCUCAAUGUGGCAGAUUUAUUUCCUUACCGAGGCACAUUUGAGCCUCCAAUGUUGCCAUCUUUUAUUUUUGCAAGGCAAUCCUACAGUCUUGUGCCUCAUGCUCUUUCCUUAGUCAAUGGAAAGAUCAUCCUAAUACUAAUAAUGCUUGGAUUACUAAUGGGAGUUCCAUUGACUUGAUCUUCAUCAUUUAGAGCAAUAUCUGCAACAAAACUCACCAAAGUCAAGUUCCUUUCAGCCAGGGGGAAAUGAUGAAAAUAAGGAUGCUAAAUUACAUAGUUAGGCAUAAGUGAGAGAUUCUGUAUAUUUUAAGGUUAUUUUGUCAUUUAUUAAUUAUUUAGUGAUAAAAUUUUAUUAAAGUUAGGAUGAUUAAAAUUAGUUUCCUACAAGAGUUAGGAUUGUCUAUCUAUAUAUAGGUCCAAUGAUGUUAAACACUUUGGAAUUUUUUUAUUAAUAAUAUUUGUAAUUCCUUUGGAAUCCCUCUCUUCCACCUCUAUUUCUCUCCCCUAUAUUCUUUCUCUCUAAUGUUCUAAAUCAAAAGGAUUGUCAUGGAAUAGAGCAGGUUUUCAAAAGAAUUGACACACACCUUCUCUAAUUUACUUCUCAAGAAAAGAAAGAUUUGUGAUCCCAAAGGAAAAUAAAUAAAUAAAUAAACAUCACAUAAACCUGUGAGAAGAUUACCAAACUUCAUAACUGACCAGAGGAAAGAUUCACAAAAUCAAGGAAUGAUGUAGCAGGUUAAUGUAAAAAUUGAAUUAGCUGAACUCACAAUUUUGCAAAAGCAAUGUGGUGCAUGAGAAACUUGCGUUGUGGGUUAGAUUGCAUGCUUCCUUUCGUAAACCAACCAAGCACUUGUUGCAGAAUCGUCUUCCACUGCAUAGUAAUAUUACAAACAGAUAUUUAUCACAUGUUUAAUAUUUUCAGUUUGUGGCUGAUUACCAUAUGUCCGAAGUUCUGAUUCAAAUAAAAAUAUAACAAAACACACAGGUAGGAGAAAAUAAUGAUCUAUCUUUUGUUGCAGCAAGAUAUGGUCUAGAGCAUUGACAAUGGUCUUCACUGAAUCAUAAUAAACAGAGAUGUGAACGACAUUUCAUUGAGAAGAAACAAAACAACUGACAUAAUAAAUUCACAAACUAUCAUGCUAGAGGCAUAUAAAUAUAAUUAAGAUCAAACACUUACAGGUUGACACAAUAGCGAUGACUGCAGAAGAAAUGAAAUAUAAGGAACCAUAUAAAGUCAUAUGCCAAAAGAGGUUGAUUCAUCACUUGAGGAAUAGAUGCUUGAAAAGGUGUAUAUCCAUGUGAUGAGUUACAAAAUCAGCAUUUCAAUCAAAUUUUCCAUUCAAAUCCACCAACCAACUUCAGUUUCAAACCCACAGCCAAGAAUCCAAUUCAAACAAAGAAAGCCCGUGGUCCUAACAACAUGCCCUACCACAGAACCAACCCUCAACCAAUCCUCAUCACCAUUACGAACAACCGAAAAGCAACAAAAAGUGCAAAACAAGUCCAAGUGAUGAACAUAAUAAAUGCCAUAGCAUGAGAAUAAAGGAUUGCAAUGAAAAAGAAAAAGAUGAACACUCAUCAGUUAAAGAUUGAAUGCAAUGGAAAACAGUGAAGAAACAGUGUUGGCAAGGGAAAAGCCCCUUCCUUCCUCUUUUUCUCUCAAGUCCCACAUCUGCCUGGCCAUAGCAACUCCAUUCACCCUCAGGUUCUGAUAGAAACUCAUAGAAUAAGAAAUCAGUCCACCUCAUUUAAUAUUUGCCCAAAACAAAAGCAUCAAGUGCAUAAGAGUCCAGUCUUUGAGUUGACCCAAUCAAACCAGAUAACCAGAGUGUAGCACCUUUUAAAAAAUUAAAAACUUAAGGCAAAAUUUGACUUACAACACUGAUCUGCAGAAACGAUUUUAGAAGUUACAACAAUGAACAUAAUGUUUAACCUUCACCGCAUGAAUAAAAAAUAAAAACUGGAUUAAAAAAAUAAUGAAAAAGAAUUAAAAUAUGAAGCUUAAAGUUGCUUUAAUAGCAUCCUGUAAAUAACAGAGAAGAACUAAUAAGCAGAACCAGGAAAUCUAUCAUACAAAUGAAAAAAAUCAUGUGCAAGUACAGGGCUACUCUAGGAAACCCCAUACAGACAAAUUCUAAUAAGUAAUAACUUGAAACACUAUAAAGUACCUGCACAAAUUAUAUGAAAUCUCAAAACAGGAUCUUUCAAGAAUACCCUACCAUAUUUUAAAGAAUUUCUAGAAAAUUACAGUGUAUAAAAAAGUUAAAAUAUAUCUUUGGACUGGCAGAUGAAUCAGUAUCUGUGAUCCCUAAGGAGGUUCCAAGAGCUCACUUAGUGAAAGUAAACAUGCAAUUAGCAUACUCCAUUUCCUCUUUUUGUUAUGGUGAGGCAGAUCUCAUUUGAAUGAAUCUUUGGGCGUCUUCAGUGCGACCAACACGGUUGAGAAGUUCAAUGAUACUAGAGUAGUGUUCAUUGGAUGCCUUAAUUCUAUAUCUUCGGGACAUUAGAUUGAAGAUGAGGCAGGCAUCAUCUGCUAAUUCAGCUCGUUCACAAAUAGAUAGAACUGCUUUGAAAGUGUAAUGAUUUGGAAUGAAACCAUCAGAUUGCAUCUGAUGAAAAAGAUUAAUUGCAUCCUGAUACAAAUCGUUAUAUCCAUAAGCUUCUAUAAUGGCAGUCCAUGCCAUAGAACCCUUGGCAGGGAUGGCCUUAAAUGCCAACUUUGCUUUACUGAUUGCUCCAAAUUUUCCAUACAUCUUAAUUAUUUCUGCAGAAACAAAAGGUAUCGAUUCAAAAUCUUUCUUCAAGAUCUGUCCAUGAAUCUCCUUCCCAAGCUUCAAAACUCGAAGUUCACCACAAAUGCUCAAAAUCCUCGCCAUUGCAACAGAGUCUGGCCUGUGCUUUGACAACUGCAUAGACCUAAACACACCAACUGCCUCAUGUAGACACCCAUUUUCCACAUAUGAAUCAAUCAUGGCUGUCCAUGAGAUCACAUUCCUUGCGUCCAUUCCAUCAAAGAGCUUAAAAGAGUAAUCCAAGUUUCCACACUUUGAGUACAUAACCAUCAGAGAAGUAGCUAUAGAUACAUUGGGCAGAAACCCAUUCUUCACAGCAUAACUGUGAAUCUCCUUCCCCUGCCUCAAAGCCCUUAACUCUGCACAAACCGGGAGAACAGUGGCAACUGUGACAACAUCAGGCCUGAACCCUUCUUGCUGCAUCCAAGCUAUCGAUCUCAGUGCCUGGUCAAGCCUCCCAUUUGAGACAUAACCUGACAUCAAAGCAGUCCAGGAAACAGCAUUCCUCUCUGUAGAGGCAUAAAACACUUGUCUCCCUGAAGCCAUAUCCCCACACUUGCAAUACAUAUCAAUCAAUGCAGACUGAAUAAACACCUGCUUUGAAUAACUCUUUGUCUUGACCACAUAAGCAUGAACCUCCCUCCCCAAUUUCCAGGCACCCACUUCCCCUAUCACUGGAAGUAUUGUAGUCAUUAUAACAGAAUUUGGACAUAUCCCUUCUCUCCUCAUCCACCUCAGAUACUCCAAUGCUUCUCUCUGCAACCUAUUAUGCCCAAACCCUGCAAUCAUAGCCCCCCACACCACAACAUCUCUCUCAACAAUUUCUUCAAACAUAAGGCGUGCAAGUUUAAUUUUACCACAUUUGAAGUACAUAUCAAUCAAACUAGUCCUCAGAAUCGAACUAUCCACCAAACCAUUCUUUAUCAAAAGGGCAUGAGCCUUUAAACCUUGCCUGAAUGCCGUGGCACCGGCAAAGCUCUUGAUCAUACAAGAAAAACUAUAAACAUUCAACUCAACCCCCAAUUCCCUCAUUUCUGAAUAAGUCGAAAGUGCCUCCCUGUAAUGUCUUCGACCUGAAAUCACAUUGCCUCUCAGCAAUGCAUUCCAAGUAUACACACUCUUAGAGCUAACCCCAUCAAAAACCCCUCUAGCGUCCUCCAAAGAACCACAAGAUGUGUACAUGUGAACAAGUUUUGUUCGCAAAAAUUCAUUGUUUUCAAGCCCAUUUAUUCUAAUAUGCACAUGAAUUUGCUUACCAUGUGUCAAAGACUUUGAUUCAACACAGGCACGGAGAAGGGAGGAGAAUGUAGUGGGGUUAACAGGGAUACCUUGUUGGUCACAGUAGUCCAAGAUGGUGAGAGCCUCUUUGAGCUUACCCUGCCUGGCAAAUCUCUGAAUGUCACUGAAAAUUGCAUGUGGGUUCUUAGUAUGUAGUGGCAAGGACAUCGGAAAUGCAUCUUUUUCCGAGAACGGUUUCUUUUUGGGUGAUUUCAAUCUGGUUCUAAACUGGGUUUGGGUGGGUCUGGAGGGAGUUGUUUGAUUGUCACUGUAAAUGGCAUGUGGGUUCUUGGAUUGGAGUGGCAGGGAUAUUGGGUAUGCAUCCUUUUGUGAGAAAGUUAGGUUUUCCGGUGAUUUUAGUGGAGUUUUGAGGUGGGUUGAAGAGGGCUUGAAGUUUGGUUUAUUGAGAGAAUUUGAGGGUUUUAGCAGGGUUUUGGGAGAAAGGCGAAUGGAAGUGGAUAGGAGGGGACUGUCUAUGGUGUUCAUGUCGGAGGAAACCGUGAGUAUGUUGAAAGAGAAGAGUGUGAGAAUCCCUGUUUUAAGGUUAAAAGAAGAAGAAGAGGAGUGGAGAUAUGUUGCCUUUUAACAAAGACUCCAAUGGUGGAAAUGACAGAUAUUUUCCAGAGAAGAUGAGGGGAAGGGACGAAUGAGAUAAUAAAAAAUAGAAAAAUGUAAAAAAUAAUGAAUAAAUGGGGAAAGUGUCUUUCACUGCAUAAGCUUGAAAGGAAAACGAAUGGCCAAUAUAAUUGAAAUUUCAUCCGCUUUCAAAUCAGUGAAUAUAGUUGUUAGGGGACUACCUCUCCACAUUUGCAAAAAACCCAACUAGGGUUACUAUUAAACCAUCAUAAGCCAACAAAAUCCAUUACUCCCAACGGUGCUAAGACUCAUGGGUGUUCCAUUUGUCACAAGACUUUCCCCACUAGACAAGCUUUGGGUGGACACAAGCAAUACCACUACAAAGGGGAUGCCAACGUCAGCAAUGGUGUUUCCUCCUUCAAAGGUGUGGGGUCAACCCACAGCAACCAUGACUUCAAUCUCAACUUAUCAACCUUGCCUGGAUUAUGGCCUGCAUAUUGAUUCCUAGUCAAUGACGAGGUUAAGGGUCCUUUGCCGGUCUAGAAGCCGUGUCUCUAGAUACCGCCGCCAAAAACCGAAACCUCUUAAGAUCAUCACUAAAUUUCCAAAUUUAGGAUCAUUUUUUUAAUUUCUUGUUUAUAAAAUACCAUUGAAAGUUGUGUAUUUAUUUUAGCUCUUGUUGAUUCAAAUUUGUUUCCCCUAUACAUACAAUCUAAACUCGUAGUUGUUUAGUUUUGAUAGUGAUUAUUCAAUUGGAAAAUUAACGCUGUCAUGUGUCCUCCCUUUCAAUAUGUAAACUACAAUUAUAAUAGAUAAUAGUCUAACAAUUAUUAGAAUUGUAUUAUUUAAUUAGUUGAGAGAAAUGGGGAAAGCUAGCAAAUCCCAUUGAUUGGUUUCAGUUCCUAUUGGUUUAGUUCAUUUAGGCUUUCGUUGGAUUUGAGUUCCCCUGUUGAAUUCGAUUGAGAUAAAGAGUGACGAGGGGGAUUAAUUUGGUGGGUUAACUCGCCAAAUUACGCACACAACUCUCCAAGAGGAGUUUGUGAAGGUCAACCAUGAGUAGCCUAUGAAAACAAAGGAUUUUAUCAAUAUAUUAGGCCUAUUGGGAUUCAAAUAUUCAUUUAUGAAACCUAGGGACUGCAUUUAAACCCUACCUCCACCUUGAUGGCUGAUUUUGAAGUUCACAUACACCUUUAAGGAAAAAAAAAAUACAUUUUUUUAAGAUGGAAUAGAAGUCCAUUAGGCCUUGUUAGGAUCUAAAUAUUCAUUUUUGAAACUUGGGAGAAUGAAUUUAAACCCUUUCAUUGCCUUGAUGGUUGGUUUCUAAGCUCACAUACAUCCUUAAGAAAAUUAUGUAUAUUUUUAUAAAAUAUACAUAUAUGUUUUUAAGGUAGACUUAGAUCUUAGUAGACCUUAUUAGAAUCCAAAUAUUCAUUUGUAGAAUCUAGGGAAUGCAUUUGAGUCCUUCCCCCACCUCGAUGACCAAUUUAUAAGCUCACAUACAUUUUUUUAAAAAAUGUACAUUCUUAAAAUAUAUAUAUAUAUAUAUGUACAUUUUUAAUUAAGACUGAUGAAGGCCCAAGUGGGCCUUAUUAUGGUAUAAAUAUUUAUUUUUGAAACAUCGAAAAUGAAUUUGAGCCCUUCCCUCACCUUGAUGACAGAUUUCAAAGCUCACAUACAUUCUUAUAAAAAAUGUGUGCAUUCGUAAAUUGAAUAUGUACAUUAGUUUUUAGGUGGACUAAAACCUCAUAUGCUUUAUUACAAUCUAAAUAUUCAUUUGUGGAACCUAGGAAAUGCAUUUGAGUCAUUCCUUUGUUUCAAUGACAUAAUUCUUAACCCACAUAUAUUCUUUAAAAAAAAAUUACAUUUGUUUCAAGACAAAUUGGGAUCCCACUAGACAUUAUUAGGGUAUAAAUAUUCAUUUUUAGAAUCUUGAAUUUGAGCUCUUCCCCCACCUCGAUGGCCAAUUUCUAAGUCCACAUACAUCUAUAAGAGAAAUAUAUACAUUUACACCUAAAGGCAGAAACAAAGGGUCAACUUUUUUUUUUUGGCCUAUUGCUAACAUCAAACCAAAACAAUGGCUACCCAAAGGCCAACCUCUAAAACAAAGGGUAAACCUUUAUUUAGCCCAUUGCCCACUUAAUUCAACCUUAAAACCUAACUUCCUUUACUACAACUAUUUUUUUUCUUUUUUAAUAUAUGUUUGACCUCAUUCGCUAAAAACCGAAUACUUAAAUGAGAAAAAUGAUUCAAAGUAUAGUAUCAGUAAACAUUACAACACAUAAACCUGAUUUCUAAAUGGAAAAAAAGAAUAAAACUAUAGUCCAAAAUAAAUUCUUGCUGAUAUCUUUGUAGCUUGAAUUACAAUCUCUAAUGAUUGAUAACUUUCUUUUUUGAAGAAACUAUUAGAGUUUUUGCUACUCCACCCUCCAUAUUCUAGGUGUAAAUGGACACUAGGAAUAACUUAAUUGAGAAAAUAGAAGAGUUAUGGGAAAACUCAAAUUUGCUGGAGAGAAAACUUUGUUAGACUCAAUAAUAAUCUUACUAUUUAUAGGUAGUGUUAUUGGUGAAGGAUAAGAAUUCCAAACAAAUGAAUGAUUAUCUCCAUUAUGUUUUUAACCAAUUCAAUUCAAAAAAAAAAUUUUGAAUUUCAUGGAAUUUUAUUUACUCAUUCAUCCUUCUUUUAUAUAACUUACAUGUUAAUGGUGAAUUUUUUAUUUUUAUUUUUAUUUUUUUAAAAAACAUUUAAAUUCUAAAGCCAAAAAAUUCACAUAUUCAAUUUCAAGAAAUUUAAAACUUAACACUCAUAUAUUCUUAACACUUAAUUCUACAAAUCAAUAAACAUCACAAAACUAAAGUUUGAUUUUCUAAAAAUUCAUAUAUUCAAUUUUCACAAAGUGAAAACUUAAAACUCAUAUACUCUUAAUACCCACUUCUAGAAAUUCAAUAUUGUACUAUUGUAAAUAAUUUACAAAAUACCAUUUUUAAAAUAUAAUAAUAAAAUAAAAUACCUAUUAGAUGAGGCAGUGUAGCUCAAAUGAUAGAGUGCUCGGUUUGCAUGCGAGAGGCAUGAGGUUGAGGUUCGAUCCCCCACACCUCCAAUAAGUUCCCCCUUCAUUUUUCUUCUUAGGUGGUUUUUUUAUUUCCUUGAACAAAAUCCUUUUUCUAAUAUUCUUUUGCUUUUCAUAUAUAGGUAACACCCUUUUCUCUAAGGUAGCUUGGGACCCCAUUAUACCUUAUUAGGAUUUAAAUAUUCAUUUGUGGAACCUCGGGAAUGAAUUUUAGCCCUUCACUCUAUUAGGCCUUAUUAGGGUCCAAAAUAUUCCGUUGUAGAACCUAGAAAAUGCAUUUGAGUCAUUUCCUCUCCUUGAUGGAUGAUUUUUAAUCCCACAUACAUCCAUAAGAAAAUAUGUGCAUUCUUAACAAAAAUACAUAUUUUUUUAAGACAAUCCAAAACCCCAUUAUGCCUUAUUAGGGAUUAAAUAUUGAUUUUUGUAACCUUAGGAAUGCAUUUGAGGCCUUCUUCAACUUUCAUGACUGAUUUCCAAAAAUACAUAUAUUCUUAAGAAAAUGUCAUAUAUUUUUUGUAAAGGUGGUUGAAGAUCCCAUAAAACUUUAUUAGGGUCUAAAUAUUCCUUUGUGAAAUAUCAGAAAUGCAUUUGAGUCAUUUUCCUACCUCGGUGACCAAUUUUCAAAGCCCUUUUACAUUCUUAAGAAAAAUGCGUUUUUUUUUUAAGACGGACUAAGACCCCAUUGAAUAUUAUUAUGGUUUAAAUAUACAUUUUUGAAACCUCGAGAAUGAAUUCAAGUUCUUUCCCAUUGAACCUUUUUAAAUAGUUAUUUUUUGAAAUAAUUUUCUUAGACACUUCUUCUAAAAUCUAUUUCACAAUAUCUCUCUUUCUCUCUCUUCUCAUCACCUCUGCCUUCCCUACUUCUCCUUUCUCCCUCUCUCUUUUCAUUACAUCCAUUUUCCUCACUUCUACUCCUCUCUCCCUCUCUUUCCCACAUAUUUUUUCAUCUAAAAAUCAUCCACAAAUAUACCUUCCUCUAUACCCACCUAUACUGCCCCAUCUAUGUGAAGUUUAGAUUGCAACGUCACUGCAAUCUUCCAUACAUUUUUUAUACCUUUUGUAGGUAGUCAACCGGAGGUGUUGAAAUGGAUUUAGGGUUGGUUUAAUUUAUUGUAUGAUGCAUCUCUCGAGGGUUUGAAAGUUUUUUUGUUUGUUCUUUAUGUGUCUUUUUUUGUAUUCUCCAUGUUUUUUUUUUAAAAUGUUUUUUGUUUAGUUAAUAAUGUAGAAAACAUGAAAAACAACUUCAAAUUAUUUUUCAAAAAAUCAAUUUACGAAUAUAAAGAACAAUUGUCAAACAUGUUUUUCAGUGUUUUAUAUUCUUAAGAAUAGAAAAAAAAAAUACAAACACUUUCCAAAAAAGCCCUCAUAUAUUCUUAAUACCAAAUUCCAUAAAUUUAAUUUUCACCCAUUCACAUAAACACCACAAAACCAAAGUUCAAUUUUCCAAAAAUUCAUAUGUUCAAUUUCAAGAAAUUGAAAGCUUAAAACUCAUAUUUUCAAUGCACGAUUAUAGAAAUUCAAUUUUCACUCAUUUACAUGAAAACCACAAAACCAAAAUUUGAUUUUCCAUUAUUCUCCAACUUAAGCUUGUGAAAGUGAUAAAACUCACAUUUGAUCUUAUCAAAAGAAAAUUUCUCCAAAACCCACAUAUGAGAAAUCCCAAGAUUGAGGAUUUUUAAUAAAAGCCUACUACACCAAAAAAAAAGAAAAAAAAGGGACCCUCCAAAAACUAGAUGAUGACUUCCCUACACGACAGUUAUGAGUGGUUGCUGACCAAAACAAAAGGAAAAAAUCUUUUUUGUGAUCAAUGGAGGAGCAGCAUCAUUGGUGGAGGAAUGGUUGUUGUUGUUGGAGGACUACCAAGUUGUUGUGGUGGAGAAGUGGAGAAGAAAAUGGGUUUGAUGGUGAAAAGAGGAGAAAAUGGAUUUGGUUAUUUGGAAGAAAAAGUUAGUUUGAAAAAAAUGGUUGAAGAAAGUGGAUUAAAAUAGGAUCCUCAUCAAAAACCCCAUUUCCCACCUUCAAUCCUCUUUUCAUCCCCACAAAAACCCAAAGAAGAAUAUGCAGCCCGUUAAGGGUUUCAUCUUCACCACAAAUUAAUCUAUGUAUGUUUAUAUUUUUUGACAUUUUACCAGUGAAAAAAAGAAAAGAAAAAGAAAUAAAUAGGUGAUAAUGAAGAUUUUAAUAAACAAGCCAACAUGAGCCUCCUCACAAACUCCACCACUCUCCUUCGACCAUCAAAACUAUCUCCGCCCCUCCUUCAUCCCCACACAGCCUCCAUUGCCACCCACUUCACUCAGAGAAGAAGCAGAAGAUGCAACCUACUAAGGGUUUCAUCUUCCCCACAAAACCCAACUGCCACCAUUGCAGAACCAGUAACAACCACUCAAAGUGAUGAAGCUAAUGGUGAUGGUGGUGAUGAGUCCAUAUUGCUUUCUGGGUCCAGUGUUGUGAGGGCUUUCUAUGCAGGAAUCAAUAGUCAUGACCUUGAUUCUGUGGAGGAGCUCAUUGCCCACAACUGUGUCUAUGAAGACCUCAUCUUCCCCCAACCCUUUGUGGGUCGUAAGGUUUGUCUUUCUCUGGUUGAAUUCCGGGAAAAUUAUUGAGAUUAUUUGAUGAAAUUCCAAAUAUGUCUUGUGAUUUGAUGACUUUUUUUUUUGGGAAAUAAUUGGGUAAUUGUUGAUAAUGCUUGGGUUCUUCAUGAAUAGAUUGUGAAUUUAUUGAAAAAUUUGGAAAAUUUAUUUAGAAAAUUUUUAUAAUUUGUUAAAGAAAAGUUCAAGAAAGUCUGCAAUGUCAAGGGUCAUACAAUGGGUUUUUUUUUUUUUUUUUUUCUAAAUUUUGAUCAAAGACCUUGAAAUUUAUUUCAUAAUUUAGGGGUAGUUUGAGCUCAACAUGAAUGUGCAGGCGAUCAUGGACUUCUUCAACAAAUUUAUUGAUACCAUAAGCAUGGAAUUGCAAUUUGUGAUUGAUGACAUAUCAGAAGCUGAUUCCUCGGCUGUUGGGGUUACAUGGCACUUGGGUAUGUUGAAGGAUCGCUUCUCUGUUCUUUCUGAUUUUCAUACUUCUGAUAAGUUCCUGUUUAGCACCUUCAAAGCAACUAAUGGUGGAAAUGAUAACAGAAUGGAAGGGGAGGCCUUUUCCAUUUAGCAAAGGGUGCAGCUUUUAUCGGUUGGAGGUGUUGAAUGGCAAAAGGCAAAUAAUGUAAGUCGGAGUUUCAUUUUGAAAGAACAAUUUAUUCUAUCAUCACAAUGCAUUUACAUUAACCCUAGGGUUGGCAAAAAAACCCAUUGAGCGGAACCUUGGUGGGAAGGAGAGUGAUAAUUAGGAUUGGGAAGGAGGAAAAUUUCAUAAACCCGAAACAAGGACAAGGCGGGGAUGGGGAAUCCAUCCCUUCCUAGUUUAAAACACAAGAGACACUCUCAAGUUGGCGCGGGUCCUUUGUGGGUAGGAAAAGGAAAAAGGUUUAGUGGACAACUCCUUUGUGUCUUUUUUGGACGACCUGGAAGGAAAGGAAUAGGAUGUUCGAUAACAAAGAGCUUUCCAAUUAAGGAAUUAAACUUGCUUUUCUUUGUAAUCAUUGGGCGUGGUCCAAAUUGUUUAUAGCUUUGAGCUCUUCCUCUAUUGUAGAUUUUGUGGAUUUGAUAGGGGCUCGUUGAAGGGUUUUGUUUUAUGAUAGUCCCUCUUUCUUUUUUGGGUGGCGUUGUCGGUGCUCUUUGUAUACUCUUUGUGUACUUUAAGAUGUUUUUUUGGAUUUUCAUGGCGGUUUUUUGGCGUUUCGCUUUUUAAAACACGUUUUCUCUGUAACUAUAUAUAUAUAUAUAUAUAAAGACACGGAAUAUGGUAGGGAUGGGGAAUAGAUUUACUAGUAAGGACAGGGACAAGACGGGUUGCACUCUCCUAGCCCAUUUACAUCUCUCUAGUUAACCCACAAUCCUGAGAAGAGAUGAGUUAUGCUUGAUGAGGAUGAUCCCAUUUGACACCGUUCUGAUCAAAUAUCCCAUGACAUAGCAUAGAUGGAGCCAAGUGCACAAGAAAAAACCGGAGGAGGGGUCAACAAUCUUAUAUCUCUUUUCUCAAUGCAAUUUGGGCAGUUUCUAUUUUCUUUGAUAAAAGGGUAUUUCCAUGGGUUUGUCUUGGACGUAUUUGUACAACCAUAUUGAAUGAUCCUUAGAAACCUGCAAAGAAGAUACUAGUUUACAUUUUUUUUUCAAAUGAUGAAAAAAGGAAAAAUGGAAAUAGCAUUAGGCUAAAGCUUAAUUUGCAAAAGGAUAUAACAUACUUUCCUUUCCCUUGUUGUAGAGUUAAUAACCACUUAAGCCUAUCGAAUUUCUUGCUACAAUUUAAUAAAAGCUAAAUACCUUUGGAGCUAUUUCAUUAGACCCUUACAUAUGGCAUAAGACAUUUUCUUGACCUUUCUCACACAUGUUUGCCGUGAUCUCUUUUGGUUGGAUAAUCGCUAUGAAGAUUGUCUUGUAUUUUUUAUGAAAGAACUCUAGAUUUGCAUUGAUUUUCUACCAAACCCGUGUGAAUUUUUUUUUUUCUUGAAUGCGUCAUUUGUCGUUCGGUUGCUGAUCUUAGCUUUGUAAACAGUUAUGGGCGAGAUAGCGUGGAGCCAUUUUUCAAGCCAGGAGAGACAGCUUUGGUACGUUUAUUAACUUUUAGACCAUAGCUUUUAGUCUAAAAUAGAAAAUUAGAAACCAAAGCCAAAACCACAAAUUCAAAGGGGAAUUUUUUUCAUUAAAUCUAAACAAAUUUUCUGUAUAAGCUAAAAGGGGCUUUCACAACAAGUGACCUUACACUUAUUUCCAUGUUAAACUCUUUUGGAAGCCAAAAAUAGUUUAUUAAAACCAUCAAGAUGGGAAUAGAAGUUAUUAUCGGGCUUAAAAAACUGGUUUUGGCUUCUGAAAAGUCCAUCCAAACAGCCGUUGUUAUUCUUACACCCGCAACAACUGCUUGUAAAACCCACAUUUAACGCAGCUUAACCAAUGAUCUGAGCUGAUAUUUGGCACUAGGUGCAUCCCAAGGGACACUCUUGAUAUGCAAACAUAUCUUCUAAACUACUUUAUUUGACUUGAUGGGUUUUAAGUUUUAACAAACAGCUUCUCUUGCACCAGUCUUGAAGCUCAUUUACAUGUCAUUGCCAAUGGCUCUAGAUCCUUAACCUUUUAGUUCCCAUUCUUUCUUUUCCCAAUCGUUUCAGAACCGAGCUUGAUGAUCAAAAAGUAGUAUAUGCAUGUUAGUAUUGGUAGCACUGCUGUUUCAGUUUGUUCUGCUUAUAGCUUACUGGUAUUUCUGUAUGAAUAACUGAAAAUGCAGGUAGCCAUCAGGGGGGUAGCUUGGCUGCUGCAACGGUUUCCAAAAUUAGCAGACUGGUUAUGAUUCCAUUCUAUGAUGUGGCUGGUAAUUACGUUCAAAACUUGUGCCUUCGAUGUCAAAACCCAAUAGAGAAGCAAUCCUGGGUUUGUAUUUGUAUAAUAUAGUUCUCCAACCAACCCUUCAAACUUCAUAAAACAAGUACGGAUAUUCAUAUAAAGUGUACAUAGAAGGAGAAAAUUCAAAGAAAACAUGAGUUUGGACAUGCUUUGUUAUUGUAUUGUUUUAUAUUUAAGUUGUGUUUGGUUCUCAAAAAGAAAAAAAGAAAAAAGAAAAAUAAGUACCUAUCUGGGGCUGUUUUCAAAAACAGUUCUAAAAAACAAUUUUUAAGAAUAGUUAUUGAAACUUGUUCUUUAUAUUUUGUAUGACAAAAGUCUAUUUAAAAACUUAAAAUAUUUUAAACCAAAUAAUUUUUAUGUUUAGUAUUUUAUUUUUAGUCAUUUUAUAUGUUUGUAUAAUUAUUUUUUUAAAUAGUCCUAAAAAAACAUGUGAAAAACAACUAAAAGAUGUUAUUUAAAAACACUGUAUUUUUUUUUUUAAAAAACUAAAAACAUAAAAUAAUUUCUUAUUAUCAAACAUGUUUUCCAAUUUUUUUAUUAUUAUGAAGAACAGAAAACUAUUCUCGAAAACAUUAUUAAAUAGGUUUUUAAUUUUCUUGUUUGAUUGUAUUAUAAAAAUAUAUAUAAAAAAAUUAAAAUUAAUUAAAAAGUUAUAUAUUUUCAAAUUAUUUAAUCUUUAUAUCAAAAAAUUAAAAUAAAUAAAAUAAAUUUAAAAUAAUAUAUAAAAAUAAUUUAUUGAUAUUAGAUUUAUUAUUUAUUUUCCCCUUUUUUUUAUUUUUUAUUUUUACUUUUUGUCUUUUAACUUUUAACUUUUUUUCUAUUCACAAAUGUUCCAUUGCCGCUCACUCUCAGCAUGCAGCCAAACAAGGUUUCAUCUCCACCACAGAAAAACAAAAUAAAGUAAUUUAUUAUUUUUUUUCAUUUUUCUCCUUUUUCAACAGGUAUAAAAAAAAUAAAUUUACUCAGCCGUGUAGGUGUUACAUGGCACUUACGUACAUCCAAUGAUGCAUUCUAUUUUCUUUGCCAGAUCUUCAUUCUUCCUUCUGCUUCCUCUUUAGCAUCUUCAAAGCAAUUAACAAUGGAAACAACAACAGAAUGGAAGGCCUCUUCCCUUCAGCAGGGGUUGCAGCUUUCAUCGGUUAGAGGUCCUGAAUGGAAAAAGACAAAUAGUUGACUGUAAAUGAGAAUUUCCUCGUAAGGUAUAAUCUGGGAAUUGAAUUACACAUUUGGCAUCAAUAAAAUCAUUGUUCUGGGAAUUUCCCAGUAGCUGAUAAUGCAUAUUUUGGUAUGUACAGGUAGCAUACAAGCAGUUAUGUCAAUGAGCAAAGCAAUAAAAUCAUAUAGAUAGAACAAUGCAUACAAGAAAAACCGAAACGGGGGAAUGGUGAAAAAUGAAAGGUCUCUUUCAGAAUUGUACCUGUAAUCAAAGAUGAAUAUGCAUGUUACAUUUUCUAUAUCUAUCAGAUAGCAAAACAAUCUCUCCUUGUCAGGUGUAUAAUAAACUGACUCAACAUUCCAAGUUUCAAAUAUUAAAGCUAAUAUAUAGGGCAUAUAAAUGAAACAAAUUAAAGAUAGUAAACAUGCAUUGAUAUUUCAGAGAUAUUAGCGAGCUUGGUUGUUGGGUUUUAAUCUUGGCAAGGAAAGUGUCCACUUACGCUACAUUUGGUUCCCGUAAAAUUCCAAGGAAAAUGUAAGGGAAAGAAAAUAGAAAGGAAAAGUAGAAGGAAAGAAAAACUGAAGAAAAAUAAAAAAUAAAAAAUAAAUUUAAAGUCAAUAAAUUAUUUGUAUAUGCUAUUUCAAACUCAUUACACUUAUUUUAACUGUUCCAUAUAAAGAUUAAAUCAUUUGAAAAUGUGUAAGUUAUUAACUAAUUUUGACUAUAUUAGAUUUUCUUUCGUAUUUUCCAUAAUAAAACCAAACAUGAGAGUGGUUUUUUCUUUUCUUAGUACUUUCCGGAAACCAAACAUAACCUUAAGGUAUUUUUCAUCUCCUAGUAUAUUAAGGCCAUGUCCAUGGAAACCAACAAUCAUAAAAUCUAUAAGAACAUGUCUGGACAACACAAAAAAAAAAAUUCUUCAGAAAAUAUUUUGCUAAAUUGUUUCUUUAAUCAACUCAGUGUCAUGUCAUGAAAUGGUUUUACAAGACAAUACACUAUACAGAAGCAAUUCAACAAAACAUUUUAACCUAUGUAGGUCCACUCUAUAGAAAACAAUCAAGACAUCAAAAUAGAGGAAGCAGAGGGGACAGGGAUGCCAAAAAAACUCAAGGAAUUGAAAAUAGGAUUCUUGUACAUCACGUAAAGCAUAAGUACCAUUAAGACAAAAACAAACCUUUACAAAAAAAUUUUAGUUAAGGACAAAAUAAACUCAAAUUUUCAAGCUUGAUUGAUUACCAUCAACAAUUUAAAUUAUACCAUCUAAGAUCUACAUAUCAGCAGCUAUGCUUUGCUCUUAAAACUCAACUACAACCAACAUUUUCACUUCUCUGUAAGCCUAUAAGCCAUUAAUCUGAUCAACAACUAUGAUAUGGUUUGCAGGAAUAUAGACUACCAACACAAGUGUGCCUGCAUGUCAACCUGAUAAGGUGGUUCAGCCCCUCUUCCCAACAUUAGAAGCCCCUUCAAUAUCUGCUUGUCAACAAUCAGAAUAUAGAUUGUUAGAGAUGCAAACUUGAAGUGAAAUAAAAUAUAAUGAAAGCUGAGGUGGGUUUGUGGGAAGUUGCACUUUUGAGUCCUAGUGGGGACAAUAAAAAAAUAUCAAAAAAGAAAUAAAGUUUACCUAUCCCAAAAAAGAAGAAGAAGAAUCAAACAGCAGUAGAUUCACUGCUUUCAGUGCAAAUGGGAAUAUACACAUACAUGCACGUACUAGUCAACCACAGUGAGAGUAAAUUCAAACUAUUGCCAAAACAGAAAGAAGCUAAGGGAUGAAAGAUGACAGAAUGCAUGAAACCAAUCGGUGUAGCAAUCGGGAGCAUGAUCAUAAAAUAAUGGCUAUGGUACAAUAAUUAGUUUAAAGGCUGUAUCAGUAGACUCCAGAACUGAAUUUAGAUGAACUGCCUCACAAUGAAUAAAUGAUGUAUGUUGAAACAAUGGAGCAUGCAUUACAAGCUCUUCAAGAACAGUUAAAUAAAUUGGUAUGCAUUAAAUGAUGCACAAUUCCAUUAGCUAAGUGAUGGUAUCAAAUGAGAAACAUCAUGCUGCCUCAGGAAAAACUUUGACCUCACACCACGUAAAUUGUAAAUCCCAUCCUGAGAUCAAAAUCAAGUAAAAUUAUUAUUCCCUACUAAUUGACGUCUUUUAUAUAUUCUUGUUUGCCCUUCUAAAAAAGAAAUUAUUAUUCCCUACAUGAGAUAAAAGAUAUGUUUUCUUGCAAAAGUUUCGGUGUAUCGCCAUUUCCUCGUGAAGACAAUUGAUAUUAAAAGAAAAAAAAAAAGGUAUUAAGAGAGAGGAAAAACAUCCCUUUUGAGUGUGUGGUUGGGGUGUGAGAGAGGGUGGGGGUUUAGGGCUUCUGUUGCUGUUCUUGUGGGGCAGAGGUGGCCAAAAAGAGGAUAUAAAUGAAGUAAUGAACAUGACAGCAGAAAAUCCAAUUAAACAUAUGAAUUACAAACAAGGUGCAAUGGGAGCAAAUGAUCAUUACCAAGAUGAGUUGGUCUCUUACAACCUGGCAGAAGCCCUCAAAAUCUUUAAAGCUGCCAGCUGAAAGAAAGACAAUCACAAUCCAAAAAAGCCUUAAAUUACCAUUUGAAGUCAGCCAAUGGAAAGAGAAUGCCAUAUUUAAAAUUAAAAAAAAAAAAAAAAACAGGACCAACUACUUUGAUUUGAAGCACAAGGAAUUAGAUUUAUUCAAUUCAGAAAAAAUGAAUAAAUAAAUAAAGAAAAGAAAAGAGAAAGCUAGAUGACACAGUUGACACCAAAUUAAAGGGCCAGUUUCCUGCAGCUGCAGAAAACCUCUCAAACAAAUGUUGCUAAUUCCCCUUACAAAAAGAUCUUCAGAGCUGACAAGAAGAUCUUGAAAUUCUUGUCCAUUGCAAGAACUCAUUCAUCAGUAGACUUUUGGAGUUUUUCCACUGUUCUAAAAUGGUAUUUAAAAUCUCUCCACAAGCCAUUGAUAAUCAAUUGUUGAAAGAAAAACCUUUUGAUGAUAAGACAUCAGUAAAAUUAUUGCAGCAGCAAGGAUAGAUUUUAUAGGCUGAAAGUUGUCACACGAGUUAGUGAGAGGUGAAUUGGAGGAGAAGAAACAGUCUCCUUUCUUGAUAUGGGGAAAUAAUCUAAUGGCCUUACAAAUCCAAAACUUUCUGAAUACAAGCUAACCACCCAACCACUGCUCCAGGAAGUCAAGAGAAAAUUAAAUGCAUGCUAUCCAUAAUAUUAAUUAAGUCACAAGAGCUCUUAGCUAUAUGAAUUUAUUAUCAAUUACGUAUUGAAAAUACAAUGUAAUACCUUUUCUAUUUCAAAUUGUAAAACAUCAUUAAUGAUUCAGUAAUCAUCAAGAGAAUAAUGUUGUGCUAGCCCAUAAGUGCCCACCUGUUUCUAUGGAAGAAAGCAUUGAUCGUCUCUCCAAGCACAAGAAGCACAAUUGGUCAAGGGGUUGAGUGCCAAAUCAAUCCCAAACUUUGAAGCAAUUAAUUGGCAUCUGCUGCAAGGUUGGACACUUACCUAAGAAUUAGAAUCUGGGAUAUUAGCCCCUUCCACACAGAUGGCACCAAGCUCCCUCCUGUGUCAAGAUCUUUGUAUCUCCUCAGUUCAACAUCUAUUGUUUGAUACUAAUUUCAUUUCCUCAUUGAAUUCCCCGGAAGUUUCAUCACCAGAACCAAAAUCUUCACUGGAAAUAUAACCGGCUUCUUUCAUUACCAUGGUCAAUCCUUCCAACAAAGGAUAAAUCUCAUCUGCAUUAGCAUUUGAUGUGUCAUCCACCAGAAAGGGAGAAAACCCAGUGCCUACAUCAACCCAAGCACAUCCAGGAGCCUUUCUCACACCCAAAUCCCUCAUGAAAAUUCUCACCUUUGCAAGCUUGUUCCAACACCCAGCAGCAGCAUACAUGUUAGCAAUCAACACAUAGUAUCCUGGAUUUUCAGGCUUCAUUUCCAACAGUUUUUCAGCUGCCCAUUCCCCUAUCUCUGUAUUUCGAUGAAUCCGACAGGCUCCUAUGAGAGUGGCCCACAUAGCAGGAGUUGGCUUGUAAGGCAUAUUUCUAAUUAUUUCCUUUGCCUUAUUUAAUAAACCUGCCCUACCAAAAAGAUCAGUCAUGCAAGCAAAGUGCUCUAAAUGUGGAGUAAGACCAUAGAGACUCCUCAUUUUUUCAAAAAGCAGUUGACCUUGAGUUACAAGACCUGAAUGGCUGCAUGCUGAUAGAACUGCAAUCAUGGUUAUAUGAUCAGGUUUGAUCUGGAAAUUGUUCAUCUCUUCAAACAGUUUUAAUGCAGCCUGUCCCUCUCCUUGCAUCCCAUAUCCAGCAAUCAUGGAGGUAUAAGUCAUCUUAUCCCUCUCGCCCAACAUAUCAAACACUCUUCUAGCUUCUAAAACUUUUCCUGAUCUUGCAUACAUAUCCACAAGAGCAUUCCAUAGUAACAGAUGAUCCUUGAAAUCCUCACGCCUAGUCAUGUAGCAGUGGAACUCUUUCCCAUGUUGCAAAUUUGCUACUCGAGCACAGAGAGGAAGAACGCUUGCAAUUGUCACAUAAUUUGGUUCAAUGCCAAAAAGCAACAUCUCUCUUAAAAGGAAGGAGGCUUCCUCGGAUCGAUCCAUAUGACAGCAACCAGAAAUUAUGGAGUUCCAGGUAAUUAAACUCUUAGCUUCCAUCAAUUGGAAUAACAAAUAUGCAUGCUUGAGAUCCUUACACCUAGAAUACAUAGUGAUUAACGCAUUUUUUACAGUAUCAACCUCACCAAAACAACUACGGAUUGCAAAACUGUGGAUCUCUUUCCCCAGUUUUGCAUCCCCAAUAUGGGAACAUGCACCCAAACCAAUGAUCAAUGCCACAGAAUCCAAAUGACUGCCACAUUUUCUCAUCUGAGAAAGCAAUUCUAGUGCACCCUUAUAAUUACCUGUCCGCAAGUAACCCCCAGCUAUGGUAUUCCAAAUAAUAAUGUUCAAUUCAAUAUCCUCUGCCCACAUGCUUCCAAAAAGCUCAAAUGCUUCAUUCCACAUACCCAUGGAGGCGUAAACUGAAAUCAUUGAGUUCCAAGAAACUGCAUCCCUUUCUGGAAUUUUAUCAAACAAGUCACGAGCAAUACCCACCUUCCCACACUUACCAUACAUGGAAAUUAAUGCAUUAUGCACAAUCAAGCUCCACUUAAUACGACUAGCAUUGAUGGACUCAUGAACCUCCUUUCCGAAGCCCAAAUCAAGUUCUUCACCACAAGCCUUGAGAACAGAUGGAUAAGUGAAAUUAUCUGGUCUAAUCCCUUUCUUCACCAUUUGUUUAUAGGCAGACAGAGCCUUCUGACAAAACCCAUUUCUAACAUAGGAAGAGAUAAGCAGAUUCCAAGGAAAAGGAUGCAAAAUAUUUGAAUUCUCAGUUAUAACAUGGGCAUCAACCAGGAGAUUAAAGGCUGAGUAGAAGGUGACAAGCUUAGGAACCAAAAUGGGAUGUUGUUCAAAACCCAAAGAUAUAAUGUGGCCAUGGAGCUGUCGACCCUCUGCAAGGGAUUUGACAUCAGUACAUGAUGAUAAAAGAGAAGAUAUGGGGUGUACAAUGAGGUCCUGAGAAGCAGAAGAAGCAUGGAGUCUAAUCAAAGAGACAGUUUUGAAGGCAUCCAAUAGAUUGCCUCGGCUUGUAAACUCCUUCAAGGAUGUGAGAAGGGAAUCUAUCAUAGAUGCAUCAACACUUGUGAAUGUCUCUUGGGCAGAUUCUAGUGCAUUGCAGGAUGCAGAUGGAUGAACAUGUUGAAUAUCUACUGGUUUGAUACUUUGUUUCCAUUUUUUAGGUAUGAAUCUUUGGAUUUGGGACACAAAAAGGCCCUUUGGAAGAAAAUAAGAUGGAUGAGGCAUACACUGUAGAUGUUCCACCACAUGACUGCACUGGCAUUUGAAACAUGAGUCACAAUGAGCACGUGAGAUUGACUGUCAGAAACCUCAAUUUUUAUUUCUCAACAUUGAGGAUAAGUUCAGUUAAUUGACAACCAUAAGGAACUAACAACAAUGCUCCACUCAAUUUAGCUAUUCCCUGCACGCAUUCAGAUAAUCAAAAUGGUGUUAUUGAAGCAAAAAAGAAAAAGGAAAAAGAAAAGAAAUAAGCCUUGAUCAAGGCAUCAGAAUCACACGACCAAGCGGCCAAGCUUGGGUGAUGAGCUGGAAACGUAAGAAUUAAUUUUUGAUAAUUUCAUUUCAAUGAUGUUUACAAGCAUAGCAUAUUCGUAACCAUAAUAUUAGAAGGGCAAGGACUGCGAUGACCGUUUUGUACUUUGGUCGGGGAGGCACAAGUAGCAUAAUUUAUUAAAUUCAUAUAAUAAAUUUAUACAAAAUCCAAAAAUUUCCAAAGAAGAAGAACUGGAAAACUAUUAAACAAAACCUGGUAAUUUAACUUCAUUAGAUUUGAACAAAAGUUCGAGCAUCAAUCUUGUUUUUAGUGACCCACAUUUCUUUGACCAUCUAUCUUAUUCCCCUUUAUGCAUAUGCAAAAACAUAAAGGAAUGCAGACCCUUGACUACCUCCAACCACAAUCCUUUCCCACCCAAACCAAGACCCAGAGGCACAUAAUUGACAAGUCAUCAAUUUAGUUCAAAAAUUCCGUGUUUAAGAAUCCAUUCAUUACCUACUGUAUUUUGUUGGUGAAUGAGAUGAAUAAUUGAAAAUGUGAAUGUCAAAGUGCAGGGAGACUGUAUUUUCAGAGCGAAACCUAGUUCUUCAAUGAUAUAAUUUCGUCAUCUCUGUAUUGAUUUUCCGUUUGGGAUGUCACAGAGCUUCAUUUUUGUAAUUUCUCAGCAAACAAAAAAGAAUUCACAUCAGACCAGAAAAAGAAAAGAAAAGAAAAUGUGCUGCUUUUGACUACUCCAAAAUUCCGCAAAACUAAUAGUCCGUUUGCUUGGCGAGAAAAUUAAAAAACCAAAAAAAAAAAAAAAAACCAAACCUCACAACAGAAUGGGGCAAAUGACAGUUCAACCUUAGAAAAUUUUCCUGCGUUUUCUUUUUCGUUUAUUUUCUCGGCAACCAAACAAGAGCAUGAAAUCAAAAGCAUGAUUACAGACCGGAAGUUGAAACCCAGUAGAUAAAGAGAGGUUACCUUGUUUCAAGAGUGGUCGCCGGAACCAUUGCCCCAGAUAUCGCCGGAGAGUGAGGCGGCUCUCAGCCGAAUGGAAGGUUGAUUUGUGGGCGCAGAGGGAGGUCUUGAAGGCGGCUGAACGGCUGAGCGGUUCAACCAUUCAUGACCCGGGUUGAACCGGAGGUGUAACAAAAAUGAACCGGCCCAUUUGCGGUUUGGUGAGGUCCGAUCUUGAAGAUGUUGCCUGAAAUUAUUUUAGCCCCGAAAGAUUAAAUUGCGAUAUUUGGCAGUUUUAUUAAAAUAUUUUAACCAUACAAAUUCAACUUAUAUAGUUUCAAAUUAUUUUUUUGCUAUAUACAUAAGAUAAUUAUUUAUAUUUUUAAUUGGAUUGAAAAGUUUUUUUCUUUUUUUUUUUGUAUUGCAUUAAAGAAAAAUAUUUGGUAUCAAAUAAAUAGCAUACUAAUCCCAUGAUUAAAUAUAAUAUAAUUGAAAAGUUAAGAUUUAUUUGGGAAAUAAUUGUAAAAAAGAUUCAAAAAUAUAUUUUUAUGUUUUCUAAAAAUAAAAGUCUAUCUGAAAACUUAAAAUCUUCUAAAUUUAUUUAUUUUAUAAUUUUUUAUAUUUAAAAAAAUAUAUUUAUAGUGCCUUAUUUAUUCUAAUUUAACUUUCAGACAUAUUAUAAUUUCAACAGCCUCCCUAAAUUGUAAAGUCAAUCACACCAAACAUCAUUUUCAACUUCUCGAACACGUCCAUCUUUAAUGGUUUCAUAAAAAUAUCUGCAACUUGAUUUUCUGAUUUAUAAAACUUAAGUUCGAUUUCUUGAUUUUUCACAAGUUUCCUAAUAUAAUGAAAUUUGAUGCUUAUGUGUUUGCUUUUACCAUGAAACAUCGGAUUCUUUGUCAAUGCAAUAGCAGACUUAUUAUCACACAAAAUCUUUGUAGGACCCUAUAGACCCCCAUUUUGGGGGCUCAUUUUACUCACUUUUUUGUAGGCUUUUCUUACCAUGUGGAGGGCUCUCAAGGAGCCACGUGUCGCCUUGUGGUUAAAUGCUAGGGAAUCAUGUUAGUGGUUUGGAGAAACAAUGGGGAAGGGACACGUAUGAGGGAAGAUUCUAGGGAGAGCGUAUUCCGUUAGUAACAGCAAACUGGUUGUUGUUGGUUAUAGGGAGAUAUUUUUUGGCUUGGAGGGCAAGUUAAAGAGGUUGGAGGAGAUAUUUUUUUGGGUUGUUGUCUGAGAGGUUUGGUGGCUUGGGGGAGCGAGUUUUUCUUGGAGUUGCAAGCUGUUAGAGAGAAAUUGGAGAAUAGGAGGGAGGGUAGCUUGAGGAGCAAGUUUGCUAAGGGAGAAGACUAAGAAAAACAAGCUAGGGUAUUCAGGGAUAUUUUGUGGCUGUUACAAAGGAGAAAGAGAAGUGUGAGAGGAGAAAGAAAUGAGAGAGUGAGCAGACCAUAGAAUGAGAAGUUUAGAAUAACCAACUAGGAGAGAUUUUUUUGGAGAUAGCUGAGUGAGGAGAAACGAGUUUAAAGGUGAGCAGUUUUGGAGAAAAGCUUGAAGCCAAGCCAACACUGUUGGAGAAAAGUUAUUUCAAGCAUGACUGGCAUAUGUUUCCAGUUCUUUUUAGCUAUCAUACUAUUGUUUCUACUUUUUCUACUGGUCUUUGGAUGUUGUUUGUUGUUUGUUGAUUGUUGUGGACAUUAAAGAGUCACAGGGUUGUCUUGCUGAAUCUGAUUGUAUAUAUGCAUGUUCUAUUUCGCUUUCAUUUUCUGUGUUUUUGAUCUCUCUGGUAAGUAUCUGAUGUUUUGGCCCAUCACUGAAUUUGAUCCUCAAAGAUCGUGUUCUUACUCCUUUUGGAUUCCACCCAUAUCUUGCUCAUUGAUCUUCAUGAAAUGGAGCUAGAUUUAACGGUGUUAUCUUCUCUUGUACCUGCUCUAUUUUUCUUCACUUUUUCCUUUGUUUUCUGGUAUUUUCGGAGUGUUGGGUAUCAUGUUUGGGUUUGCUGCCUAGAUUGGGACGCUUCUGAAAGAGUUUAGUAUCAGAGUCUUUGGGAGUCAUGUGUCUUAUUGUAUAUUCGAUGGGUUGAAGUUUAUCUAGCUAGGGAAGUGCCAUACCUAUCAUCUUGCAGAAGCUCCCAUGGUAUCCUGCUUCAAAGCCUAACUAGUGUUCGAGCUGAGGUAUUAAUGCAGUGGUUGAUGUCAGACUUGGAAGUUGCUCAAGCAAACGCACAUACACCUUUUGCACCUGAUUCCAACUUGAUUGAUUAUUUCAGUGGUGACAUCUGCAAGUUUUGGUUUGAAAGACCCCUUGAAAGCACCAAAGCCCCCUUUGCAAAGUGCCUUCGUGCCCUUCUAGUGGUGUCGAGAAAAGUUCAGAGCAUUUUUAUUUCAACCCGACUUGUCAAUCUUUACUCUAACCUUGGUGAUGUAUCCUUGUCUCGCUACACCUUUGAUCAGAUCCCACAAAAGGAUAUCUAUGCUUGAAACUCAAUGAUAUCUACCUAUGUUCAUAAUGGUCAUUUCCAUGUAGCCAUAGGUUGUUUCUAUCAACUGUUAUUGGUGGCCGAAAUUCGACCUAAUUUCUACACUUUUCCUCUAAUAUUGAAAGCUUGCAAAACUCUAGUUGAUGGGAGGAAGAUUCAUUGUCGGGCUUCCAAACUGGGUUUCCAAUGGAAUGUAUUCGUGGCUGCUUCCUUGAUCCAUAUGUAUUCUCAGUUUGAUUUUACCGGUAUUGCCCGUAGCCCAUUUAAUGAUACACCGUUUCAAGAUAUGGGUUCUUGAAAUGCUAUGAUUUCUAGGCUCAUUCAAAAUGGAAAUGUUGCAUAGACAUUGGAUGUCUUAGAUGAAAUGAGAUUGGAUGGAAUAAAGAUGAAUUUUGUUAGAGUUGUCAACAAUCUGCAUGUCUGUCCACAAUUGGGGACAUUUCAACUGCAAUGCUAAUUCAUUUGUACGUUCUAAAACAUGGGUUAGAGUUUGACUCAUUUGUGUCUAAUGCCUCAAUUAAUAUGCAUGCUAAAUUUGGUGAUUGGGAGAAUGCACAGAAGGCUUUUCAACAAAUGUUUAUGACAUAUGUGGUGUCGUGGAACUCAAUAAUUGCUGCCUAUGAGCAAAAUGAUGGUCCAGUACUACACAUGGGUCCUUUGAAAAAAUGCAACUGAAUGGAUUUCAGCCUGAUUUAUUAACGCUAGUUGGUUUAGCUUCUACUGUUGCUCAGUCUAGGGAUUGUAAAAAAUAGCAGAUCUAUUCAUAGAUUCAUCAUGAGAAGGAGUUGGCUUAUGUAGGAUGUUAUCAUUGGAAAUGCAGUUGUGGACAUGUAUGCAAAAUUAGGUCUUCUAGAUUCUAUGCAAAAAGUUUUUUAGAUAAUCCCAGUUAAAGAUGUGAUUUCAUGGAACAUUUUGAUAACAGGUUAUGCUCAAAAUGGUCUUGCAAGUGAGGCAAUUGAAGUAUAUAAAAUGAUGGAAGAGUGCAAGGAGAUCAUACCUAAUCAAGGGACUUGGGUUAGCAUUCUGCCAGCUUAUGCGCAUGUUGGAGACUUGCAACAAGGGAAUGAGAAUUCAGAGGUGGGCUCCAUAGUUCAAUUGAAUUGUAGUUUGGGUGGAAUGAAUUGUUAUCUCGAAAUAUCGAUUAGUGCAUUUCAUCUCCUUUUUCAACUACAGAAAACCUCACAUCCACACCAUUGUUCGUUUCCCAUUUGCUCACCACCUUCAAUGUCUUUACUUCAUCAUAUUCACCACCUUCCACUACCCUUACUAUCAUUCAUUCUCCACCUAUUUGAUUUCGAUUUUCCUGUGUACAGGAAGUCCCAUGUGCAAGGCCACCCUUCAACUUUCUAAUACCCAUUUUCUCCAUCUAUCACCAUGUUCCAUUAAUCACACCUCAUACUCCACCAUGCCCAUAACCAUACCCACAACCAUACCCAUAUCUCUAUCUUCUAAACCCACUGUCUUCAACCCAUUCACCAAUCCUCAUGCAUGCAUGGACAUCAUUCAUACCCAUUUCUCUCACUACCCAAAUGCUCCUCUCAAUUCCUAACAUUUUAAACUUAGUUUUCCUCUCCACCUUUUCUAUUCAUUCCACCAUUAAACACACCCCUCUCAUCACCCUUCAUCACCCAUUUCAUCUUCCAAACCCACUACCCACGGUCGAUACCCACCUCAUUACCUCAUCUCAUCCAUCCAUUGUGCCACUAAAUGCACCCUUCUCACUACCCUUCAUCACCCAAUCUACCACUUCAACUCUUUGGACGAGGUUUUCAUGAAUGAUCAAUUUCUGAAAUUGGGAUCCAGAGAAUCGACUCAAAGUUCGGAUCGUGUCUGCCAGGGCUUAUCAUUCACCAUUCAUGCACAACAUGUGUAUCCGACCCGCACUUGAAAAGCUGGAGAAUUUCGGUACUUCAGACUUAAUUAUAUACAAUGUUGGGCAGUUCCCAUGUAAUCGAUACACCCACUACAUGGCAUCCUUUGCUAGCGUAGAUCUUAAUCUUGCUGGGAGGGAAAUGGUCAUCCUUGGCACCCAGUACGCCGGGGAAGUGAAGAUGGGUCUGUUUAGUGUAAUGUGUUAUCUUAUGCCUAAGCGUCAAAUCCUCUCCCUACAUUCCGGCUGCAAUGUGGACAAAGAUGGAGAUGUCGCCCUCUUAUUUGAAUUGUCAAGUACUGGGAAGAUAACUUUGUUUACUGAUCACAAUAGAUAUUUAUCGGAGAUGAUGAACACCGUUAGGGUGACAAUGGCGUGUCAAACAUUGAGGAUGAUGGGGUUCGUCUUGAUCAUUUCGGCACCAUAUCUACUGCGCCCACUGGCCCUGCUGUGGUGAUGUUUCAGUCAAAUGGUCAAAAUUCCAUUAUCGUUGUUGGGGAUGGAGAUGGUUUUGUACAUGCUAGUGCAUAGUAUUCUCAGCUCAUGCAUGAAAUCACAUUUUCAUCAAAUGAUGAGCCAAAAAUCCUGAGUCGACUAACUUGCUCGCUUUCUAAGAUUGGGCUCAACAUCCAAGAAACAUAUGUCUUUUCCACAGUGAAUGGCUACACCUAAGAUGUCUUUAUUGUGAUGGAUGGCCAUAUAAGGAAACAUAGCAGCUAAGAACUGCACUGGAAAAGGAAGUUUUAAGAUUGAGAAGCAGUCUUGGCCAAAUCAUCAUUUCUUAUCUCCUAUGGGUGAGCAAGAAGAAAUAUGAAUCAAAUGCAAAUAUGAUUUUGUGACAAUACCUAAUGAUGGGACUGGCGUCCGGGAAAUCGAUGUUAGACAGUUGAAAUUUGAGAACAAAGUUGCAUUGAGUUCAUAUGGUGAUCUGUACAAAGGCACAUACUAUAGUCAGGAAGUGGCAAUUAAAGUCCUUAAGCCUGAGAAUAUAAAUUCAAACAUACAAAAAGAGUUUGCACAGGAAAGUCUUUAUUAUGAGGAAAGUUAGGCACAAGAAUGUGGUACAGUUCAUUGGCGCAUGUACAAGACUUCCAAGCUUAUACAUUGUGACAAAAUUUAUGUCUGGUGGAGGCGUGUAUGACUAUCUACACAAGCAAAAUGGUGUUUUUAAGCUUUCUGCAUUGCUCAAGGUAGCAAUUCAUGUUUCCAAGGGAAUGAAUUACUUGCACUAAAAUAAUAUAAUCCACAGUUGGAUUUGGCCUAGCAUAUGGAGGACAUGGUGCUGUUUUUUGGGGGUUUGUUGGUAAGGAUGACUUCAUCAUGGGUGGCCACGUGACAGGGAUGAUACAGUACAUUGCAAGCUAUUUUUAUACAUGCCUGUGCAUGAUGAUUGCAAGUUAAAAUUCUGGAACUAAAGGCAUUACAAGUUCAUCUUUAACCUUGGAAGCACAACAGAAGGUGAUUGACUUAAUGGUAAAGAGAUGUCCAGAAAAUAAAAAUAAAAAACCUCAAUUAGGCAAUAAAUUGAGCAAGGCAGAUGCAAUCACCCACCCCAUAGUGUUGUAUCAAUUGCACCUCAAGUCCACGUGUAGGACCUUAUUUUUGCAUGGCCACCCUCCUAUGCCCAUUUUCAAAGCCCACGUGCUUCUUUCCUUUGCCUUCAAAAUUGAUUUUUGAAAAUCCAGUUUUUAAAUAAUUCCCCUCCCAAAUUCCUCAUCCUUAGAAUUUUUAGGUUCUAAAAAUCCCAUUUUCAAUAAAAAUUUUAUUGUCGUUUUCUUUCCAACAAGCAACUUUCGUGUCUCCUUUGAUUUUUUAAAAUGUUUUAAAAUAAGCAUGAAUAUAUUUUUGUAAUUCCAAGUGAUGGAAUUUACGGAAUUGAUUCAUACAAAAAUAAAUUGGGUUUUGGUGGGGCCCAACAUUAGUGAUGUUUUCUUCAAAAAUAAAUCUGAGUGGAGUGCGAUGUCUGACAAUUUCUUACUUUGUUUAGUGACAUAUGCGACAUACUUUGUGUGUUCAUUUAUUGUGCACUAACCCCAUUUCCUGAUAGCGCAUUAUCGUUUGCUGCCAAGGUAUGCACCCAUUCUCACUCUAACCAUUCUCUGUUCAUGUUUUGGCUCCCAGUGUAUGAUCACUUUAUGGUAUCCAUGUUUAAUCAAUCAAUUUCCACAUGUGUUUCAUUUUAUUAGUAGAGACUCGUCUUUAGAGACUUAGAGGGGUGCUACGGUUUUUACCAUACCUUCCCAAUAAGUAACCUGACCCCCGAACCCUAAUUUGGUUUUUCACAUAUCAUCUUUUCCAAAAUAAAGAGUUACACUUAGGGUUUUGUUUCUUAUUUUGUUUACCCUGUAAAAAUAAAACAAAAAUAAGUGGCGACUCUAAGUCAUUUUCUUAAAAUAAAUAAAUAAUCAUUUUCAAAAUAAAAAGUGAGUUCGCCAUUGAGUGGAAAUGCAUGAGCAGAAAUGCGGGGUCCAUAGAUCCUUCUGUUCAUACUUCAAUUCACUAAGCAUCUUGUGAAGCCAAACUACUUGACAUGUUGCGGAAGUAACUAUCAUGUAUUCAACUUCUGUAGUUGAUAAUGCUAUAACUUGCUACUUCUUUGAUGACCAUGAGAAUGCUCAUAUUCCAAGAUAAAAAAACAUACCUAGUAGUACUCUUUCUAGUCUCUACAUCACUUUCCCAAUCACUAUCUGUGUAGCCUACUAAACUAAAGUUGUUUGAGUAGGAGUAGAAAAUUCCAUGAUCACAAAUACCACUUACAUACCUCAAAACUCACUUGGCUGCUUGCAAGUGUGACUAAUAUGGUUUUUCCAUAAAUCGACUAAUAAUUCUCACUCCAUAAGCAAUAUCUAGUCUAAUAAAAGUUAAAUAACGAAGACUUCCUGCUAUGUCCUUGAAAUAUGUGGGAUUUACUAAUUCUCCAAUGUCUUCUUUUUUCAACUCUAGUCACUCUAUAAUAGGAGUACAGAUUGUUGAUGAUGAUUCCAUCUUGAAUCGCCUUAGAAUGUUUAAAGCAUAUUUAUUUUGUGAAAUAAAAAUUUCAUCAUCUAUUUGUUGGACUUCAAUUCCAAGAAAAUAGGACAUUAAUCCCAAAUCUGUCAUUUCAAAUUGUUGUUUCAUUACCUCCCUGAAAUCUUCAAACAUUUGUUGACAGUUUCCUAUAAAAAUCAAAUCUCCACAUAGAGACAUACAACAAUUAUAUCGCUAUUAGAAUUUGAUUUGAUAUAAAGUGUACGCUCAAAUGACUCUUUUGAAAUUCAUGUUGUAGUAAAUAAGUAUCAAUCCACGUGUUCCAAGUGCGUGGUGCCUACUUUAACCCAUAUAAUGCCUUAUUGAGUUUGUAAACCUGUUUCUCUUGCCAUUCCUUAAUAUAUCCUGGUGGUUGUUCAACAAAAACCUCUUUUGCAAGUACACCAUUAAGAAAAGUUGACUUCACACCCAUUUGGUGAAUUUUCCACAUUUUCUAAGUUGUAAGUGCAAUUAUCAUGCGAAUAAUAUGUAAUCUAGAAAUUGGUGCAAAAACUUCAAAAUAAUCAAUACUUAGCUUCUGUUUAUAGCUUUUUGCAACCAAUCUUGCCUUAAAUCGAUCAACAUUACCAUCAGGUUUAUAUUUUAUCUUAUAAACCCAUUUAACACCUAUAUAUAUUUUUUUCCAAUUGAAAGAGUAGUUAGCUCCUAUGUAUUGUUCUUUUCUAUGGAUUGAAUUUCUUCAUUCAUUGCUUGAAUCCACUUUUCAUCACUUACUGUUUCUUUGUAUGAAAUAGGAUCACAAUCUGCAAAUAAACAAAAGUUAACUAAACUUUCACCAAUAAUUUCAACAUCUUUCAUGACUUCAUAAUCCUUUAGAUGUGCAUGCAUAAUAUGAGAAUGUUUUGGGCGACUUUGUGAUUCAGACUCCUACUUUGUUUUUGUUUGCAUAAGAGAACUUCUAAUAGGAGAAAAAGUAUUUGAAGUAGAAAUAUCUGUUGUAGAAUCCUUCUGAAUCUCAAAGUCUUCUUCAAGGACAACUCUUUUUUACUCACUUUGUGUUUGAGUCCAUGUCUAACACUCAUUCUCCAAGAAUUGAACAUCUCUACUCACAAUCAACUUCCAUGUUUCUGGAUUAUACAGUUUAUAACGUUUAGUUACAUCACAAUAAUCAAUGAAAAUACACUUCUCACUUUUAUCAUCAAACAUUUUUAUGUGCUCCUUUGGUAUAUGGGAAUAUGCAAUACACCCAAAAAUUUGCAAAAAAGAAACUUUUGGUUUAUGACCACUCCAAACUUUCUCAGGUGUUCUUCAAAAGACUACUUUAGUAGGACACCUAUUUAAUAAGAAUAGUGCACAUGUAACAGCUUCUGCCCAAAAUUUUUUUGGAAGAGACUUAGCUUUCAACAUGUUUUUUGCCAUUUCAAUAAUGGUUUUAUUUUUCCUUUCAACGAUACCAUUUUUCUUAGGGAUAUAGCUAGUUGUCAAUUGACAUUGAAUUUUCUGACUUUUGCAAUAAUUAUAAAAUUCAUUAGAGGUGAACUCUCAUCCUCUAUCAAAUCUCAAUAUCUUAAUAUUGCAACCACUUUGUCUUUCAACAAGAACUUUGAAUUCUUUAAAUUUGUUAAAAGCCUCAAAAUUUUCUUUUAACAAAUAAAUCCAAGUUUUUUUUUGUAAAAUCAUCUAUAAAGGUCAAAAUAUAUUUUUUAUUGUUGGCAGAUCAAAGGGUUGGUCGAGUCCAUCAACUUCCCUUGUGUUCGAAUGUCGUGGUUGUUUGGAUGAAUGCAUUAUAAGUUUAUGGUAUGCAUCUUUCCUAACAACAAUUGCUUUUAAGAGAGUUGAUAGCGCCUAAGGUCCUACAAGUAGUAUCAGAGCCAAGAUCAUGGGUUCGAACCCAAACGGUGUUGUCGGGAGAGAGAUUGUUGACAAAUCGGAGAGUUGGCUUCCUCCAUCAACUCCCCUUAUGUUCGAAUACUAUGGGCGCUUAGGUGAAUGCACUAUAAGGUUAGUGUAUGUGUUUUUCCUAAUAGCAAUUGCUUUUAGGAGAGUUGGUAGCGCCUGAGAUCCUACAGUUAUGACCAAGAGAUCUUACAUCAUCAAGAUCACAUAUAUUUGUAUGCACCAACUCCAAAGUUGCUUAUUUUUUUGGAUAUUCCAAUUGGAAAAGAAUUCCUAUGUUGUUUCCCUAUGAGACAUCCUUCACAUGCACGAUCUAGCAUUAUUUCAAAAAUUGGACUGGAUUGGCCGAUCCGACCAGUUCGACAACCAAUCGGUCACCAAUCCAGUCCGAUUUGAUUAUUUAAGCUAAGGAGCCUUUGAACCGGUGUCGGAUCACCAGAACCGGCAGUUGGACCAGUGAACAGGAUGACUCGACAAGUUUUGAGUGAAUCGAAUGAUUCUCCUCCCCCAUCUAACGCUUCAUCAGCCCGCCUUAGUGUCACCGCCCCUUGCAACCUGUUCUUCUUCCCAGCUCCUCACAGUGCCCCCACCCAGAUUUUUUCUUUUUUUCGGUGCCAAAACCCUUAUUUCUUCCUCGCCCUUCCCUACCCAGAUUUUUUCCUUUUUCCAGUGCCUCCAAAACCCUUCAUUAUUCCUCGCCAUUCGGUGCGAAAACCCUUCCUUCUACUUUUCCCUUUCCCACUUAGAUUUUUUUCCUUUUCGUUUUUGGUGCCCUAACAAGAAUCGAAGUCCUGGAAUCUUCCUCCCCAAGGCUUCUACCCUCGCUAUCUGCAUCACCCAUUUUCGAGCACAACAUCGGCUUGUUCCACUCUAAUGUGUUCGCUAGAAAAAUCAAAGAAAGGCAUCGAAUAAGAACUACGAAGGCAGAACUGGCAGGGAAAUUGAGGGAUGUUGGAAAAUGAAAUGAGGUAUAGGAAUGGAAAGAUAGGGUUUUGUGGAGAGCGAAAAUACGAGGGCGCGAUGAAUUAGAGGAGCGAGUGAGGAGUGUUGUAAACGAGUGUGGAGAUGGGUUGAGAAACAUGGCCCUCAACUGACUCCGCCACAUCAUCUUCAUUUCUGCAUAUUGCCUUGCGCUUCUCUAUUCACUUCAUCCCACACCCACAGGUCGCUUGUGGUUGUAUAUAAAUUAAAAAAUGCCUUAUAUUUUUAGUCAUAUGGGUGUAUGGUCUCUUACACUACUUUCAUCAUUUGGUCAUCAACAACUCAUCUAUUAAGUUUUACGGUGUUAUACUCGAUUUUGCAGUGAUUCUAAAAAAUAUUUUAAUAUUUUUAUUUUUUUUAAAUUAUUCAAAUAUUUAAAAAAAAUCAGAAACACUUUUUAAAAUUAUUGACAAAACACAUUCUAAUUUAAAACUAAUUUUCUCAAUUUUCAAAUAAAAUUUUAAUUUUUAAAUAAUAUAUAAAUUAUUAUUAUUAUUAUUAUUAUUAUUAUUAUUAUUUUAAUAAUAUAUAAAUUAUAUAUUUAUGACGUCACUAGUUCGAUUGUCGGUCCGACCAAUGAACUGUGAACCGAUAACUUUUUCGGUUUAAUUACCGGUCCGAUUCUGAAAACAUCACGAUCUACAAUAUCAAUCAUAGGUAAUCCUGUUACCAUGUUCUUCCGCACUAACAACUUCAACCCACAAAAAUUAAGAUGACAAAACCAAAUAUGCCAAAGCCAAUUGCUAUCUUCUAUUGUUGCCUUCAAACUAAAUAAAGUUUAUGUUUGAAGAAACAUAAGAAACAUCCUAUUCUUUGUCAUCUACACUUUUGUAAUCAUCUUCUUAUUUUUAUCACUAAUUCUUUGUCAUCUGCACUUUUGUAAUCAUCUUCUUAUUUUUAUCACUAAGGGUGCAAACUCCAUUAGAAAUAUUAAUGAUAUGCUCUUUUUCUGUUAAUUGUUUCAUACUCAACAAAUUCCAAAAAAUACAUCUGCUAUAGUAACAUCAGUACCAUCUUUAGAACCUAUUUUAACAUUACCUUUGCCCAUGAUCAAAACUUUGGAUUUGUUUCCAAAAUUAACAUCAUCUCAAAUUGAUUAAUCUAAUUGUGAAAACAAUUCUUUCUUACCACACAUAUGAUUAUUACAUUUUGACGAUCUAUAUUUGAUAUUACUACAUUAUAAGCCAAUACCAAAUUCUGUUCUAUCUCGACGGUGUUUACCUGCUCAUCAUGUUCAUUAUGCAAUUUUGUCGACAUUCUGACUUAUACAGCCCAUACUUUUUGCAUCUAAAACAUUGUAUGUGUGAAUUGUCUUUAGGUUUGGAAGUAUUACCCCUUCUUUUAGAAGAAUUUGUGUCACCAUCUCCAUUUUUAUUGUUGAAGUUGUUGUGUCCUCUUCUACUUCUACCACGACCAUAACCUCUAGCACCUUGUUGGCCACCACAACCUCCAGUAGAUGCUCUACUCUACAGGGCUUGCUCCAAAUUUGUAGAGUUGAUUAUCUGAUUCAUUCGUUAUUCAUGCAAACACAAUGAACUUAUCAACCCUUCAACUGUGAGAGUGAAUAUAUAUAUAUAUAUAUAUAUAUAUAUAUAUAUAUAUUUUCAAUUAUUGCAACAACAUAGUCAAAUCUUGCACUUAAAGAACGAAUAAUUUUCUCUGCUAUUUGUUGAUCAUCAAGCUUCUCAAAAUUAACUUGCAUCUAGUUAACAAUACUUUGUACUCAAUCAAAAUAAUCUGAGAUAGAUUUAGAGUCAUUCAUGCAAAGAGACUUGAAUUCAUCUCUUAAUGUUUGCAACUUCAUUCGCUUGACAUGUUCAUUACCUUUAUAUAACUUUUGUAGAGUAACCCAUGCCUCUUUUGUUGUUUCUGCCUCUAAGAUUUUCUCAAAUAUGGAUUCAUCCAUUGCUUGGAAGAUUGUAUAAAGUGCUUUUUGAUAUUUUUUUUCGAUAAUAUUUCAAUGAAUCUUUCUACUCCUUUGAUAGCGUCUCGAAUUCUUUUGAAUCAAUUACUUUAUUAUAACUAAUAUUCACUAGAUCCCAUAAAUAUCAAAAUCUAAACAAGACACGCAUUUGAAUACACCAGUUAUCAAAAUUCUUACUUGUGAAUUUUGGGAGUUGAGGAUGAAUUGAGUUAUUAUUUGCAGCUAUAUUUUCAUUAACAAGAUUACAACAUUCUUGUGAUUAUGCACAUUCCCUGGUAUUCUAACUCUGAUAUGAUAUUUCACCUUUCUUGAUCUUUUGGCUCUGAUACUAAUUAUUGGAAUCCACACAAUUGAGUAUUGAUAAUAUUUUGUUAAAAUAAAAAUUUAUUGUAUUAUACUUUUAAACAUAAUAACAAGCCUAUUUAUAUUAAACUAAUCAUACUUGUAUUAUGAUUUCAAUUUCUAUUAGACUAAGAUUCCUAAUUAAUAUAGGAAACUUAAAUAAAUAACUGUUCCUAAUAUUUAUCAAAUUUAUAAAAUUAUUCUAAUUUCACUUUCAGUAGUAUUAUAAUUUCAACGAAAGUUAUUAUUAUUAUUUUUUUGUUUUAGAUAACACAAAAAUGUUUUUGAAAACAGCACCAUACAUACCUAAAAAAACCCAUUUUCCGUUUUUAAGAGUGAAAAUUUGUUUUGAAGUCCAAACAGACUCUUAACCAUUUUAGACAUCUUUUGCCCAAAUAGUUGGAUUCUCUUCACUCAUGACUUCCAAAGUAAAAAACAGUGUCGUAUUGGGAUGGUCCCUCCAAUUCAUUCCCAUGUGAAGGUGCCAACUACCUUUGCGGUGGAGGAUUGUUUUGGUCAUUUCACUACUCUCCUUCUUUCUUUCUCUUAAGUGGGUGUAAUGGAAAUAUGGGCAUGUUUAACAACAACCGUUCUAAAAAAUAUCAAAUAAUAGUUUUUAAAAACUCUUCUCAAAAAAAUAUUUUUGAAAAUAAUUAUUAAAUAAGGUCUAUAUUUUCCCACGAAAACUCUUUUUGCAUCCAUACUAUUUAUACAUCCAUUUAAAAAUUGAUUUAAAAAUCACUCAAACACAACAUUAUAAUUACAGAGCAUAUCCUUUCCCUAAACUCAUCUUUCUCUUCAUUUUUUUCUCUCAAUCUAUUUCUUCUCGACCACAAACUCUAAUUACAGAGCAUAUUAUUUAAAGCUUAUUUGAUAUCAAAAGACUAUAACGUGUAUUCAUAGCUAUUUCAAUUUUUUUUAUAUAUUUUAUUUGAAUCUAUGCAACGUGAUAUAAUUUUUAACUAAAAUUUGUUGUUAUAAUAAUUUAAAAGCAAUUAGAAAAAAUUUAGAAGUGAAAAAUUAUGAAAAAUUUCAAUGUAAAUAAAAAAAAACAUAAAAAAAUACAACCAGUGACAACUACAUACAAAAAAUAAUUUUUCUUAACAAUUUUUUUCCUUAGUAUAUUCUAAUAAUGAAACAUAACCGUAAAAUUUGUGAUUGAAAAAAAAAAAACCAAGUUAGAGAAAAGAAGAAGAAGAAGAAGAAAAAGACCGGUAUAAAGAUAAAAUAAUGAGAAGAAUGAUUUGAUGAUUUUAAAAUUAUAGGGUGAAUUUAUAAAUAAUUUUUUAAUUUUUAAAAUGACAUAUAAAUGCAAUCUAUCUAAAUUUUUUUUGAUAGAUAUAAAUAUAAUUUUUCAUAUAAUAAUAUCCAUAAAUGCGAUUAAACCUAUAAAAAUAACUAUAAUUUAUAACUUUUAAAUUUGUAAAUUAUUAUUUUUAAAAUACUUUUUAAAUUAUUUUUGAGUUUCACAAUCAUUUUUAGACUUAAUUACUUUAAUUAUUCAUUUUUAAAUGUAAAAUAUUUCUAAAAUAAGAGAUAUUAAUAAAUUUAUAUAGGUUUAAAAUAUAUUUAAAUAUUAUUAAAAUAUGAUGAAAUAUUAUUUACAUUUCCUAUUUAAGAAUAAUAGGAGAUAAAUACAUGGACCUUUUAAUUUUAAAUAUAUAUAUUUUUUACCCUGGACAGACGUGGGCCAAUCAAACAGCGCCUCUGCAUCUCCCCACAUUUGCCGCGUUACACACAAAUAUAACCCUCAAUGACGCCCAUGUCCGUACGCUCUUAUAAGACAGAGAGAGCGACAGAGAGCGAGAGAGAGCGCGUGAGACACCAUCGCCAGCUUCGAUGUCUCCGCCUCCCAUUUCCGGUUCUCCAGGACUCGUACAAACCCCUAAUUCUGCUCCCCUGUCUUCACAAAUUCCACACCUCCAUUUCCACCAAAAAGUCGCCGUUUGAUUGAUCCCUCACAAUGUCGGCGAUCUCGAACUUUCCGGCGGCUCACCGGCAUCGCGCAGCGCCAGUGGGGGUUUCGGAGGCGGGGAAGUUUGGGUUUCGGUCGGCGGUGGCUUCGGUGCCGUUCCAGGUGAUUUUCUUGAAAACGAUGCGUUUUGGCCUUGCUUUUCCUGUAAAUUUCAUAAGGCAAUUACAAAGUAUUGGUUUUUGAUGGCAUUGGUGCAAUUUUCUGAAAACCUGAGGGCAAUUGUCACUUGUGUUUGAUUGAAGAGGCAAUUUUUGGUGAUUGUUGGGAAUCGAUGUUUGCUGAAAAUUGCUUGUCAGAAGAGACACAUGAAUUGAGGCCUUGACUUUGAAAAUAUUCACCAGUGCUGCCAUUGAGUUUGGGAAGCAAUUCGCAAAUCGAGUAGCAUUUUUGUCUUUGGAAAUGUUAUAAUUGCUUAAUUCUCAUGUUUUCUGAUAGGAAAUGUUAUAGUUACAAUGGAAGUUAAAGUUCUAAGAGAAGGGAUAGGUAGACCUACGAAUGAUGAAAUAGGAAAGUUUUUAACUGUAACUAUUUUGAACAGUCCUGGAAAUUGAGAACCCACUUGAUCCCCCACCACAAAUCUUCCCAAAAACAGAUUCUCUCCCACCACAAACCGAGUGUACCCGGUAAAAUCCUGAAAAACCUAUGCAAUAGCCUUCCAUGGGCUGCCUGUGACCACCUGACUAUAGUGUUGGCAUCCCAUUCAUUAGUACGUGUCUCAUGUAUGCUUAGAAUAACCUGAUGCUACAGAGCAGAACUCUCCCUAGGACCCUCCAUAGCCAUUUCCAUAUUCCGUAGAGAAAUCUUCCCAAAUUCCACCUUAAGCUUACACACUAGACAUGUAUGGCAAAAUUUUGACAUCUUUAAUUUAUUUCUUUAUUUAUUUUAAUAUUGGUCAAAAUAUCAAACUUGAACCAAAAAUUAGAAUCACUGAGCUGAAUAAAAAUGGUAAUUUUUAUGAAUUUUGCAUCUGUCAGAUUGAACUGCUGGCCUGUUCAAUUUUGUGCAAGUGAUUGAAAAUUAUGGCCAGAUUUUGGAACUAUGAUUAUUGUGGCAAUGUAAUGUCACUGUUAAUUUUUCCCACAGUAAAUGCUGUUAAUAUAUGUGCUAAUGAUGCUAAGCAAUGUGAAUUAACUCUUUAAUUUGCUUCUUUGAAUAGACACAAGAAAUAAUUGCUCAUACUUUUUCUAAAAAAAUUGCAUUCAUGUCAUUGGAUCUAUUUGGAGAAGCAAAUUGGAGAGCUACUUCAUUCUAUUUAAGCAUUUUGUCCCUUAUAUCAUUCACAUAGAGGUUCAUAAGUAAAUAGUCAGGAAAGAAAUAUGCAAAUCUGUUAGUGUCAUAGCAUUUUAAUGUAAAUUUGUUAGUGUCAUAACAUUUUAGCAUUGUAGAUUCUUGGAAUUUUGUUAAUUUUGUUUCUUUAAAACAAGGGUUAAGGUCACUUGCCAAUUUCAUCUUAGACCACAUAGUAAUGGUAUAUUUUUUUUUUAAUUUAUUUUUGAGUUUUAUUUACUUUUAGGGGUUAUAUUUCAUAUUAAGUGUGUUACACCCAAGCGUUUGUUGAAAUCCAGGAAGGCCAAGUAAUGUUUGAUACUACUUUCUUUUGUUUUGGUUCCUUCUGGUUGUAGGAUGAUAUAUUUUGGCGUUCUCAGUCAGCUCUUAGUCACUCAAGGAAGGCAGCUAAAUAUCCAAGUGUUCAAAUGGCAUUAGUCGAUGAGAGGGUUGCACAUGGUAGAAAUCUGGCAAAACCUUCCAGAAUUUUGGUAAUUAAACUAGUUUAAUGCACAUUCCAACACAUAUUAGUUUGGGUCAAUAAGGUGUAGUGUAGAUUCUUCAUAAACAAUACUUUUAGAAUACUUCAGUUUACAGGUCUUCAUCUUUCCUGCAAUUGUAUAUGACCCUUUAAUGAUUAGCAUAAGUUUUCUUUGCAGGCAUAUGAUCUUGUUCAAGGACCACUUGUAAGUCGUGUAUUCCUUGAUCUCCUCAUAAAACACGAUUCUAGUUUGUUGGCAUUAACUUUAAUGUGCCUCCCUUUCAAGAACAAAUGCUUCCCAUUGCUAUGCAUUAGGGCAUCUAGUGCUUCUUCUUCUUCUUCUUCUUUUUUCUUUUAUUUAUUAUUUAUUUAUUUUUUUUUUACAGAUUUUCAGUCAUAUGAACUCAAGUGCAUUUCUUGCUGUUAUCCUUGAUAAAUAUUAGUGAGAUGAACUUUCUAUUAUUGCAAUCAUGACAAUUAAGCCUCCCCAGUUUGAAUAUAUGUAAACUUAUUAUUGAUAGAUGAAAAACUUUACUGUUUGGGAGACUCCUCCCUUCCCUGCUCUACUAUCAUUUAGACAUGACAAAAUGAUCUUAAGCAAAAAGAUUCUUGCAAUUUAAGUUCAUGUUUCUUGAGAAAGUGCAUAAGCUUUUAGACACUUGAAAGAACACCUUAUUAUCUUUAGAAGGUAGUGUUGCUAUUAUUUAAUUUGGUUUGCAACAUCUUUAUUUCUCCAGGAGCCUGUUAGUGUUGUCUCUAACAUUGAGAUUAGCUCAAUUGCUUUCUGUGGUUAGGGAGGAAGGAAUCUAGUACAGUCCAUUUAGUUAGUUGGGGAUGUAGUCUUUUAGUCCAAACAAGAUUGAUGGAUUGCAAUUAUAUAGUUUGAUCCUGAGGAACAAAGGCUUCAUUGGUAAAUGAUUGUGGAUAUUUACUACAGAGAGAAGAUUCCUUGUAGAAAUUUAAGAUAAAAAAUUGGUGUAAUUAUAGAAUACCGGGUAAGAUACCAAUUAGGCAUGUGGGGAACUUCUCUCUCUCUCUCUCUCCUUGGAAAGCCAUAUUUCAAGUUAUCUAUAUCCUUUUUGCUCACGCUAGAUGCCUUGCUAGAAAUGUGUUCAUAAUUUGUUUUUGGGAAGAUGUGUGACGUGGAAUCUUUCUAUUAAGCAAAUGGUUGAGGCCUACAUAAGCAAGAGGAGAUUAUUCCUACAAUUCUUUGAUGAUUUGGCAGGAAAUGGAUUGUGGAGAGCAUUUUGUUGAUUUUUAUUUGAUCCUGACUUUUAAUUCCUUGUUUUUGUUUUUGCCUCUCUCUCUCUCUCUUUUGGUGUAACUUGUAUGUCUCACUUGUACUUGGGUCCACAGCGUUCAUGCCACCUCCACCAGCCCAGUUAUCUUUGCUUCGUAGUUCUUACCUAUCAGAAAGAAGUUUGGUUUGGAGACAACAUUUUCCAAGAUUCUGUCCUUGACCUUUUAGACUUCUUAGAUCUUGAAGAUAUAUUAUUUUUUAUUUGCCUCAGGAGAAAUUCUAGAAUAUUUGAGAAUAGGUGUCCUAUAGAGGCUUAAUGGGAGGUCGUGCAUUUUUCAUUGUCCCUUUGGGUUUCAACCACAAGUGUUUUGUGUGGACCCUUUUGAGCUUGAUAUUGCUUGAUAGGAGUCUUAUAUGUCCAUCCAAGAUGAAUGCUUCUGAGGUGUGAGUUGAUUGGAGACCCCUAACAGGUGCUCUCAAGUUAAACUUUGAUCAUUGUUCUUUGGGUAAUUUGGGUCAGCUUGGGAUAGGAGGUUCCGUUAGGAAGCAUGAUGGUAGACUAUUGACAGCCCUCUCUAAGCCUAUUGGUUUUGGGAUUAGCCACUGAGGUGGAGAUUCAGGCUCUUUUAGAGGGAUGUGGCACUGCCUAAUUUCAUAGUGGAGGAGGACUCCUUAUUGUCAUGUCCUGGAUGUCAAAUGCUAAUCAUGGUGCUUGGAAGUAAGAUGUGUGGCUGAGUCAAAUCAUUAUUACUGGAGAAUUAGGGUCCUCUUGUGGUGUGGUUGGAUUCGUUACUCAACUAAUCAGAUACAUGAAUUUUCUAAGUAAUUAUGGGGCCUCUAAGUUAGAGUUCUUUUGUCGGAGGUUUUUUCCCUUCCAUGAGCACUUCUCUUUAUGUUGGCUUUGGAGUUGUUUUGUAUUGGAAGGUCUUCUGCCCCUUUUAUUUGUGUAUGUGCAUGUGCAUGUUUUAUUUUUGUGCUUCUAGCCUUUCAUGUUUGCUUUCUUUUCUAUAUUUCUUUCUUCUUUUUGGUCAGAUUUAGUUCUUUUGGAUGGAUGAUAAAGCGUACAAUUGUUGAUGCUCUAGCUUGUGCUAGUAAUCCCUUCUCUUGGAAUUUCAUUUUUUUUUCUUCAUUUAGAAAUUUUAAUGAUCAUGAUCUUGAUGGGCUUACCUGUUUCAUGCAAAUCUUGCUUAUUUGGCUAUUUACCCACUGAAUGAGAGAUUUUUAAGUUUGUGAAUCAAUGGAUUAUUUCCACCAAAUGCUUUUCUUGUUUCCUUGUUUCCUUGCUGAGGCUAAAACAGUCUUUGUCUCCAUUGUCUAAAUUGAUUUGAAUGGCAAACUUCAUCUGAUGUUAAGGCUUUUGGGUGUCCAGUUUAUCUACAAAAAGAUAAGGCUAACAAGGUGCUUGGUGCUCCAAGCUAGAAGGAUAAGAAGGCUCUUAUUGUUGGUAUGCACCUUCUUUGUAAGAGUUGUUUUCUAUUAUGAAGGUCGUCCUCUUUGCUAGGCAUUAGUUGGUUAGUCCUGUUGGAGUUGUAACCCUGAUGGAAAUUUUUAGGACUUCAGAUAAGAGGGACAGGCUAAAAUCUUGUGCCCUGAUCUUUUGUUGGGGGUGUAUUUGGUGAUUUGGUUGGGAGAAAUUACUAGAGUUCUGAAAGAAGACAGUUAUUCUCCAAAAUUUUGCUUUGGAAUAAGGAUCUCAUUUUUGGCUUCCCUAUGGAUUCCAUUUUGUGAAUAGUCUGGAGGUGUUUCCCUGAGAAUUGUAUUGUUUGGUUGGAUAUUAGUUUGUGAUACUUAGGAUCAUUCUUCUAUGUUAAUUGCUCUUGGAGACCACUGCCAAAUGGGAUAGUUAAAAUUGACUGUGAUGUUUGUUUCCCUUGGAACAUUGUUUAAUCUUCUUCAAACUGGUCUGGUUUAGUUGGUGGCAUCAAAGGAAGCACCCAGACAACUCCAAAAUCAGGUAGGCUAGAAAACUGCUCCCUUGAGAGUAGUUUUAUCGUUGGGGUUUAUGUUGCUCUGAUGUUCUUUAUUUUUUAUGUUCCAUCAUUUUUCCUUCUUCUGAAGGAUCCUCCAUCCUUCAGGAUAUGUAACUUGUAGUUAUCUUUUGGUUGCAAACUAAAACCCUUGAAGAGUUCAUUUUUAGCUGAGAUAAGAAAUGGAGCCUUUCAUGUAUUAUUUCUGAUAGAGAGUUGAAAACUUUUACAUUUAUAACAAGCUAGCAAAGUUUGUUAAGAAUUUUGUGUUUAGUCUCUGUCCUCUGUAUUGGAUGGAUUCUAAAUGUUGUUUGAAUUGCAAAAUUUCUAGUUUGUUUGUGAAAAAUAUGAACACUUUUAAGGUGAUAUUUUGUUGAAUACAUUGGUUAAUUUCCUCAAGCCUUUUUCAGUGGACAUGGUUGUGUGUGUUGUUAUGGUGUGCAGGUAAGAUGGAGUUCUAUUGCAGACAAGUCAAUUCCUGAUCCUCCAACAGCUGUUCUUGUGCAUGGCAUUCUAGGUAGCCGGAAGAACUGGGGUAGGUUUUUUUCCCUCCCUAUAUAUAUACAUAGCAAUCGUGAAUUCUAUACUUCCUAACAUGUUGAAAUGCUAACACUCAUGAUAGUUUUUUUGUGCCUGUGUAUGUUUGUUUUGUUGAUAUUUUUAUUUUAUUAUUUUUUUUAUUUUUUAAAACUUAUAUAUGAGUUGCAGGAAUGAGCAUAGGAACAAAGAGAAAUCAUACAUCUGAGAUGGCAGUUUGGUUUUCUUUAAUGAGCCUAGGGAAAAGGAUAAUCAUUUAUAUGAUAUUUUGAUCAUGUAUUGAUCCCUUGACGUAUUGUUGCAUGAAAAUUUUAUUGGUGCAUUCACCUCUCCCAUGACUGAAAUGAUAUUUUUGCACUGAACUGUUCUUGUUCUGUGAUAUGAACUGUUAAAAAAAAUGACUUGACCUUCAAAUUUUGAUUUGGAAAAAAGGAAUCCUUGAUUCUAUGAUGAAGAAGGAAAUUAGCUUCAGGUCUAUCUUGUGCUUGUUUUAUCAAAUAUUUUGAGUAGUUUAAUGCAUGCUGAUUUACAUUUUUCCUGUGCUUAUUAUGUUGAUCUUAUUCAGCAUUUCCAUUUCCAAAGAUGUGCUGGUUUGUUUGAUUUAGACGAUCAAACCAUACACUUCUCACCAUUUGCAUGGUACUGUCCAUGUCUUGUUUUCUUCUUCUUCUUCUUCUUUUUCUUCACAUUUUUGGUGUUUUCAACUAGUUGGACUUUGGGCUUUGGUGUUUUCUGUUGAUGCCAUUGUUGGAAGAAGUUCCAUUUUUUCCCGGUUGUAGAUACCUUUCUUGCAUUUUCCUUCUUAAUUCAGUCUCCAGUUUACUUUAUACAGUGAUAGAAUAUUUACUUUAUAGCUUGUUAUAUAUGUAUAUAUACAAGCAAUUGCUUCUUCGGAAUUUCACUAAUUAACAUCUACAUUACAGGUACCUUUGCUCGGAGAUUGGCCCAGGCAUUUCCAACAUGGCAGGUAUUUUUUCUGUGGAUUUCUGUUUGUUUUAGUGUUACUUCUUGUAUUUUUACAUAGUUCAAAUGGAACAUUUAAAUAUGUGAUCUAGUUAUGGUUCUCAAUUAUAAUUUCCUUCUACAGUUUUUUUAGAGAAGAAGCUUAUUUAGAUGUAUCUGCUUCUGCUUGUAGUCUUGCUUCUACUUGGAAAGCCUUUCUCUCAUUAUUGAAAAUGAGUUGCAAGUAUAUGUUCAAAGUUAUAUUCUUUAUGGUUAUCAAACACUACUUGUUUUGAAUGGGGAAGACGAUUAUUUCGAUGGAUGCAAUUCUGGUUAUGAUCGAAUCAUCUUGCACUGUUUACAAUGACUCAGUUCAGUCUUCACUUCUUUCUACCAUUGGUACAGUGACUCCAGCCAGCCUUUACUAAUUAACCCUGUCAAUUGAAAUAGAAGUUAUAUUGGAAACAUUUUUGUAAAGUAGGGAUAAAAUUAUCAAGGGACAUGAGAAACCUUGGCAUCUAGUGCUGAAAUUAUUAGAUGCAUUGAUAAAGCCAAAAAUGAUGAAUUGUGCAUAUUGGUGGUCCGACCACCUACAUGGUAAGACAAAAAUGUUGCAUAAGGAGAAGGUUUUGGUCAUUUAUGGAUAGCUCCCUUGUUCUUUAAUCCUAUUUUGUAGGUUUGCAAAUCUGGCAUAUUGCAUUAUGUGUUAACUGUUAGGUUUGAACCUCUUAUUGUACCUAUGUAGGGGUUAUAUUAUAACUUUUACCUAUAAUACUUUAGAGAUGUAUUGUUUUGCUUCUUAGCCGAGUGUUUUAAUUUCAACUUUAUAUAAAUGGUGCAUCCAUACUGAACAAAAGCAUUUUGGUUCAUGACAUACGAAUCUCACUUGUUUCACAUGAUUCUGUUGACAUAGUUUCUCUCAGUAGACCUGCGGUGCCAUGGUGAUUCAGCAUCAAUUAGUAAGAGGGGCCCUCAUACUGUUGCUGCAGCUGCUCUUGAUGUCCUAAAGCUAGUGCGUAAUCCCAGACCUUUAUUUAACUUCUAUGCAUUUAAUGCAUGCAUAUGUUUCUUAUCGUUCUUCAUUUUCUAAAACCAAAAAGAGAUGUGCUCUAGACUUUGUAUUUUUGGAUUCUAUACAUGGAUCAAUGGAUUCCAAGUGGGUCAUUGGAAGAGUUAUCUUGCUUUGCUAGGCCAAAAAUAGUUGUCUAAAAGUAUUUCAACCAUAGUUGUUAACUCAUAAAACAUAUUGUGUAUCUUUUUUCUAUUUUUCUAUAUCGUGUAUCGUAUUUUAUCAUAUCAUGUAUCAUAAGUUUUUUAUAUUAUGAAAAAUAAAUAGAAAAAAUAUGUAUAUGUAUGUAUAUCUAUUGAUAGUAUGAAGUAUAGAGUAAUAUAUAAUAAAAAAAUAUAAUGAUUUUAUGGAAAAUAGUAGGAUCUAAAGAGUUCACCAUCAUUUGACCAACUUUUUAUGGAAAAUAUAACCAACUUUUUAGGUUCACUGUCAUUCCUUUUCCACCAAAAAAGAAAUAAACAAAAGUUAACAUAUUGAGUAAAAAAUUUUAUUCACUAAUCACCAUCAUUUUCAUUUUCAACAUUCAAACCAUUCAAAUGAAAAUUCUCCGAUAUUCAUUGUAAAAGUAAACUUACUUGACUUCUAAUAUAACAUUUGACAAUAAGAAUGUAUCUUUUCAUAUAAAGGGUAUUUUACCCAUUUCUCUUUUUUAUGAUCAAUUUUUAAUCUUUUAGUAUAUUUUAAACAAUUAAUAUAAUAAAUUCUUUUAACAAAAAAAAUUGAUUUUUUUUUAAAAUUAUAGAAAAUAGUUGAAGAUGUAUGUAUUAUUGUAUCAUAAUAUCAUGUAUCUUAUAUAUAUCCCUUUAAAAUUAGAUAUAGAUUGUGAUAUGUAUCGAUUUUCAUAAAAAAUGUAUCAUAUUGUUGUAUUGUAUUGUGUAUUGAGAGUUUUUAACAACUAUAAUUUCAACAUCUAAGCAUCUUUAAACUCUUUACACUAGUUUUCACCCAUUAGUUGGCUUAUCCUCAUGGGGAAAUGAUCAUACAUGUUAACUUAAAACUCUACUAGCUAUUGAUACUAUCGGCCUGGCUCUGGUUAUGAUACAUCCCAUAUUAAUGUGCUACUGAUGUGCCAAACCAAAAAAAAAAAAAAAAAAAAAACAAAUAUCAAAUAGGAAUAGAAUGAGAAAGGAGAAAACAACUCUAAUCUUCACAACUCUCAUUGGCUUUAUUUCUCUGUAUUUUCUCUUUUGUUGGGGUUGCCUCCCAUCUGUUUCAUGAUGGUUGUAGUGUUGAAUUACUUCUCUUGUUUCUCCCUUUGUUCCUCUCUCAUUUCUCCCCCUCUUCUCUUUGGUUUUUCCAAUGUCUUUUUCUUGUUUUCCUCUCUGCCUCCGACUCUGUCUCUCCUCUCUUUCUCUUUCUCUUUCUCUCUCUCUUUCUCUUGCGUUUCCUUUGUUUUUCCGUCUUUUUUUCAUUGAUUUGUGUGGAGAGGGAAAUUCACCACCACCUGCCCUUUGAUGGCCUUCAAAUAAGUCAUUUGCUCUACCUUGCUAUUUCCUAUGGUUAAAUUUCCAUUCUAUAUUUUUUCUUUCCUUUUUUCUAUAAUAACAUUUGUUGGAAUUGGAAUUUUUUCCCACCCAUAUAAAUCAUUAUAAACUUUUAUAAGGAUGUUAUAUGAAAAUAGAAAUAUAUGACACUUACUUUUUAAUUAUUUUUUUCUUAUUUUAUAGUAUUGUUUUUCCUUUUAUAAUUACAAAAUAGAUGCCAAUUAUAUAAUUUAAUUAUUAUUUUUCCCAAAUAGAAAAAAUUACCUAAUUCAACUGUUAUUUUUUUUUCAGGUAGCAAAAAAUUUAUGCAAUCCAAUUAUUAUUAUUUUCCAGUUCUUUUAUGGAAUUAUUAAUAUGAUUCUUUGUGAUGUAAAUGAAUUUAUCCUUUAUUUAUUAUACAUAUAGUUUAAAUUAUUUUAAAUAUUUAUCACCUAUGAAAAUUGGAGUCUUAAAAG
rnacentral:lncRNA from 1 species